GGGAGAGAAAAAAACAUUCGGAAAUGAUUAGGGUGGAGGAGAGGAUUCAGAGAUUUGGAAAUUAGGGAGGUUAAGAAAAAGGGAGGAUACAAGGUUUUUGGGUAGGGGUCAAAAAUGGCACUUCUAGCGAUCAAUGCUGAAAGAUCGAUGUGUUAUAUUAGUGAAUAGGGGUUUUAAUGAAGUGAGUGUGAUUACUCUUGACUGCUUUGUAAAAAUCGAAGUUACGUCUAUGAUUGAAGAAUUAAAAGGGUAUCUAUAGGAUUGAGUAUGUGGAGUGAAUGAAAAUUUUUGGGUUAAUCUAACAAGACAGUCAAUGGAUACAAGGUCGUGAGUAUACAGCGGUAUUGGGGAUUAGCAGAUUGGGUUGUUCGGGGUUCUCUGUAACAUCUAGAGACGUACUGGCUAGGGCAAAAGGGAUUUUGAUGAGCAAUCGAAGGACAUUCGUAUAGAUUUACAGUAUAUUUUUAUAAUUAUUUAUAUUCCAACAGUCAAAAACUAAUAAACUGCUUGAAUAUUAGCGAAUCUCCAUACUACCUCCUACAGCCAGACACUCGAUGCGUUCUCGAGCAGAAAAGUACAUAAUACGACAUCAGGCAUCGGGCUGUAGGAGGUAGUAUGGUAUUUUGCUAGUACUCAAGCAGUCUAUCGAGUUCUUGACUACCCAAAUAUAAUCUAUUUCAAAUUAUAAUGUAAAAGCUUAAUUCCAAUAUAAAUCAUCUAGAGAUCCUUUAUAACUUCAAUCUCUUUUGUUAUUUUUAUUUUAUUUUAUUUAUUUUAUAUUUUUUAUUUUAUCUUUAUUGUUAAUUACCUUAAUCUUAGACCAUGAACUUUGGCAAGCUGUAAUCUUCAAUCUGUCCUUCCGACUUGUUGUGAAACAUCUAUGACUAGUGUCUCUGCAAGCCCUUUCAAAUGCUCAAGAAGAUCCAGUUCAACCCCGCUUACAGAUUGUGAGGCUAUGCUGCAAUCCGCACCAAUGUCCCUUGGCCGCUCACCGAUAUUCCUCUUAUCCCUGUCGGUAGGCCCCCAGUUAUCAUAGAAAUCCUAAACAAACCCCAAUUUACCAACUCCCAAUACCUCUUUAAAUUGUUGGCAUAUAUCCUCUAUCCGUACAGUCAGAUCAAUACAACCACACAUGCAUUCAGAAUACUCAACCUUCUAGACAACUCUGAAUUUCAACCACAGAAGUAUCUCCCAUUUCAUCAACAAUCAAGAGUACCAGCCUUUCCUCUCUUACGGAAAAAAUCCAGUUCACCAAUAUAACACUAACUUUCAACAAUCCCCUUCUCAGUCUCUCCAAAAUCCUAUAUAUAUCAAAAAAUCCCAAUUCUCCAUCUUUUUCUCAAAAGCAUGAAGCUAGCUCUCCCACCUAAAAACCCCGAUUCUCAAAAAAAAGGUCCAUUUCUUAACCUACCCACUCCUUUUACCCUGAGAAGAUCCUAUUCUUCUCCUUUAGACUCUCCGAAUUGGAACAACCGACCUUCUGCUUUUCUCCCCUAUUUUUGCCUUUUAGAAAUCCUUUUAUAGAAAGGAUGUUCCCGGAACGGCACAAAGAAUAGAACAGCCUGAAACAAAAUCAAAGCCCUGUAAUUGGACUGCAUUGGGUUUCCCGACCAAGUCAAGUCUCAUACUAGGUAAGAGGCCUGUAAUAGGAUCUAGAUUAGAUGUCUUCUGAAAUUGAUCACCCGAUGUUGACUUUCAGAAGUAACAUAUAACACUGACUUUCAGCAACUUUGAGCAACUUGUUGAAAGUCUGACUUUCAGAAGCAACAUAUAACACUAACCAAUUUCAGAAGACUUCUGAAAGUUAUAAAAUAUAACACUGACUUUCAGAAGCAACAUCUGGUGAAAUUGCCUCAGUAGUCUGCCAACCUUGGCUGCUUUCAAAGGCCGACAUAUCUCCCUUGAAAUAUCUUUCUGGACUGAAGUCGCUUGAGUCAUCAGCUCCUACCACAAUUUCUCUAAUGGAAAGACACACCACCUUUUCCAGGAUUGUUCCAUCAAUCUCGAUAAUUUGCCCUUGUACCAUACUCGAUCCAUCAUUUGGGUCAUAGUUUGCGAUAUAUUCCUCCACUAAUGAUAUAUUAAUUAAUGGUAAGCAAUCUGAUAGGUACAAAAACUAGAACAACUGCGUAUUUCAAAAGUUUUUUUAUUCUUUUCGACGUCCAGCAAAUAUCCAACUUUAUCGACUUCAUAUUGGUAACGAUUAUCACAAAAGGUGGUUUUGAUGCGUGUCUAGCUCUCAUAUUUUGGCCAAUGUCCUCUUUGUUUGUAGUUCACUUUGUACUUUCAAUUGCCAUGAUGCUCCCUCUCUCAAACUCUUAACUAGAACUACUACGCUUGAAAAUAUAAGAAAUACAAGAAAUAGAAAUCUCAGAAAACAACCAAGAACGACAACACAGAAUGACUUCUAACUGGUGCCCUACUUCUAUUUUCUUACUACUGGUGAUCAUGACAACAUAUUAUCCAUACUGUCCAUUUUUCACCUCCGUCCAAUCUGACACAUUAAUAAUUACUAACUAUCUUUUCAACCGCCUCUACAUCCUAAUGCACUUAUAUCAUACUUAGAUCUACCUUGUGUCCAUUCGAAGUCACCUUUCUAAAAAAAAUAAAAACCCGUCCCAGAUUUUAUGUAUUAUAUAACCAUAAUUGAUUCCCGUUAAUGCGGGUACUGAAGCGAUAGCCCAUGAAAUCCUCCAAUUGAACAGACCCAUUGGAAAAACCUUCAAUCACGCGAUACAGCCCAUGCCAACGAACUUGAAGUUUUCCCAGAAAAUGAUUAAAUUAGCUAUCAUACAGUAAUACCAAAUUACUAGGCAUAAAAAUCUUUGGAUGCAAUUUACUAUCAUAGUAACUUUUUCUCCGUUUUUGAGUUGCUUCCAUGUGCAAAAGAGUUGUAGCCCAUAUUUCAUCCAAUUCUUCCAAUUUCACCAACCGAGAAUGUAAUGACUCUUUGUCACUGAGUCGUUCAUCCAAGGCAAUCCGUAAACUUUGAACCUCCAACUUGAUGGAUAAAAUUGCCUCUUGAUCGUAAAGUAGUUGAAAUGGAGUAGAGUUGGUAGUUACUUUAUAUGCGGUGCAAUAUGCCCACAAAGCUGCAAAGAGUUAGGUCUCCCAAUCGGUACCCGCUAUCGGGGUAGAGAGAGUUUGCCUAAAGAAAACGCUAGGCUUCUGGUUAUCAUUAAUUAUUCAAUCAAGAAUGAAAAUAAGGAAAGCCCUAAGUUUAUAUAUAAUUUUUUCUUUUUGAGUAAUUACACCUAAUACACAAUCCUCAAGUAACCUACAACUUCCAAAAUAUGAUAAAAUCUUCUAAAACCUUGUUUAUUCUUAUGUGGAGAUUUUUUCGAAUUUCAACGCGUCAUAUCUUCUAAUCCGACCGUCCAAAAAAACUCAAAUUUUACAUGAGAUAAUGAUGUAUUCUUAUUAACUUCUACAACAAAUUUCAAUUGCAAAUUCGUUAUAGAUCUUGAGAUAUCUUGAAAACCCUUCUAGCCACUUCAAACCCUUAUCUUUAUACAUCUACGUGCAAUUUUCUUCAUAUCUUACAAAAUAUAAGUUCAAAUUCCACGAAAUUUGUAUUUAUAGCUUUUUAACAAAAAAAUUUACAUUCUCCUAAAGUUUGAGCCAAAAAUUCAUCCGAAUACUCAAGUUAUGGCUCCAACCAUUACUACAAACAAAACCGCUUACUUACUACCUUUGAUUUAGAAGUGCUGCCUUGAACUCCUUACAACUCCUUCAUAUGAACUCCAAAAGCAAUAAUUCUUUUGUAAAAGAUGUAGGCCUUGAAAUCGCCGUUUUAGUUGCACCUUCCGAUCUUCAAAAGCUACUGUGAAACUCCUCGUACUCUCAAAAGAGUAACAGUAUGUCUUAAAUAAACACCUUAACUUCAAACAGCUAUAACUUUUUCACCUUGACUCCAAAUCCUCUCAUUUUUGCACAAAAAUUGUACCUCAAAUCCUAAAAUUUACAACUCUAGCUUGUUAUCUCCGAAUGCCCUCGAAAGAGGAACCCUAAUUCCUAAUAAGGCCUCGGGCAGCCUUCUUGAAGCCCAUUGGGUAUGGUAUUCGACCAAUAGGGAUGUAGUUUCCCAUUCCUUGCCUUCAUUCAACCAUGCUUUGCUUUUAUCCCUCCCGAUUAGCCUCCUAUUAGUUUAGAUUUUCAUCCUUAGGCUUCCACCUUCUCCCAAGGCUUCAUACUAAAUAUUUAGGUCUUAUAUAUAUUUUUUUAAUGUCAAAAUGAAAACAAGUAAAGAAACAAAGUAAAGUUUCUUGUACCAACUCCUUUUAAUUUAAUCUACUAGCUACUCUAAUACACAUCUAGAUUUAUUAACAUAUAAUAUGUUCUAACUAAUUUUUACAUACUAUAAGCAUUUACAGUACGACGUCCAUCUCCUCCAAACCUGUACAUCGUCCGGUAUGUGCCACAUGUUGUUCUUCUUCAUCUUCUUGAGAUUUCUUUGAAUUAUUCAUAGGCUCUUCUUCUUCAUCUUCUUGGUCUAAAUAUUGAGGUAAGAAUUCUUGAAGGUCUUCUAUUUGAAAUAAUCCAUCUCUUUUCUUGAAAGUUUUCAUCCUCUUUCCUGCUAUUGGAUUCCUUAUGAUAGUUCCAUCUAACUCACGUAAAGUAUAUGUAGCAUUAUCAUGUAUUGUAACCACCACAUAUGGUCCAAACCAUUUUUUUGCAAAUUUCUUUAUAGUACUAUGUUGAUGCUCAAGGCUGCUAUCAUAAACUAGAACCUAGUCUACAAUCUCUAUAGGCUUAGGCCUCAACCUAUGAGUCUUAUCAAAUCUUUCUUUAUUUUUCAAUCUUGCUUUCUUUAACCUCUCAGCUGCAAUUUGUAGGUCUUCACGUAACCUAUCCACUUGUUGGAUUCAAAGCUCUAAUAAUCUUUUUCUAUUUAUAUCAUCUUUCCAAGAUAAAAACAUCCACGUAAGAUAGGUUUCUUCAGUUGGCAUCAUAGGUUUUUGUCUUAAUAUUAACUCCAUGGACAUAUAACUAGUGACAGUACUGUGAGUAGUUCUAUCAGCCCAUAAAGCAAAUGGAAGCAGUUUAGGCCAUUGAAUUGACUUAUCUUUACAUGCUUUAACCAAUGCAUAAAUGAUAGGAGGAUGAUCCCUCUCACUCUUUCCAUUGGCUUCAGGAUUAUAAGAAGUAGUCAACUUCAAUUGAACUCCAUACCUGUUGAAAAAUUCUCUUACUUCAACAACAUCCAAUUCUCCUCUAUCAGCUCUCAUCCUCCCAAUGUUACCAUAUCUACUAAAGAUUUCUUCCAAUAUAAAUCUGCAUAUUACUUUUGUAGUUUUGGUUCUUAAAGCCCUCCCUUCAACAUAAUUUGAUAGCUCUUCUCUUGCCAAAACCAAAUAUUUCAUACCCCAAAGUCUUAAUGGCAUAGCUACCAAAUCAAUCACCCAUUGAAAAUAUAUUGAAGGUGGAUAAGUAGGAUCUAAUCCAUCUCUAUAGCUAACUUUAGAUUGUAGUUGACACUCUGUGUAGGAGCUCACAAUGUCUUCUAUAUCCCUAUAUAAAUCCUUCCACCAAUACCUUUCCUUGAUCUUGAUAUAUGUAGCCCAAACUCCUCUGUGCCCUACCCAAAGUGUAUCAUGAUAUUCUCUUAAAACCUUAAACUUAGUUUCAAGAUCUCCUACUAUCCUCAAUGAGAUUUUAUCUCCUCAUUUUGGCCUCUUCCAUAGGAAUCCAUCUCUAGGCAAAUAACCAUAAGAUUGAAGUCUAAUAUCUUUGAAGAUUUUAUCCAUCCACCUUUCUUGUUUCUUCAUUGUACUUAAAUAAAUUCCAAUAUCCUUCAAUCUACCUUCAUACAAACCUUCAUAGAAUUUUUGAAACUUAUCACCAAAAUCCAUUCAACCAGUAGCAAAUAAAUUUCCAUAAAUCUUCUCUUCUUGAUCUUCACCUCCUUCAUGUGCCAUCAUUUCCUCUUUGAAGGUAUAUCUAACUCUAGACAAUAUAUCCGCCAUCAAGUUUUCUUUGUCAGUGAUAUGUACUAAAACAAGAUUCAAUGUUUUUAUGUAGGCUAUCCAUCUUAAUAUGGCAAUGUCUGGAGUAGUACAGUUAAUUAUCAUUCCAAAUAAUGGGAAAUAGUCUGUUUUCAAAACCAUACUUGCUCCAAUUAAAUAAUUCCUCUCAACCUUUAAAGUGGUGAGUGCUCCCAAAAGCUCUCUUUUAACUUGUCGAUAUGUGCUUUGCCUCUUGGUAAGAAUCCUAGCUCCAAACUUUAUAGCAAAUCUUCUCCCUUCUACAUUAUCUUGUCCAAUAGCCCAUCCAAUUGCUAUAGGGCUUGUAUCUACUGUUACAACUAAUGGUCUUCUACAUUGAUAAUCCACUUGUCUAAGCACAGGUCGUGAAUUCAACAUCUUUUUUAGAUUUUCCAUAGCUAUUUUAUGUUUUUCUUCCCAAACAAAUCUUUUACCCUUCUUUAAUAAUUUAUAUAGUAGCUCUGAGAUAUGGACAAAGUGAGGCACCCAAAUGUGAUAGAAUAUACAUGCUCCUAAAAACCUUCUGGCUUCCGUAACAUUUUUACAAGUCUUCAUUCUAGAUAUAGCAUCAAUUUUAUCAGGGUUUGGUUUCCUACCAUACCUGAUACACAUGUGUCCCACCACUAGAAUCUCAUCAACUCCAAAGCUUGAUUUCUCCAAAGAUAACAUGAGAUUAACUGAUUCCAAUCUCUCCAAUAUUCAAGCCACAUCUUCAAUAUGCUUCUUAACAAACUUUCUACAACCUUCAACCUCCAUAGUCUCAUCCUUGUCUUCUUCUUUAUCUCUUUUUAUAGGUAUAUCAUCCAAAAAUGGUAUGGUUUUUUCAAGAAUAAAUUCUUUCAAUAUUUGGUUUAUAGCAUUUUGCAUAUGAGCCACUGAGUUGGUUGCACCUUGAGGUAAGGUACAUAUCCUCAUUAAACCUAAAGGAGUCUUAAUGGUAGUUAAGUCCCUACUCUCUUUAGCCAAUUGAAAUUGGUCAUAUCCCGAAUAUAAGUCUCCAAUAGAAUAAAUGGCAUGACUUACAAAUUGUUCAGCCACUUCAUCUACUACAGGACCUAAUUCCAUAUUUUGAAUAGUUACUCUAUUUGCAAGUUGCAUAUCCUGAAUAAACCUUAAUGCCCCCGACUUCUUGGGUACUGUGAACCAUCUAUUAGAAUAAGGAGCAAUUGAAGAUUCUAAAAUACCCAUCUUCACCUUCUCUUUUAAUAGUUCUAUCAACUUUGGAAGUAAAGUUCUGGGCACAGGUAUAGGCUUUAAAUCCCAUAGAACAUGUGGCACAGUAAAGAUUACCAUAGAUACUACAACAUGAGGAUCCACACAUUCUAUUUCAUUAGGAGUUGAGGCAAAUGCCUUACCAUGCCUAAUAAGCAUUUCUUGAAAUAUAAUUUUCUCCGUUGAUGUCAAGAAAUCAUCCCCUCCAAUCUUCAAUUUAAUUAAUGAUUCUUGAAUAAAUUGAUGCCCAAUUCCUCGUCCUUCUCUUAGACUUGGCUCCUUAAUUGCUUGGUUGAUAUGAUCUAUAGUAUCAACUGGUAAUUGAAUAGCUGUAGGCUUUACCUUUCUUGCUACAACUUUAUAUUUAGUUUGUAUUUUAGCUUCAUGUUUGAAUCCAUAGGUUGUAGCAAACCCACCAAUUACCACUAUUUUUUCUAAUUCUUCAUAAGUCUCUUUUGAAUAUAUUUCUACUAUAGCAUUUCCAUCUAUGCUUAUAGCUAAAUUUUCAAGAACCUUUAUUAAAUCAUCUUCCAAAACUAUUUCUUCCAUUACUCCAACUAUGGCUUCAUCACUUGAAACUAAAUCCACUCUUUUUAAGUUUUUCUCUUGUUUCUUCACCCUUCUUCUAUGUACAGAAUCUAAAUCUUUAAUCUUUCAAAUAUUCACAAAUCCAUUACUAGUCAAGUUUAAAAAUCCAAAAUUCAUAUUAUCUAAAAUAGAGUUUACAAAUGACUUAUUUGCACCCAUGUGUCCCCAUAUGAACUCCAAAAGCAAUAAUUCUUUUAUAAAAGAUGUAGGCCUUGAAAUCGCCAUUCCAGUUGCACCUUCCGAUCUUCAAAAGCUAUUGUAAAAAUCCUCGUACUCUCAAAAGAGUAACAGUAUGUCUUAAAUAAAUACCUUAACUUCAAACAGCUAUAACUUUUUCACCUUGACUCCAAAUCCUCUAAUUUUUGCACAAAAAUUGUCCCCCAAAUCCUAAAAUUUACAAUUCUAGCUUGUAAUCUCCGAAUGCCCUCGAAAGAGGAACCCUAAUUUCUAAUAAGGCCUUGGGCAGCCUCCUUGAAGUCCAUUGGGCAUGGUAUUCGACCAAUAGGGAUGAAGUUCUCCAUUCCUUGCCUUCAUCCAACCAUGCUUUGCUUUUAUCUCUCUCAAUUAGCCUCCUAUUAGUUUAGAUUUUCAUCCUUAGGCUUCUACCUUCUCCCAAGGCUUCAUACUAAAUAUUUAGGUCUUAUAUAUAUUUUUUUAAUGUCAAAAUCAAAAUAAGUAAAGAAACAAAGUAAAGUUUCUUAUACCAACUCCUUUUAAUUUAAUCUACUAGCCACUCUAACUCACAUCUAGAUUUAUUAACAUAUAAUAUGUUCUAACUAAUUUUUACAUACUGUAAGCAUUUACAAUAUGAUAUCACCUCCAAAAUUGUCUUAGUCAAGACCUUGCACAAAAUUUUGUCGGUCUUUUCUGUUUGCAUAUUAGCACGAGGAUGAUAUGGAGUAUUUUUUUGAUGCGUAAUCUCAUAUGCGUUCGUCAAGGUAGCUAUGGUAGCAUUUAGGAAAUAGGUGCCACGAUCGCUAAUCAAAUCCUUUGGACAUCCAAAUCGAGUUAUAAUAUUCUUGUAUAGAAAAGUAGCCACCAUAUUGGCAUUAUCAUGGUGGGUAGCUAUAGCCUCUGCCCAUUUUGUUACAUAGUCCGUGGCGACUAAAAUAUAUCGCUUUUGGCUAGGUUUUGACGCUGGUGUGAUGGAACCGACAAAAUCAAUAUUUCUUUUUUGAACGGUGCUUGUGCUAAGAUUAGAACUAACGACAUGGCAGAAGUGCCCAUAGGUCGACUAAUUUUUUGACAGGGAUCACAACGACGAACAAUUUAGUGUGCAUCAGAAAACAUUGUAGGCCACCAAUAUCCAGCCAUUAAAGCUUUGUAAGCAGUACUAUCUCCUGCAAAAUAACCACCACAAGUAUCCAAAUGGCAACCUUUGAAGAUCGACUGUACUUCACUUGGAAAGAUACAACGACAUCAAAUGCCAUCUUUGCCUUGUUUAUACAAAACAUUGCAAAUCAUUGUGUACAGGGCACUCUUCAGAAUGAGUCGCUUCUUAAGCUUCUCAGUGAAAGUUGGCAGAAAUGUAUGGAAGAUCAGAAACUAAAUGAUUUCACUAUACUUGGGAGAAAUCACAUCCACCACAAAUAAUUUGGCGUCGAGAAGAGCAUUCAGGAUAGGCUCAUUGCCGAGAAUGUUAGACAACCAAGAUAAAUAAUUAGCAUUGGCAUAUUUCUUCCCAAGUCCUAUGAUAAUCAUAAAAUUGAACUCUUGUAAGAGUAAGAUCCAUCGGGCAAUGCACCUACUCAAUUGACGCUUAUUAAUCAUAUAUUUGAGGGCAUCAUGAUCCACAUAAAAAACAAACAGAUAUCCAAGCAAAUAAUGUCAAAAUUUCUGAACCGAGUAUAUCUUAUCCAACACUUCUCGUUUAGUAGUAAUAUAAUUACAUUCGGUAGCCACUAAUUACUGACUGGCAUAAUAGAUAGGAUGAUCAAGACCCUUGUCAUCCUUCUGACUUAAGACCGAUCCAAUAGCGAUAUUGGAUGCAUCAACGUAUACAUAAAAGGACUCCAUCCAACCAAGAGCCACCAAUAUUGGUGUACAGAUUAAUUUUGACUUCAACGCUUCAAAGGCCAGAGUACACUCUAUGGUGCAGAUGGGACUAGUCCCAUCUGAUGGAGGUUUCUUUAGUAAGUUUGUUAAAGGUUGACAAAUAACUGCAAAUGAAUGAAUGAAUCUUUGAUAAUAGCUGACAUGGCCCGCAAACCCAUGAACACCAAAGACCGUCUCUGGGCGGGGCAAAUUCAUUAUAUGUUGCACUUUGUGAAGAUCUAUAGCAAUACCACGGCUAGAGAUGACAUGUCUCAAUAAUUUACUAAACAAAACACCAAAUUGACACUUGUUCAAGUUCAACGAUAUUCCAAACUUAACGCAUUGAGCCAAACAUUUGUCUAGACAAUUAAGAUGAUCAUGUUUUGUACUGAAUGUCCAAAAGUCAUCUAAAAAGAUCUCCAUAAAUAGCCAGAGAUAGUCUUGGAAGGCCUGAGUCAUCACUCUCUGAAACAUGGCUGGGACGUUACAUAACCCAAAAGGCAUCACGCGAUAAGCAAAUGUGCCACAAUCCGUAGUAAAGGUCGUCUUAUGUUGAUCUUGCGUUGUAAUUUGAACUUGAUUAUAUCCGAAAAAUCCAUCGAGGCUACGAUAUCCAAUAUACUAUCUGUAAAAGGUAAUGGAAAAUAAUCCUUCUUGCUGGCCGCAUUAAGUUUCUAGAAAUCCUUACAAAUAUAGAUUUUUCCAUUCUUUUUUGGCACCAUGACAAUUGAAGAAACCCACUCGCUAUUCGACACCGGGUAAAUGAAAUCAAUUGCAAGAAGCUUGUCCAAUCCUUCCUUCACCAUGAGAGAAUAUUUAAGAUUAAGGCGAUGUUGCCUUUGCCAUACCAGUUUAGUGUUCUCCUCUAAAAUGAUACGAUGCUUAUAGAUGUUAGCGGGAAUACCCUUUAAAUCAGUAUAAGUCCAAGCAAAAGUGAACUUAUGAUGUAAGAAAAAUUCUGUCCAAUAGGUCAACUCCUGGUCCUUAAUACCUUCAUAGACCUUAAUUGUCUAAGGCUCUGCUGUGGUCGCCAAGUUAAUAGUUUGACAUAAAGGUACAACAGUGAUGUUCUGUUUCAAUCCUCGUGCGAGUUGAAAAUCAGUCGAUAAGUUCGACAUGUGUAAAGUACUGAAUCUUAUGUCGAGGGCAAUAAUAUGAUGCACAUCAUACUUGGUCAUCCAAUCAUUACUAACAUACUCAGAGUUUUUUCAAUUCGUCGGGUAUAUCAAAUACUCCCCCGGACCUCUACAUUGGUACACUACUCCAGGGUGUUGCACUGCCUCCACAGAUGCCUCCUUUAAUCGGUGCGACUGCAUCAUCAUUGGAGCUAAGCUCAUCGUCUGAUGUCCAUUCAGAUGUUGGCAAUUGAGACUUCCCGUGAUAGUGUACUGGAUACAUUUGUAAUACCAUUUUGUCGCUGUCCUUACCAAUUGCCAAAGUACCCCAACUCCAAUCAUUCUUGGCCUUCGCUUGAUAAAGCCAAGGUCGUCUCAAUAAAAUUGAAUAUGAUAAAGUCAAAAAUUGUAGCCAAAAGACCAUAUAGUCAAUUGCAUAUGCAAUACCAACAAUCAUAGUUUGAACACUCCAUAAAAUACCCAUUGAUUUAACCCGGCUAUGAUCUGCCAUCCGUAAUACCAAUGUCGUAGGUACUAAGUGUUUUAAAUCUUAAGCAUCCAUUGUAUCAACGUUCAUUAAAUUGACACUAGAACCACCAUCGACUUGGACAUCCAAGAUUAUAACACCGUCAAUCGCAACAUCGAUGGUUGGUGCACUUGGGUCAGGGUUCAAACUGACUUCACAAACUUCCUUAUUAUAUUGCCUAUGUCGUGUUAACGAUGAAUUCAAUGUAGCACGGUACUCUGAUGCGAUUGCUAGAAGUUUCUUCAUAGAAAUAGAAGGCCGAAUAGUGUCCAAUCCUUCAAAAUAUCAUAAGGUUACCAUAUUUAAGGUAAUUUCCAAUGCCAUUUUUUUUUUCAUAAGAUUGAGUUUAACUCCUUGAAGAUAGAUAUUUGUCCGCCCUGGACUCAAAAUUGGAAUAGCAAAUGGAGCUUUCUUGGAAUUUGUAUCCUUGAGAGGAUCUUUCAACAAAUAGGACGUUUCUUAAAAUUACGUAGAGAACGAAACAGCUUGGAAUGGAAUGAAAGCCUCCGUAAUUAGGACCUCAUUGGAUUGCCCAACCAAGUCAAGUCUCAUACUGGAUAAGAAGCAUGUAACAGGAUGUGGAUUGGAUGUCCCCAUAAUUGGGUCAAAUUGGUGGGAACAUGGUCUGAUUACUGAAUUGUUGUUGCCUUUGCAAAUUCUAACAAUUAGUUGUUAAGUGCUUUCUUCUGCAAAAUAUACAUUGAUCCAUCAUUUGGGUGAAGGGCAUUUUGUUACCAAAUAACUAUGGCCCUUACAAUUACUACACCAAACAUUGGUUCUAGUAUUGGUAGGCUCUUGUCUCUUCUCCUUAUCCUUGGCCAUAUUGAUGGCCAUUUCUUCCAUUUUCUUCAUCAGGUUCAAUAAUAAGGCUUCAAUGAAAUCUUUUGAGACUGGUAAUAUUAGUAACUCUGCCACAGUUAACACUUGUUGUUGAUACGGAAAAUAGGGAGCAUACACUGUUGUCACAUUUGGUGGUAUAGCUUAUAAUGGGGUGACAUCUAUUGGCCCCUGAAUAUUGACACCGAAAUUGACCCUUAUAUCUAACAUCCGUAGAUAAGUACCCAGUGAUUCAUUCCAAGUCGGAUUUUGAUAACUACCUUGAAUUAGAAUGAGUGUAGCUCUCGCAAUUAAAAAUUGAUCAAAAUGGCAUUCCUCCCAAACCUUGGCUCUAUUAAGGGAUGCAGACACUGUAACGGUGUCGUGAUGUAACACGAUUAAUAGGUGAAAGAGUGUAGAGAUUAUUAUAAUUUAAGAGAUCUUAGUUCAAAGUAUUAAAACAAAUUAUCUUAGAAAUAUAGUUAAUAGCCAAAAGGGUAGAAAAAUUAAAAAGUAUCAAUGCUGCCUUUUAGAAAAGUGACUUCUACUUACUUUGUAGUACCAUAAGUAAGGCAAAUCAAAGUAGAUUGGGAAAAUAAAUGAUAUAGGAUUCUUUAAAAGAAAAUUAAGAGUAAGUUCUAGAAAAAAGUUAGAAAAACUAGAUAUUGAUACCCGGAGAGGGCCGGUUAUGAACCAGGGUCGAAAUCAGACCCUGAGGCACAAAACCGAGUCUCGACGACGACUCUAAGACUCUUUGGCAGAUCUGAGAGUAAGGUUUGAGAGAAGAUUGGAUAAGGUUUUUAUGGGCAUUGAUUUUGGGUGAUUUGGAGUUGAUAUGAAUUUGUAAGAGCUUUGCAAAGUUGAGUUUUUUUCAGAUGACUUGGAUUUUAUGAAAUAAAAUAGGGUUUAUGUUUUUAGUGAUUUUGAGAGUUUUGUUGCAGAUUUACAGGUGGAUUUUUUUGGGUUCAUGGUUAUAGUUGUGUUAAAUAUAUGUUGUGAAUUUGAACUUGAUCUAACGGUUGAACUAAGAGAUAUUGAAGUUUAAUUGAGUCAAGGUCUUAGAAAGUAGAAUUUUAGGUUCAAUGAAGGUUUUUAAGAUAUUAGCAAUCCAUUGGUUGGAGUAAAACUUAUGUAAAAAGAUAUUAGACUUGUUUUCCUAUGUCCAUGAGAAAUUUGAAACCAAUCGAACGACGCAAAGAAGUGAAAUUGGCUCUAGAAGGUUGGCAACAAGAUUGGAGAGGGAGGCCAGCUAACACCCGAAUACAUUUUUGAGGUUUUCGUCAAUUUAGUAAUUCCGGUCCCUUUUAAAAAAAAAUUUGCUUGUUUUGAACUUGAUUUUUAAGAAGUGUGCAAAUUUUGAAUUGAGAUCAACGGUUUAUUCAUUAAAUAUUGAGGUUUAAAUCUGUCAAAGGAAUUACUAGGAUUUGGAUUAGGGUUUGGAUUAGGAUUUGGAUUAGGAUUUGGCUAGGAUUCGGUUUAAGGUUUAGAUUAGGGUUUAGGGUUUGGUUAGGAUUUGAUUUAGGAUUUGGAUUAGGGUUUGGAUUAGGAUUUGGUUAAGGUUUGAUUUAAGGUUUGAUUUAGGGUUUAGGAUUUGGAUUAGAGUUUAGAGUUGGAUUAGGAUUUGGAUUAGGGUUUGGAUUAGGGUUUAAGGUUUGGUUAGGAUUUGAUUUAGGGUUUGGAUUAGGAUUUGGUUAGGAUUUGAUUUAAGGUUUGGUUUAGGAUUAAAGGUUGGAUUACGAUUUGAUUUAGGGUUUGAUUUAGGGUUUAGAAUAGGGUUUAAUUUAAGAUUUGGUUAGGAUUUGACUUAGGAUUUAGGAAUUAUUAGGGUUUAAGAUUUAAUUAGAUUUGAUCUAAAGUUGAGUGAAAUUCAAUAGGGUUUUAACUAGAAUUAAAUUAAGGUUUAAUUGACAUAUAUUUGAGUAAAAGUUGUGAUCAUUCUAAUAUUUCUUUAAGAAUUUUAUUGUUUGUUUGAAAUUUCUUUGAGUUGUUUUGAAUUGGAUUACAUUUGUUUACCAUUAUUAUAGUCUAAUUAGAGCAUUGUUAGUAUUCUAUUUAGGAUUUUGUUAUCGCAAUUUCUAUUCUUCCUUCUAUAGCCAGGUGCCUGGAGCAUUCUCAAGCAAGACUUCACACAUUAUGACAACGGGUUGAGCUUCCUUCACAAACAUUUUUAAAUCUAGUUGUUGCAAACCAUUGAUUAAUAUGGAUAAGAUAAAUACCUCCAAUAUUUGGUGAUUUCGCCACUUAUUGAGUAUAUCAGCCACCCAGCCAUAAUAUGAUUCCACUGCCUCCCCUAGGAUCAUUUUGCUCUUCAUUAACCUCUUUCAAAGACGAUCCUUAAAACCUAUUGGUCGAAAAUGUGUUAAAAAUGCAUUCUUCAAUGCUUCCCAAUUUGGAAAUCGAUCUACUGGUUGGCGGUUGUACCAUUCAAAUGCUGUGUCCUUUAAGGUUGUUGAUAACCAUCAUAAUCAAAUAUCUUUGAUUCUACCAUUAAUGGCUAUACAUGCUGUUAGAAACUGAGACAAAUGUUGAUCGAGGUCCGCACCCAGAAAGCCUCUAAAAGUAGGUAAUGGAGCCAUGCUCAUUGUGCGAUCGCUCACGUGACUCAUUUGUACCACUAUUGGAACCGCUGGACCACCUGUCGCCAUUGAAGAAGAUAAUGUGCUGCUUAAUCUCUUAUUAAAAUUACCACUGCCUUCUCCAAUUGUCUUUUCCAGACUUUCGAACCUCCGUAAUUUAUUAUUAUUAUCCCUGAAUAAUUUUAUUGGUUGAAUUGGAGGUGAAAACGAUGGAUUUUGAAAUACGCUGAAUUGGCCUUUAUUGGCAAGUAAUUUAUGCCAUUCUACAGAACUAGUUUUUACAGAAUUGAUAGUUUCCACUAUUGGGAAGGUAUCCAAUGGAGUACCCAAUUCUUUUGUGUUUCUUCCACUUGUAGUUAAUGAGCUCAAGAGAUACGCUGGAUUAUUAACAAAAAAUUUUGAGAGUACUCUUGGCAAUUUUUUUAACAGUAUAUAUGUCUGAAAUAUUAGAGAAUAGUCAGCUUGUAGGUAUGCUCAGAUAUGUCGAUAGGCAUGCAACCAUGGCUUAAUCCAACUUUAUCGAUGCUUCUUUUUUAACUUACAUUCUUGCUUAUUUUGUAAUAAUUCUCUUGCUUGUGCUCUCUCUUGUCUUUUUUUCGACUUUCAUGUUUUCUUUACUGCAAUGUUUUCAUUCUUAAUAACCAUAAUCUUUCAUUAUAUAUUACUGAAUUUGCUUUCUAUUUUCCAUCUAUUCAUCCGGUAGUUAAUUCCUAACACUCAAUGCUAUUGUCAAUCCUUGGCAACAGUGCCAAAAAUAUGAUUGUCAUUUUACUUAUUCUACAAUUCCUUCCAGAAUAAACUUGUAUAGGAGAAUUCAAACACAAGGAAAGACUAAGCGCAUGAGUUUCACUUGUUAGGGUCAUACAAUUAACUGUAUUUUGAACCACUAAAAUACUAAGAAAUAAUACAAUGCUUCUUUCUAGUAACAAUACUCCUUCAUCAACUGAUAACCACAAUGUACAAUCCUACACUCUCAAAAGACCGCUCAAAACUCAAUAAAUUCCAUCCAACACCAAGAAUAACAGACUUCACUCCAACCAAUCUGAAUUCACAAAAUUCCUGCAAUCAGAGACUUCCUUUGUCGAAACACACACAUACAACUCUCAAUAAAUAACAAUCAUAAUCUUCCAUCUAUAAUCAAUCUUCCAAUAACUUCUCAUAUAAUUCAAUCACUGAGUAUUCCAAUUACAUAAUCAAUAACUCAUAAAUCAAUCUCUGAUUUAUUCCAUAGAUUCACUUCUCAAUAUUCAAAAACUAUCCAUUAUUCUUCAACAACAAAAAAAACAAAUGAAACAAAGAAAAAGCACCAAGCUUAAUCCCGGCUCAUGACUAUCACAGUCUGGCCUCCCAACAAACUUUUACAACUCCUAUAUAAUUACUACUGAUUUCUAGAUUCUAACCGUAAUCCUAUAAUAACCGCUUUUAAUAAUUGAAUCAAUCAUCCGUCCUCCUAAACUGACUAUUCUAUGGACUAUUAAUCUAUUUAACCAAUAUUUUAUAAAAACGAGCUAAUGUCUAUUCUACAACUGCAGCUUGGCGACAACUCGAUGGUAGUUUUGCGACUAUUUGGCCGCAGUUUGGUGGCAGUUCGAUGGCAAUUUGGCGGUAGGCACGGGGCGCAGCAGGCAGCAAGGAGUAGGCUAGGGUAGAAUUGGGCUGGAUCAAGUAUUCUAAACAAGUAUUCUAAGCAAGCAAGGCAGAGAGUGGAACAAGUGGUUUAAGCAAGCAGCUAAUGUGUGAGGGGCCAGCAAGAAGAGCAACAAGAUCAUGAGGCAAACAUUGAGCAAGAGUAGCAAUAGGUUUGAAGAGUUAAGACUAGAGCAAAAAAAAAAUUGUGAUAGUGUGUAGAAGAGAGUCAUGUUGAUAACGUGUUGAAAAUGUUUAGAAAGACACAAGAGUAAUAGUAAGUCAUACAUACAAGAGGGUUUCUAAAGAGAGAGAAUUUCACAUAUAAAAAUCUAUUGAUCUGGUUGUGUCUCGUAUACAAGAAGAGAAAUUUGGGAGAGGAUAAAUAGUAGUUGUCAAUUAGACUCUAAAUAUUAUAGCUAUGGUAUUUACUAUAGUCUACAAUAAAUAUUAUAGAGAGCGUCGACUACAUUUAAUGAUCUCAACAAAAUCAUUAUAUCUUUUAGUAGAUGUGUCCUUUUGUUUCCUAUUCGUGCAUGGAGUAAGAAAGCAACUAAGAAUCUACCCUGAUACUAGCACGAGAAAGGACUAAAAUUUUAUACCAACUUGCAUUUAAAUAGAAAGUGCAUGCAUGUCUCUUGAUUUUCAACCUGAUUUCUUUAGUUGACAACUAAAUUGAAGGGAAGAUAGAUGCUUAGCCCACAUCAAAGUAAAGCCAAAGGGAAGGCAUAUAAAAACCUUAGUCCAAAGUAAUUGUAGUAUUCAAAGAUUACUAAAACUAUACAAUACUUUUAAAUAAGUCAAAUACAUUAGAUAGGAUGUGGCCUUUGUUGCCACAUGGUAUCAAAUUCAAGUUUGUUACAAAUCAAUGCACUACUUUUAUUUUGGUUGAACAACCUAUACAAUACAUGCUCAAAUUAAUGCACCACCUUCAUUUUGGUUGAACAACAUGGAUGACAAGAUAUAAUUAUUUUGUCGUAAUAUCAAGACUACUCGUCCUUAUGACAAGGUGGACUAUUGUAAUCUUGUUCAAAUCAUAGAAAUAUUUAUAUACUUAUCUAAAUACAUAGCCUUUAUUUUUUACAUAUUAUAUUAUUUUUAAAUUUAAGAGUAAUAAAUAGAGAAUAGGCAAAAAAUAAAAUUAUCUAUUUUUACUUGACUUGUAUAAAUAAUAUUUUACUAAAUAGUUUUUUUUAUAGAUCAAGUGAAGAGGUUAUUUUUUAAAACACAAAUGUUACAUUCAUUUUGAUAUGUCUUAAAUGAAAUAAACUUAAGUUGAAAAAAUAAUAAUUUAUAUUUUAAAAUAUGAAAUAAUUUAUAUUUUUACUUAAAAUUAUAAUUAUAAAUUUUUUAUCUUAUAUAAUUUUUUUAUUAAUAUAGAUAUCUAUUAAUAUUAGUAAUUAAGUAAUAAAGAUUAUGUAACAAAGAUUACAUAAUCUGCAAUGAUAUUUAGUAGAUCUUAAAUACAUAUAAUAUAAAUAUUUUGAAUAUUUCAACUAAAAUAUAUUAUCAAGGACAUGAACUUUAAAGACCUAAAAUAUUAAUGCACUUUUGUGUCACUUGAAAAGACUAAAAAAUCACUCAAAGAUGAUACAAUAUUAAAUUAGAAUGGCUAUUGCCAAAGACAAGAAGACUAAAAAGUCUUGAAAGAAGACUAAAGACUAGAAAGAGAUUCAUAAGAGUAAAGAAGGCUUUACUCUUGCCUCCAUAUAUAUUCUUAACUAGAAGUUAUGUUGCGAUGUCUUCUAGAACCUCCAAAAUGUGUUUACUUUGCAAGACACAUAUCUUAAUUUACAAAGGAAGUUUUUUAUAUAUAUGCCACAUGGUUAGCUUAUUCUAUAAGUUAUCAACAUGUGGUUAACUUAUUGACCAAGUUUCUAACCUACCAAUUAACUACAAAUACAUGUAAAGUCAAAGCAACAUCUACAAAGCUUCUAAAAAGCUAUUUUAAAAAAUAUUAUGAAAUAAAUUUACUUUUAUCUACUUCUACUUAAUCAUAAAGAUAACUAUUGCUAUAAAUAUUUAUGUCUAUGACAUUAUCUCUCCUUCUAAGAAUGAGUUCCAUAAGGAGUGGUUAUUAUAUGUUGAAUAAAUCUAGGAUGCAAUGUAUUGUAUUUGUUAUAUACUCUAAUAUUUAUUCUUUUUGAAGAUGAUUGAUAGGUCUUUUUAGCUAUUGAUAGUACUUCAUAUCAAGGCAAUAAGAUUUCCUUGUUAUUUGAUUAUUUUUAGGCCUGUAUAACUCUUUUGAAAUAAAACAUUUAGAAUACUAUUAGGAGUUGUUCUUACCUCUAAUAAAAUCACCAAACAUUGGGAGUCUCUUCCAAAGUUGUGAUAUCAAAAAAAUUAUAACUUGUUAUGUAUUCAAGGAACGACAUAUUGUUUUUAAAGAUCUUCAUCUCAAUUUAAAGGUUUUGACAAUUCUUCUAUUCUUCAUCUUGGUUUUGAUAGAUGUUGUCAAAUAAAGCGUCAACCUUCUUUGUUGCAUUUGCAAGAUUCUUUGUUGGCUCUUAUAUGCGUUUACUAAUAUCAUAUUUGUGCCAAUGAAUAAGAUAUUCUGAUCUAUUUCAAUGUUGAAGUGAAUCUAAGACUUCUUUCACCUUGAAUUUUUGAUUAUUAUCCACUUUUAUAGAAGAAGGUGGCAUUUAUCUUAUUUUCAAGAUAUUUACUAUCUUAUAUGGCUCAAGAAGAGAUAUUUAGAAUGUGGGAUAGAUUUUUAUAAACUUUGGUAGAAUAAUCAAUAAAUAAUAGGAUUGACUUAUUUACAAAUAAAAAAAGAUCCAAGCUUACAAUAGUCCAAAUUAUCAUAAAGAUAAGUUAUUUUGAUAUUACAAUGAAGAAGCUAUAUCUUAUCACCUACGAUGAAUUAUGAUUGUUUCUUAUUAUAGGCAUGUGCAUUACUCUUUUGUUGUUCUUGAUUUCCUUUUAAUUGUGCCUUUAUUUUUACAUGUAGCUCUAAUAAAUGAUCUGUCAAAUCUUAUACUAUAGAAUUAUCAAAUUUUAAAAAUUCAAAAAUAAAAAUUUGUUAAUGAUAACCAUAAUUAGUAAAAAAAGGUAUUUAUUGAAUAAAAGAAUAUAUUGAAUUAUUAUACAAAAACUCUGCCAAUGGCAAAAGAAUUAUCUAAUCAUCUUAAUGUCAUGGACAUAUGCAUGUAAGCAAGUAAUUACUUAUACAAAUAGGUAGAAGUAAGUAAAAGUAGGUAAAAGUAAGUUAAUUCUAUAGUAUUUGAUAUAAAAGCUUCUUAGAAGCUUCAUAGAUAUUACUUUGACUUUAUAGGUAUCUUCAAUUGACUUUUUGGAUUAGAAAUGCGGUCAAUAAGUUGGCCAUGUACCAUACAUGUUGUUAGUUUGAAGACUAAGCUAACUAUGUGGCUUACACGUAGAAAAACUUGCCUUGUAAGUCAAGGCAUAUAUCCUACAAAGUCAACAUAUAUUGGAGGUCCUAUAGAACGUCACCAUGUAGCUCCUAGUAAGAUAGUAUAUAUAGAAAUAAGAGUGAAGCCUUCUUCAGUCUUGUCAAUUCCUUCCUUGCUUCUACUCUAGCUUCAAAAGUCUCUAGUUUUCUUGGCUUUUGGUAAUAGCCAUUCCAGUUUCUUUCUUAAUAUAUAUAUCAAGUUAUUUUUAUUUUUUCAUCUUUCUUUGAGAGAAGUCUCACUUGUUUAUUUGUCUUUAUCAUGUUCUUGUCCUUGACAGAUUAACAAGAGUAAACUUAGAAUAUCAGAGCUUUGUCUAAUCUUGAUUAAGAGUGGAUUACCUCUUUUUCUUAAUAAGACAUAAGCAUAUUAGAAGGUGUAGAUUAUCCUCUUUUAAACUGAUAUUAUCCUUAGUAUUUUCUUUGUUCUUAAGUCCUCUCUUUUAUUUGUCUUGAGCGAUAUUAGACAUCUUCUCUUUUUUUAGUGUUAUCAUGGCAGAAUUUGCUGAAAUGAAGAGUGCAAUGGUACAAAUGCAAGAGCAAUUGAGGGAGUUAAUACUUGCGAUGUAUCAACUCAAUUUACCACCACAAGUAGCAACAAGAUUGGUAGGAAGUAAAGAUAUAAAAAUCAUUGGAGCAGCUUCAACAUUUGCACCAAAUCAUGUCCCUUCUCUUAUAGUGGAACGCCAUUCUACUAUUAGAGAACCAAGAAUUAUCCUACCCAAGAAGUUUGAUGGCACCAGAUCAAAGUUUAGAGGAUUUAUCAAUUAAGUACAACUUGUGAUUGGACUUCAAUUCUAAAGCUAUCCAACUCCAGGAUUAUAAAUUAGAUUCAUUGGUAUGCUUCUUUCAAGUUCAGCAUUAUUAUGGUUUUUAUCUUUUUUUGAAUGACAAGAUCUAAUAUUGGAUAAUCUAAAGGCUUUUUUGGUAGAGUUUUGAUCCAUAUAUGGAAAACAUGAUGCAAUUCGUAUUGCAACCAAUAAGAUCCAUAUUUUAUGACAAAGCAAUCGAUCAAUAAUAUUAUAUGCUUCACAAUUUUGACAACUUGCAACUGAUAUUAAGUGAGAUGAUGCUGCACUUAUUAGCCAAUUUUUCUACGGAUUACAAUAUGAGGUAAAAAAAUUAAUGCUCAACUUACCUGAUCCUCAAAUAUUGAGUGAAGUAAUUGAUUUUGCUGUGAAUUGCAAUAAUCGCCUUUUUGAAUUCCAAUCUGGGAACCGUAUAAGUGGACCUCAAUGUUACUAUAAUUCAAUAUGAACACCAACAUCUCUUCAACACAUAUAUUUGAAAGUAGAGGAUAUGCAAAUUAAUGUAGUAUGUUUCAAACAUCUUAUUGAGCCAAAAAAGACUCGUCAUCAUCAAGAAGGAUUGUGCUUAUAUUGUGGAGAACCUAAGCACAUUGCUCAACAUUGCCCAAAGAAGCGACACAACUAUAAAAUGAAGAGUACGGCGAUGAAAGGACAUAGCAUGUCGGAAAACAAAUUUGUCCAGCUAUAAUACGGACCGUGCAGCUAGAACCUUGUACAACGCCUAGUGGAGGUCCUAUCCUCUCUUCAGAACCUUCUCCAUGUUUUACGAUAAAUGUUAUUCUAAGACCUCAACAUCUCAAAGCAUCUGUCUUGCUAAAUUCAGGAGCCUCAUCAUAUUUUUUAGAUGAAAAAUUUCCUAAAAAAAUAUUUGGACUUCUUGAUCAGUUGAAUCAAGCUAAGAUCUAUACAAAAAUAGAUCUAUAGAGAGCAUAUAAUUUGGUACGCAUCAAAGAAAGAGAUGAAUAGAAGAUUGCAUUUUGAACAAGGUAUGGAUAUUUCAAAUAUAAUGUCAUGCCUUUUAGACUUACAAAUGCACCAACAAUAUUCCAAUAUCUAAUGAAUGAUGUCUUUCGGGAGUUUUUAGAUGAUUUUAUUGUCUGUUAUCUAGAUGACAUCUUAAUCUAUUCUAAGAACUUACAAGAACAUGAACUUCAUGUUUGCCAAGUAUUACAAAAACUAAGAGAUGCGGGACUCUAUGCCAAGAUAGAAAAGUGUAUAUUUCAUAUUACUGAAGUUGACUUCUUAGGAUAUAUCAUUUCAAAUGAUAGACUUAUGAUAGAUCCUAAGAAAAUUCAAACUAUUAUGGAUUGAAAGAUACCAAAAACGGUAAGAGAUGUCCAAUGCUUUUUAGAAUUUACCAACUAUAUCGAAUCUUCAUCAAAGACUUCUUUCAAGUUGGAGCUCCACUUACACAUUUGACUUGCAAAGACAAAAUUCAAUGGAAUCAAGAAGCAGAAGUAGCAUUUGAAGCUUUGAAGACAGCCUUUGUUUCUGCACCAAUCUUGUAUUGCAUAGAUUUUUCUAAGCCAUUUUUUAUGGAAUUUGGUAUGCAUCAGACUUUGCUUUGGAUGUCGUAUUGUGACAAAUGGAAAUAGAUAAUAAACUUCAUUCAAUAGCUUUUCAUUCUAGAAAAUUUUUAGUAGCCGAGAUCAACUACGAGAUUCACGACAAAGAACUUCUUGUAAUCAUGGAUUCAUUUUAAGAAUGGUACAAUUAUCUAGAAGGUGCUUCUAGCCUAGUCAUAGUGUAUACAAAUCACAAGAACCUUGAAUAUUUUAUAUCAGCAAGUAUUUUGAAUCGUCGCAAAGCCCGUUGGAGUAUGUCUUUAUCAAGAUUCAAAUUCAAGAUCACUUAUCGACCAAGAAAACAACAAGGUUUGUCAGAUGUACUGUCUAGACAAUCUUACUUUGCAUCAAAGGAGGGAGAUGCUGCUUUUGAUCAACAACGAAUAAUUUUCUUGAAGCUAGAGCAUCUUCAUCUUCGAGCAAUGAAAUCAAUACUAAUUGUUGAUUCAACUUUCAUUAAGUAAGUUCAGUCAAGUAUGUCUUCUGAUCUUCUUAAUCAUGAUAUUAAGAAAAAUCUUUCAACGUCUCAUAAUACUUCAAAGUUUGAAUUCAAGAAGAAUCUACUAUAUUUUGAGGGAUGCCUAUAUGUUCUAGAAGUUGAAGCUUGAUUAUGUAUUCUUCAAGCUCGUCAUGACUUUCUAACAGCAGGACAUUUUGGAUAUAGUAAAACUUUGGAACUAAUAUCUAAGAAUUUUUAGUGGCCACAAACGUGGAAAGCAGUCAAAGAUUUUAUACAAUCUUAUGAUGUUUGCUCAAGAUCAAAAAAAUCCUUGUCAUCGACCUUACAGACUAAUUCAGCCAUUAUCCAUUCCAGAACAACCAUGGUCUUCUAUUUCUAUGGAUUUCAUCAUGGAUCUUUCAAUCUCACGUUCUUAUGACUCUAUAUUCGUGAUAGUAGAUUGUUUUAUCAAGAUGACACAUUUUGUACCAUGUACAAAAUCUAUCACAGGUAAAGAAAUAGCCAAGCUCUUUCUUGACAAUUUCUAUUGUUAUCAUGGAUUAUUCAAAGAUAUUAUAUCAGAUAUUAAAAUUCAAUUUGUAUCAAGAUUUUGGCGGACUCUUUUCAAGAUUCUAAAAGUGCAUAUAAAACUAUCUUUGGUAUUCCAUCCUCAAAUUGAUGGACAAACGGAGCGUGUUAAUCAAGUUUUGGAGCACUAUUUAAGAUAUACCACUAACUACCAACAAGUUGAUUAGACAACUCUUUUGCCAUUGGUAGAAUUUGCUUACAAUAACACAGUACAUUCUUCUAUAAAACAAAUACCUUUCUUUGCAAAUUAUGGUUAUCAUCCAUGGCUUGAUACUUUUGACUUUUUAAAAGUUGAUAAUUCUACUGUGAAAGAUUUAGCAAUUCAUUUAUUAGAGCUACAUGCAAUGAUGAAGGCACAGUUAAAAGAAGCUCAAAAAUAUUAAAAGGUCAAUGCGGAUGUCUAUCGAAAUAAACAACCACCAUUCAAUAUGGGUGAUAAGGAACAACCACCAUUCCACAUGGGUGAUAAAGUUACUUCUUCACAAUAUCAAGACCUCUCGUCCUUGUGACAAAUUGGACUAUCAAAGGCUUGGACCAUUUUUGAUUUCUGUACAAAUCAAUCCAGUUGCAUAUCGUUUACACUUAUCGGAAUCAAUGAAAAUCCAUCUUGUAUUCCAUAUGUCUCUUCUUGAAUCAUACGAGAUAGUGGACAUACCAAGAAGAAGACAAGCUCCACCUCCUCCUAUAGAAGUGGACAAUAAUAAAGAGUUUGAAGUAGAAGAAGUCUUAGAUUCAAGGCAGCGCCGAAAUAAAUUAGAAUAUCUUGUCCAUUGGCACGGAUAUGAUAUUAGUAAAUGCACAUGAAAGCCAAUAAAGAAUCUUGCAAAUGCAGCAAAGGUGGUAGAGGCUUUUUAUCGACGACAUCCAUCAAAAUCAAGAUGAAAACCUUCUUUAUAAAAGCAAUAAGAUCUACGCAAGAUAACAUUUUACUUUCAAUCUUUGUUUGUAGCUUCUUUAUAGUUGUGACACUCAGGAGAUGAAAAACCAAUAACCAGUGAAUUCAACUCAAGAGCCUUUAUUUUCUGACCUGCCAAAUGAGACAUUAUAAUUGUUACAACCUUCAAGACGACGCAAUCAAGAUGAAGAUCUUCAAGAACGACAUGUUCUUCCUCAAAUAGAUGGCAAGAUACAACGUAUUUGGUAUCACGACCUUGGAAAGGAUUUCCAAUGUUUGGUGAUUUUACUAAAGGUAGGAACAAUUCUUAAUGGUGUUCCAAAUAUUUUAUUCGAAAGAAGUUAUGAAGGCCUCAAUAAUGAUCAAAUAACUGGGUGGACUUCUCACCCUAGUAUGAGACACUAUUGAUGGUUGAAAGGCCCUAUUAAUCAUCUUCAAAGAUAACAAAGAUCAGAGUAUGUGGCAAAUAUAAUUUUUUGCAUCAUAGAUUUCUUUAACAUAUGAUUAUCACUCCUUGUAGAACUUGUUUCUAGAAGGGGAGGUAAUGUCAUAGUAUCAUGAUGUAAUACGAUUAUAUAGUAAAAAUAUAAUCAAAAUUAAAUUUUUAAUUAAUAUCUAAUUAUCUUAGUUUAAUUAUAAUUUGAGGUAUGUAAACAUGGCUUUUAUAAAAGCCUCUUAGGUUAUUUUCUUAUCUUAAUAAUUAGUAGAUUGAAGGUUAGUUAGUAAUUUUACUUUCUAGGUUGUAGAGUCUCUUCUACUAUCUUCGAAAGACCAUAAAUUGAUGAAAUUAGAUUAGAAGAAAUAAAUAAUUAAUAUAGUUGGUAUUAGAAUUAAGUUAAGAGUAGGAUUGGACUAAAAAAUCCUUAAGAUAGAUUGAUAUCAGAGGGUCGAUCGUUUGUGAGAUAGGGUCGAAAUCAGACCUCUGGGCACUAAAACGACGGCCUCGGGCAAAAUAGGGUUUCAUUUGAAGAUCGGAAAUUAGAGUUUGAGAGUUAGCUUGAAGUUCAUUCCAAAAAAAUAAAAAAAAAAUUGAGAAGAUUUUAGAGGAGUUAGAAAUUAUUGUUCAAAGUUAGGGUUUAUAUCAGUGAUUUGGAUUUUAUAUAAUAUAAUUAGGGCUAGCAAUUUUGGCUAGUUUGUGCAAUUUGCAUGACAUCUACAAUUGAAAGUUUUAUAUUUUUUGGAUUAUUGGGUUUGCUAAAUGUAUACAAAAUUUUGUGAUAAUCUAACAGUGCAAUUUAGAGAUAUCUAGUUUUUAGAACAGGAGGAUUUUAGAAGGUGGCAAUUUGAGGUUGGAUAGAAUUUCUAUGAUAUUUGAAGAUCUAUUAAUCGGAUUGAGGUGAAAAUUGGCAUGGUGUUGGAAGACUUAAUAAUCAAGCUACACACCAAUUUUGAAACAAAGUUAAUGGUUAAAAAAGGUGAAAUCAUUGCUAGGAUUUGUGCUUCACUUUUUAAGUUGGUAGCCGAGUGACAUAGGUGCAAUUUUUGGAGGUUUUCUCACAAUUUGUAAGUUAGAUUGGGCUAAAAAUUCUUGAACAAUUAGUAGACUUGCAUUGGCAAUUUCAUGCAAAAUUUCACAUCAAGUGGAUGGUCGGAUUAGAUGUUUUAGCUUGUUAAAGCUCACUGAUUAGGAUUGGAAUUUACAAGAUAAAAUCUAAAUUUUUUAAAUAUGAAAGUAACAAGGCAAUUGGGAUUUAUGUAUGGUUAAGACUAUUAAGAAGAGUGUUUUAAAUACUUUUGAAUUGAAAUUCGGAUUAUAUUCUUCUCGCAUGAAUAAAACCUAUUAGGAUUUCUUAGCAAGUUCUGAAACAUAAUCUCACCUUCUAUAGCUAAGUGCCUGGUGCAUUCCUAAGCAAAACAACACGUAAUACAACAACAGAUAUAUGCAUGUAAGCCAGUAAUUAUAUAUAUAAAUAGGUAGAAAUAAGUAAAAGUAGGUAAAAAUAAGUUAAUUCUAUAGUAUUUGAUAUGGAAGCUUUAUAUACAUUGCUUUGACUUUAUAAGUGUCUUUAAUUGACUUUUUGGGAUUAGAAAUGUAGUCAACAAGUUGGCCAUGUGUCACACAUGUUAUUAACUUGAAGACCAAGCUAACUACAUGGCCCACAUAUAGAAAAACUUACCUUGUAAGUCAAGGCAUGUAUCCUACAAAGUCAUCAUAUAUUAAAGGUCUAAUAGAACGUUGCCACCUAGCCCCUAGUAAGAUAGUAUGUAUAGAGACAAGAGUAAAGUCUUCUUUACUCUUGUCAACUACUUUCUUGCUUCUAGUCUAGCUUCAAGGAUCUUUAGUUUUCUUGGCUUUUGGCAAUAGCCAUUCCAGUUUCUUUCUUAAUAUAUAUAUCAAGUUAUUUCUAUUUUGUCAUCUUUCUUUGAGAGAAGUCUUACUUGUUCAUUUGUCUUUAUCAUGUUCUUGUCCUUGACACUUAAUGAUAGUUGAUAGUAUUGUCAAAGACAUAAAUCUCAAAGAAAGAGAAUCUUUAAUAUACUCUUCUGUUAAAGAAGGGAACUAAAAAGUCACUCAAAAGGUGAUGUAAUAUUAAACUAGACUGGCUAUUGCCAAAAAUAAGAAGAUUAGAAAGUCUUAAAACAAGACUAAAGACUAGAAAGGUAUUGACAAGAGUGAAGAAGACUUCACUCUUGCCUCCAUAUAUACUCUUUACUAGAAGUUAUGUGACAAUGUCCUAUAAGACCUCGAAAAUGUAUUGACUUUUCUAGCCACAUAUCUUAACUUGUAAGAUAAGUUAUCUAUGUAUGUGCCACAUGUUUAGCUUGUUUUACAAGCUACCAACAUGUGAUUAACUUAUUGGCUAAGUUUCUAACCUAUAAAUAUAUUUAAAGUCAAAAUUGUGUCUAUAAAGCUUCUAAGAAGCUUUUUUAGAAUAUUUUAUAAAAUUAAUCUAUAUUUAUUUACUUCUACCUAAUCAUAUAAAUAAAUAUUGGGAUAAAUAUAUAUAUCCAUGACAUUACCUUUCCUUCUAGGGAUGAGUUCUAUGAGGAGCGAUCUUCAUAUGUUGACAAAGUCCAAGAUGUGACAAAUUAUAUUUGCUACAUACUCUGAUCUUUGCUCUCUUCAAAGAUGGUUGAUAGGCCUUAUCAGCCAUUAAUAAUAUUCUAUAUCAAGAUGAAAAAACUACCUCAUUAUUUAGUUUUUAUUGAUGUUUUUAUAACUUCCUUCAAAUAAAAUAUUUGAAACAUUGCCACAAGUUAUUUCUACUUCUAAUAAAAUGAUCAAGCAGCGAAAGUCUCUUCUAAGGUCAUGAUACUAAACAUGUUGUAUCUCGCCAUCUAUUCAAGGAAGAACAUGUCAUUUUUGAGGAUCUUCACCUUGAUUUUGUCGUCUUGAAGGUUGUGAAAAUUGUAAUGUCUCAUUUAUUAAGUCCGUAAAUGAAAGAUCUUGAGUUGAAUCUGUUGAUGAUUGGUUUUCCAUCUCCUUAAUGUUACAAAUACAUAGAAGCUAAAAAAAAAGAUAGAAAGUAGAAUAUUAUCUUUCUUUGAUCUUUUUUCUUUUAUAGCAAAGAUUUGGUAUUUUUCAUCUUGAUUUUGAUGGAUUUCAUUGAUAAAAGCUUCAACUCUCUUUGAUACAUUUACAACAUUCUUUGAUGGCUCCCAUGUGCAUUCAUUAAUAUUAUAUCCGUGCCAAUGAAUAAGAUAUUGUAACCUAUUUUGGUGCCACCUUAAGUUUAAGACUUCUUCCACCUCAAACUCUUGAUUGUUAUCGACUUCUAUAGGAGGAGGUGGUAUUUGUUUUCUUUCCAAAAUAUUCACUAUCUUAUAUUGCUUAAGAAGGGACACGUGAAAUAGAGGAUAGAUUUUGAUAGACUCCGAUAGAAAUAAUUGAUAAGCAAUAGGAUUGAAUUCUUUACAAAUAGAAAAAUGUACUAGCCUACAAUAUUCUAACUUAUCAAAAAGACAAGUAGUCUUGAUAUUGCCAUGAAGUAACCAUACCUUAUCACCAAUGUUGAAUUAUGGUUGCUCCUUGCAAUAGGCAUCUACGUUGGUCUUUUGCCGUUCUUGAGCUUCUUUUAAUUGUAUCUCUAUUGUUGUAUGUAGCGUUGACAAAUGAUUUGUUAAAUCUUCUGUCGGUGUCGUAUUACGUGCUUUCCUGCUCGAGAACGUGCCAGGCAUCUGGCUGUAGAAGGUAGUAUGGAGAUUCACCGAUAGUCAAGCAAUCUAUCAGUUUUUGACUACUGGAAUAUAAACGACUGCAACAAUGUACCGUAAAUCUAUACGGAUGCUCUUCGACUGCUUGUCGAAGUCUUUUUUUUUUUUUUUUUUUUUUUUGCCCCAGCCGAUAGGUCUCUAGACGUUACAAAGAACCCCGAACAAUUCAAACUGUUAAUCUUCAAUACCCCUUUGUACUUACGAUCUUGUAUCCACUGACUGUCCUGUUAGAUUAACCCAAUAAAUUUCAUUCACUCCGCAGACUCAAUCCUGUAGAUACCCCUUUAAUCCUUCAAUCACAGACGUAACUCGAUUUUACAAAACAGUCAAGAGUAUUCAAACCCACUUCAUUUAAAAAUCCCGAUUCACCAUUACAACACUGACUUCAGCAGCGAUUGUCUCAGUCUUCCCAAAACUCUACGAAGAAGAAAUAUCCAAAUUCUAUGUCUUUCCUUCCCCGACCCGAAGCAUGAAGCUCCUCUCUCUAAUUCCCUUGAUCUUCCAAAAACCUCCAAUGAAAACCGAACUCGUAACCUUGCAAAAACUUGAAAAACUCCUCCCUCCCCGAUUCUCCCUCAAAACUAUAUCCCCCCUAACCUUAUCCUCUGAAUUUCUUCAAUCUUCCGUCUUAGAUCCGGAAUUGGCUCCUACCUCAAGCUUGGAUCCGAAAUUGGCUCUCGCAGUCAAGCUUUCUCCUCCGUUUUUACCUUUAAGAAAUCCAUUUACCGAAAACAACGUUCCCUGAAACGGCAUAGAGAACAGGACAGCCUGAAACAGAAUCGAACCCCGUAAUCGGGACCACAUUGAGUCGCGCGACCAAUUCAGGUCUUAUAUUGGGAAAGAUGUCCGUAGUAACCUGGAUGUUCUUGUAAUUAGGUCAAAUUGGUCCUCGCGUCAGAUUGGCUAAGACCCGUAGUAAGACCUGGAUUUCUCGUAAUUAGACUGCAUUGGGUUGACCGGCCAAUUCAGGUCUCAUAUUGGAUAAGAGGACCCGGAUUGGAUUAUCGAAAUUGGAUCCAAUUGGCUCCUCGAACCCGUCGUGUGAAUUGGUCCUUUUCUUCCUGCUGACUCCCGUUAUUGGAAUCGAACGGAGCAUUUCAGUAUGCCCCGGCUGACUGUAACGGAGUGACUGAACCUGACCACUCAGUAUUUGUACUGGAGUUCGUCGAUGCUCCCAAUAUUUGAGGUAAUUGAAUAUUAAUAAAAUUCCCGUUUCUUUUUAUUUUCACUGUAUACUCGUGUUACAAGACGACACCGGAAGAUUAUUAACUUUUGAGAAAUCAAAAGUAUCAAGUCAUAGAUGAUAACCAUAAUUGGCAAAAAAAAGAUGUUUAUUGAAUAGAAGAAUGUAAAAAAUUAUUGUAUGUAAACUCUAUCAAUGAUAAAAGAGUUUUCAAUCAUCUUGAUGAUAGUUGAUGAUAGACCUCAAAUACUACUCCAAAACUUGAUUUAUUUAUUUCUUUUGCCUAUGAGUUUGAAGAUGAAAAAUCGAAGAAAGCUUUAUAUCUAUCUUUAGUAUCUUAAAUAGGAUUUUUCAAAAUCUUGAUACAAAUUGAGUCCCUCUAUCUGAUAUAAAAUCCUUUGGUAAUCCAUGAUAGGGAUAGAUAUUGUCAAUAAAAAGCUUAAUUAUUUCUUCACCUAAAAUAGAUUUUAUACAUAGUACAAAAUUUACCAUUUUGGUGAAGAAAUCUAUGAUUACAAAUAUGGAAUCAUAUAAACCUAAGACUGGAAGAUCCGUCAUAAAAUCUAUAGAAACGAAAGAUCAUGAUUGUUCUGAAAUUGAUAAUAAUUGAAGAAGUCUAUAAGGUCAAUGGUGAAGAGUUUUGGAUCUUGAACAAGUAUCACAUGAUUCUACAAAGUCUUUGACUACCUUCCACAUUUGAUACCACUAAAAAUCUCUUGAUAUCAAAGACAUAUACAAUGAAGUUGUAGAAGAUUCUAGAAGGUUCUAGAGAAGCUUUGUAGUUUGUAGAAGCUACUUGAGAAGUUUUCAAGCUUGUGGAAGCUACUUGAGAAGCUUUCUAGCUUGUGGAAGCUCCUUGAAAACCUUCCUAACUCAUAGAAGCUGCUUGAAAAGCUUCCUAGUUUGUGGAAGCUACUUGAGAAGCUUUUUAGCAUGUAGUAUAUAAAGGAGCCGAGACUAAAGGGAUCCUCAGUCUUGACAACACACCCCUUGGAGCUCUAGCUCACCUCUCUAGUGUUAUUUUUGUUGUCAUCUCAUUAAUCUAGUUCUUGCUAAUUCUUCUUGAGCUUCUUGUUUAGAUUUCCAGUCAGUAUUCUAAAUUCAUGACAGUUUGUCAAGACUACACUCAUCUUUCAUAUGAGAGCUAGUUCUUUCUUGUUAGAGUAUAGAUUAUCUCUCUAUUUGAAGGUAUUGGUAUUUUAGAAGUUACGGAUUACCCUCCUCUAAAUUGAUAUUUCUUCUAUUAUAAUAUUAGAGUCUUAUCUUUCUUGGAGAGAGUGAAUUACUCCUCUACCUAAAGAUUUUAAGGCAUUUUAGAGGUUGCAGAGUACCCUCCUCUAAACCAAUACUACCUUCUUGUAGAAUCAUUUCUUUCCUUCUCUUAGAAUGGCCAGAGGUUAAGAUAUUAGUAUGGCUGAAAGUUUGGAGUCCAAGUUAGAUGCCAUUAUAAAUGAUCUUGCUACAUUAUCAUAGAGAACUAUAGAGAUUGAAAGAAUCACUGCAAGACUUUAUAGUGAUGGAGCAUCCGAGAUGGCUUAAUUGGGGAUUCACUGGCCUCAAGCUUCAGUACCAAGAGAACCAGCUUUACCUCUAGUUCAACAAGGAUUGUUGAUCUUACAACAAAAAGAAUCCCAAAUUAGCCUUCCAGACGAGUUCGAUGGUACGCAUCCAAGUUUCAAGAUUUUGUCAAUUAAAUUAGAUUGAUAACAACUUUAUAGCUCAAAUGCUAUCCAACGAAAGAGUCAAGUGUCAGAUUGGUUGGAACUUUAUUCAUGGGACAAGCUCUAUCAUGGUUUGCUCCUUUGUUUGAGAAAAGAUCAUUAAUUUUGAACAACUUCAAAAAAAUUUUGGAGGCGUGUGCGGAAGCAUUUGACAAACAUGAUAAGGCGUGAUGGGCUACAACAAAGAUCCAGUCGCUAUGACAAGGGGCACGCUUUGCAUCAAUCUAUGCAUCAGAUUUCAAACAAUUAGUGUGCAACAUCAACUGGAACGAGGAAGCAAUGAUGAGUCAAUUUUAUUGGAGCUUGAGAGAUGACGUGAAGGAUUUGUUAUUAUCUCUUUCCGAUCCAUGAAUGCUCAACAAAGCUAUUAGCCAAGGUGUGAAGUGUGAUAAUCACUUAUUCCAACGUCACCAAGACCAACGUUUAAGAACAACAUAUGGCUCAUAACGCUCUAACUAUGUCAACAAGUAGUCUGAAUUCAUAUUUAGAGAUGGAAGACAUGUAAAUUGAUGUGGUACGCAUCAAAUUCCUAACUCUAGAAAAAAAAAAGGGGCGUAUGGAGGAGGACUAUGCUUAUAUUGUGAUGAAGAAGGCCACAGAGUUGGAAACUAUUCCAAGAAGUAAAAUCGAUGCAUUAUCAGGACUAGAAGCACGUUUGUUCAGAAAAAUAAAGAUGCCUAGCCACAAUAGGGACAAUGCAGCUAGACAAUUCAAUACCACAACAACAAUCAAGUUCCUCUCUUUCUGCUCAACCUAUCCAUUGCUUUAACAUUCCUCUAAUUUUUGGCCCUCAAAAACUAAAAACCUUAGCAUUAUUAGAUUCAAGAGCAUUUGCUUGUUUUUUAGACAAAAAAUUUGUGAAGUGUCACGAGAUUCGUCUAGUACAAAAACCUAAACCUGUUCACGUAGAAGUAAUAGAUGGCUGACCUUUAUUGUUUGGUAGUAUCACCCAUAAAUCAGAACCUAUAGAGGUGACAUUUAAAGACCAUAGUAAUUAUAUUAUUUUUAAUAUUGUUAGAACUCCGUCAAACCCUAUUAUUCUUGGACUUUCUUGGUUAGAAAUGCAAAAUCCAUCUAUAGAUUGGAAGUUACGAAGGAUGACAUUUCAUAUAGAAUAUUUUGAGAGUAAGUCUGUUAGAAGAUCUCGAAUCAAAAAAUCCUUAUUUAUUAAAGCAAGAGUAUUUGUAACAUCGUCUACGGAAGGCACAUCGUUUAUCAUUUAUGUGACUCCAACUAGCAAAGAGAAGAUUUUAACAACAAAUAUAUCAGAGUAAUAUAAGGAUUUAGAAGACAUGUUUCAAAAGAAGAAUGUCGACAUGCUACCGAAGCAUUGACUAUACAAUUGUGCCAUAGACUUACAAGAAGGAGCACAACAACGUUUUGGCCCAAUCUACAAUUUGUCACAAAUGGAGUUAGUGGAGUUACUGAAGUACAUUGAUGAGAAUCUAGCCAAGAACUUCAUUUGUCAUUCGAAGUCGCCAACUGAGGUACCAAUCUUAUUUGUGAAGAAGAAAGAUGACUUGUUAUAGAUGUGCAUGGAUUAUUGAGGUCUCAACAAGGUGACAAAGAAGAAUCGUUAUCCAUUAUCCUUAAUAUCAGAUCUUCUAAAGUAACUUGGAGGUACAAAGAUCUUUACAAAGAUUCACCUAAGGGGAGUUUAUAACCUCGUCUAAAUUAAAGAAGGAGACGAAUAGAAGAUAGCUUUUCACACAAGGUAUGGCCAUUUUGAAUAUAAUGUCAUGCCUUUUGGUCUUACCAAUGCUCCGGCGAUCUUUCAACACAUGAUGAAUGAUAUCUUUUAGGAGCACCUUGACAAUUUUGUUGUCAUCUAUCUAGAUGAUAUUUUGAUAUUCUCCAAGAACAUAGAAGAGCAUGAAAAAUACGUUUGUCUGGUCUUUGAAAAACUCUAUGAGCAAGGAUUUUACACCAAGUUGAAGAAGUGCUUGUUUAACCAAAUUGAGAUGGAAUUUUUGGGAUUCAUUGCAACUACAAAAGGCUUGAAGAUGGACCCUAAGAAAGUGGAAGAAAUCAUAUCAUAGAAAGUUCCAAAGAUGAUUAAAGAUGUACAAUGCUUUCUUGGCUUUGCUAACUUCUAUCGGAUCUUUAUCAAGAAUUAUUCGCAAGUUGCUGCUCUGCUCACUUGAUUGACAUGUAAAGACAAGCUCGAUAGAAUAUGUUGCUAUCUAGAUUUGAUUUUAUUAUUUUUUAUUGGCUUGGGAAGCAACAAGAACUAUCCGAUGCAUUGUCAAGGAGAUUGUAUCUAGUACCACAGGCUAGAGAAGCAGCGUUUGAUCAAGAGUGUAGAACAUUAUUGAAGUGAAAAUAAUUUAGGCUUUUGCUCUGCUAAGUACCAAUUGAUGCUGACUUCCUCAAUCAAAUAUGUACUGUGGCUAUUGGAGAUUUUGUAGUCCUCGAUAUCACGUAAUGUAUCAAUAAUGACAAGUCCAAGGUAGAAGGAGAUCUUUUAUACUUUGAGAAGUGGUUGUAUUUUCUAAAGAGACAAGCAUGACUCCGAGUUCUCCAAUCUCGAUACGACUUUCCAACUGCAAGAUAUUUUGAAUUCAAUAAGACAUUGGAACUUAUUCCUCGAGAUUUUUGGUGGUCCUAAAUAUGGAAGGAUGUCAAGGAUUUUGUCCUCUCCUAAGACAUUUGUUCAAGAUCCAAGAACCUCCUUAUGGUCUUCUUCAACCAUUGCCUAUUCCACAUUGGCCAUGGUCUUUAGUUUCUAUGGACUUCAUUAUAGACCUGUUGCCAUCAAAUUCAUUUGACAUCAUCUUUGUUGUGGUAGAUCGACUUACAAAGAUGGCAUACUUUAUCCCUUGCAAGAAAAUAUUGUCAAGGAAAGACACAGUAAGGCUCUUCCUUGAUAAUAUGUAUCAAUAUCAUAUUGGGUCAAGGAACCCAAUUCGUAUCAAAGUUCUAGAGAUAUCUCUUUGAGAUAUUGAAGGUAGAUAUCAAGCUUUCUUCGGCUUUCCAUCUUCAAACUGACAACCAAACAGAACGUGUGAAUCAAACUUUGGAGCAGUAUUUACAAUGCAGCAUCAACUAUCAACAAGAUGAUUAGACUACAUAUCUAUCAUUAGCUGAGUUUACAUAUAACAACACCCUUCAUGCGUCGACUCAACAAACACCAUUCUUUUCCAACUAUGGAUAUCAUUCGAAGCUUGAUUUUUUGAGUCCAUCAACUAAUAAGAAUCCCACAGUUGAAGGAUUUGUGAAACAACUAUCGAAGCUUCAAACUACAUUAAAGCUUCAAUUACAAACCGCUCAAGAAGCUUACAAGGCGUCUGCAAAUAAAUUUCAGAAUUAGGCACCUACUUUCAAAAUUAGAGAUAAAGUAUGGCUACUUCGACAGAAUAUCAAAACCAAGCGACCAUGUGAUAAGUUGGACUACCAAAGAUUGGAACCAUUUGUCAUCCAAAAGCAAAUCAAUCCAAUGGCAUACCAUUUGGAGUUACCGGCUGUUAUGAAGGUAUACCCAAUCUUUCAUGUUUCUUUAUUGGAGCCUUAUCGAGAGUCAUUUUUUUCUAGAAGAGUGCAAUGUCCGCCACCUAAUAUUGAAAUUGAGAACCAUGAGGAAUACGAAGUAGAAAAGGUACUAGAUUCGUUGUAUAAGUGGGAGAAAUUAGAGUACCUAGUGCAUUGGAGUGGCUAUGAUAUCAAUAAGUGCACAUGGGAACCAGUGAAAAAUCUUAUCUAUGCAUCACAAAAAAUACAAGAGUUUCAUCAAUGCUAUCCUCAAAAACCUAAGUCCUUUUGAUGAAAGUUUUUUAGUGAAGUUCCUUCUCUUUGAAGCCUCUAAAUCCUCGGUCUUACAAAGAAGGGAGAGAAGGAACCUCUAAAAGACAUAGUUAGAGACUAUAAAUCUGUAACUUGAGCCCAUUGUUCCAUGUUUAGUACUUGUUUUUUUGAUUUGAUAUGGAUAGCCAAGAAAUAGAUACCAUAUCACUCAUGUCUUCUCAACCGAGUAUCUCACAAAGACAAUUCCAAGAUGAAAAUUGUUUGUACUACAAAGUCGACAAAGGAUACCUAGUAACAAGUCGCUAGUGAUUGUGUUUGAGGUAGAACCUGCCUAUGGUAAUCUUCCCAAAUGAGUGUUUGCACGGCAUUUUUAUAAUGAAGAUGCAGAAGUUCAUGUCUAAUUAGAAAUUGAAGGUGUAGGGUACUAUCAUUGGUUACAAGGACGAAUGAACUACUUGGCACCCAAAUAAGAAUUGGAAUAUAGUAUAGAUGCUAUGUGAUAAAUUUUUAACUUCUUACGUUGGUACUGACUCGCAAUAGGAGUGCUUCUCGGAGACCUCAAAGCUAAGGGGGAGGGGAGGUAACGUCAAGGACAUACAUUAGGAAGUUGUAGAAGAUUCUAGAAGGUUUUAGAGAAGCUUUGUAGUUUGUAGAAGCUACUUGAGAAGUUUUCAAGCUUGUGGAAGCUGCUUGAGAAGCUUCUUAACUUGUAGAAGCUGAUUGAGAAGCUUCCUAGUUUGUGGGAACUACUUGACAAGCUUCUUAGCUUGUAGUAUAUAUAAGAGCCGAAACUAAAGAGAUCCUCAGUUUCAAUAAUACACCUCUUAGAACUCUAGCUCACCUCUAUAGUAUUGUUCUUGUACUCAUCUGAUUAAUCUAGUUCUUAUAAAUUCUUCUUGAGCUUCUUGUUUAGAUUUCGAAUCAGUAUUCUAAAUUUGUGAAACUUGAUAUUAAUUCCAAAUUCUUGUUGUAUCCAAAAUAUCUAACUGUUGAAAAAUCAUGACAAGCUUGAAGGACAUGUAAUCUUGCCUUGCCUUUUGGAUUAUAUAUGUAAUCUUUGAAAUAUAAUAGGUUGUUCUUGAACUCAAACUUUGAAGUGUCAUAGGACUUAGCAAAAGUAUUCUUGAUAUCAUGAACAAGAGGAUCAAAGGACAUAUUUGAUUGAAUUUGCUUGAUAAAAGUUGAAUCAAUAGUCAAUAUUGAUUUUAUUGCUCAAAGAUGAAAAUUCUUGGACUUCAAGAUAAUUAUUCUUUGUUGAUUAAAAGAUACAUCUCCUUCUUUUAGUACAAGAUAAGAUUAUCUAGAAAGGGUGUCUAAUAGACCUUGUUGUUUUUUGGGUUGAUAAAUAAUCUUGAAAUUGAAUCUGGAUAAAAACAUACUCCAACGAGCUUGAUAAUGAUUCAAAACACAUGCUAAUAUGAAGUACUCGAGGUUCUUAUAAUCCAUAUAUAUGGUAUCAUAAUAUAUAACAUUUGGCUUGAGAAUGCACCGGGCACCUAGCUAUGGAAGAUAAAAGAAAAAUUGCAACAACAAGUCCUAACAAUUCUAAUAAAUCCGUAAACAAAUUACAAUUAAAGAUUAACAAAUAUAAUCAAAUAUUAAUCAAAUUCAAUCAAAAUUUCAAAAGAAUUAUAUAAGAAGCUCAAAAUAUUCUUAGAAAUUCUUUAAAGAAUAAAAAAGUAAUAAUAUAGAAAUUUAAAAAUAUACUAAAAUAGAAACCUUAAUAAAAUAUUAAAAUAGAAACUUUAAUUAAAUUCUAAUCAAAACCUAAUCAAAUUUUAGUCAAAUCUUAGUCAAAUCCUAAUUAAAUCCUAAAAAAAUAUUAAUCAAAUUCUAAUCAAAUCCUAAAUAAAUCCUAAUCAAAUUCUAGUCAAAUCCUAAACAAAUCUCAACCAAAUCCUAAAAGAAUCCUAAAAAAAUCCUAAUGAAACCUUAAACAAAUCCUAGUCAAAUCUUAAAUAAAUCCUAAUCAAAUCUUAAACAUAUGCUAACCAAAUCCUAAAAAAAUCCUAAUGAAAUCUUAAAAAAAUUCUAAUGAAACCUUAAACAAAUCCUAGUCAAAUCCUAAUCAUAUCUUAAAUAUAUGCUAACCAAAUCUUAAAUAAAUCCUAGUAAUUCCUACAGCAGAUUUGAACCUCAAUAAUUAAUGAAUGAACCAUUGAUUUUAACUCAAAUUUUAUACACCUCUUAAUAAUUAAGUUAAAAGAAGUAUAAAUAUUUUGAAGAAGAUUGAAUUCACCAAUAAGAAGAUCAAUCCUAAUAUUUUCUUGGAUGUUGGUCGACCUCCUUUUCCAAUCUAAAUGUUGAAUUUUCAAUGCCAAUAUCUCCUUAUCAAACUAUUCAAUUGAUUUCAAAUUUCUCACAUAUAUAGGAAAAUAAGUUUAUUAUCUAUAUACAUAGGUUUAUCUCCAAUCCAACUGAUAGAUUUUAAGAAAUCUUAAAAAAUCUUACUAGACCUAAAACUCUACUUUUCAAGAUCCUAAUCCACUUAAACCUCAAUAAUCCUUGAUCCACCCUUCCAUCAAGCUGAAACUCCCAGCAUAUAUUGAACACAUAUAUAUCUAUAAAUUCUCAAAAUUUCAUCUAUAGAUCUAUUGUUAAACUUAUAAAAAUCUCCAAAAUGUAUCAUCUUUUUUAUUUCACAAAUUCAAAGUCAUUCAAAACAAAUCCCAACUUUGCAAAGCUCUUAUAAAGUCAAUAUAAAUCCAAAUCACCCAAAAUUAAUGCUAAAAAAAUAUAUCAAGUUUGCUCUCAAAUCCUACUCUUUGAUCUCCAAAAGAAUUUCAAAAUCAUUGUCGAAGCUUGAUUUUGUACUUCAAGAUAUGAUUUCGACCCUAGUUCAUAACUGGACCUUUUCGGGUAUCAAUAUCUAGUUUUUCUAGAUAAUUUUUGCUAGAAUUUAUUCUUAACUUCCUCCUAAAUAUGCCUAUAUUAUUUAUUUUUCUAAUCUAUAUUAUUUUGCUUUAUUUAUGGCCCUACAAAGUAAGUAGAAGUCACUUUUUAAAAAAACAGCAUUAUUACUAAAAAUUUUACUACCUUCCUAUCUUUUAUCCAUAUUUUUUAAGUUUAUCUUUUAACUUGGCUCUUCUAAAAUAAGAUCCUUAUUAUCAUCUUUUACCAUAUAAUUGUGUUACAAUAUGAUAACAAUGACUGGACUUGAAGCCUUUUUUAGAUAAUGAUGCCAUUCUUGAAAUGAAUCUACAAUUACAAAGAGCUUUUUGUCAUGGAUCUCAUAAUUAAUCCCGGUUGCUGAAAAUUUCUUGGAAUGAAAAGUUAUUAGAUGGAAUUUAUCAUUUGUUUCCAUUUCUGACAACAUGACAUCCAUAGCAAAGUGUUAUGUAUGUAUUUCCACAAAAAGUGCAUUGAAAAAGUUGAUACAAUGUAAUGAUAAACUCACAAAAAAUGUCAUUUAUAAGAUGUUGAAAAGUGAUUGAUACAUGUGUGAGUCGAAAAGGUAUGACAUUAUAUUCAAAAUAUCCAUACCUAAUUCAAAAAGCAGUCUUGUAUUCAUCUCUUUAUUUAAUAUGAACUAAGCUAUUUUUUCUUUGUAUAUCUAUUUUGGUAUAGAUCUUUGCUUGAUUGAGUUGGUCAAGAAGUCCUAAAAUCAAACGUAAAGGAUAUCUAUUUUUGAUGGUGAUCUUAUUGAGUCCUCAAUAAUCUACAUACAUCUACAAAGAUCCAUCUUUCUUCUUCAUAAAUAAGAUAGGAGCCUCAGUUGGAGAUUUAUAAUGGUGUAUGAAGUUCUUUGCCAAGUUCUCAUCAAUAUAUUCCUUUAAUGUAGCAAACUUAUUUUACGAUAAGCUAUAGAUUGGUCAAAAUGGUGGUUGAGUUUUUUCUUGCAAAUCAAUUGAACAAUCAUAAGAUUGAUGCUCUGGAAGAAUAUUUGUAUUUUUUUUUUUUCAAAAAUGUCUUGAAAUUCUUGAUAUUGGCUAGAAAUACCACUUGACAUUUUUUCAUCAUUAAAAAUGGAUAAAGCAUAUAUAUCAAAAGAUGAUCCUUCUUUUGCAGCAUUCAUGAAAGCUUUUACUUCUACUACUAAAAGUUUAGAUAUACUAGAUUUAUAUACUUCUAUUUCACUAAUUUGAUCUUGAAUUAUAUUAUCAGAGAAGUUAAGGUUAUAAGAACUCUAAUCUAUUUGAAGGUUAUAUUUUUUUUAGCCACAAUAAUCCUAAAAUAAUUGUAUUAGAGAGAGAUCUUAUUAUAUUAAAUACUACUAAAUUAUUACAAUCUUUAAUUGUUACAUCUAAAAGAACAGUUUCAUAGAUAAUAUUUUUAGAAGAUAACAAACGACCAUUUAUGACUUCUAUAUGUAUGAGUUUAAUUUUCUUGACUAAAGAUAUUUUUUGAUUUUUGAUAAAAUCUUUGUCUAUGAAAUAGGCUAAGGCUCUUGAAUCUAAUAAGGUAGGGAUUUUGUGAUUUUUAGGUUCUAAAUAUACAUUUAUUAUAAAACAAGGUAAAGGAUUUGAGGAGAAAAUAAGACCUUUAUUAGGUGUUGUACGUGAUUUCAACCGCAUGGUUCCUAUUGUAGCUGAAGAAAUUUAUUUUCCAACACAUUAUCUUCUUUGGUAUUUGUGCUCAUCAUUUUGUAAUUGCAUUGCUUCUUUAGACAAUGUUGAGUAGUGUGGUUAGCUUCUCCAUAAUAUAAAUAUAAAUCCUUCUGGCAAUAUCUAGUCUUUUCUUAUUCCAUAAGAUAUUUAAAAUGUAUUACAUCAAUUUUUAUUGAUUCCAGUUUUGAUGAAUAAGUUUUAAAAAAUGUGGGAGCUACCACCAAUACUUGACUUGUUCCACUUUAGCUAAAUCUUUGUUCUUGAUGCCUUUCAAAUAAUCAAUUGUCACAUACAAUGGCUUGAGUAAUAAAUUAUUUCAAAGAUUCUAUUUUUGGCAUUAUUAAUAAUAAAUCUUUGAUACCAUCUUUCAAUCUAUAUCAAAAUUGAUUGAUAAGUGCUUUUUCAUUCUAGUCCAUGUUGCAAGUGAGAUUUUAGAAUUUAGGAGCUUAUUGAUAGUUGAUUGUGAUCCUUGUUAUAAAAAUAAGAGCUUGGUCUUUAUUACGAUUUUUUGAUCACUUUCUUCAAGUGUGGUUGUAAAUUCUUUUAGGAAUGAAUUCAAAUCUUAAAAGAGUCGCAAAUCUUUUUCCAUUAAAGGUGUAAAUCAAGAAAGAUCACUUCCUGAUAGAAAUGUACCUAUGAAGCUGACUUGAGAAAAUCCAUCGGGAUAUUGGAAAAGAUGCAGCCUUACAUAGAGCUUGACUUAUUGUAAAAAUCUUCGAAAUUUUGAUCUUGUUUCAUCAAACAUCUCAAAUAUAUUAAUCCUUGCCUCUGUCAUACUUGCAGAAGCAAAAUUCCUUAGAUUUGGUUGUGAGGUUAAUCUACUUUUUUUAACUGUACAACUUCUUACCAUAGACUCUGAACUUCUUCCAUAGACAUAGAUAUAGUACUUCCAUGAUUCAGGUUGAAAAUACGUGAAAUUUCUACUCUUAGAGUGUUGAUAAAUUCAUGAAGAUCUGUAACAGUUAUAAAUCUAUUUUCACUUCCACUAAGCGCACACCAUCCAUACUCUUUUCUUCCAAAAAUAACUCAAAUAAAUUCAAAAAGUUAAAUUAGAGAAGGAUAAUCCACAACCUUUGGUAAAAAUUUCUUCAAAAAUGAAUAAUUCACUUUCUUUAAAGAAAAGAUCAAUGUUAAAAAAUAAGGUUUUUUGUUUAAAGGUGGAUAGUCCAAAACCUUUAAAAUACAACAAUAGAAGUGAAGUAAUUCAUUCACUUCUAAAACAAGACAAAAAUAAUAUGUUAGCACUCUUGUCAAACUGUUAAGGACAUGAAUCUUGAAGAAAGAGAAUCUUCAAUACACUCUUGUGUAAAAGAAGAGAACUAAAAGUCACUCAAAAGGUGAUAUAAUAUUAAACUAGAAUGACUAUUGCCAAAAAUAAGAAGACUAGAAAGUCUUGAAACAAGACUAAUGACUAGAAAGGUAUUGAUGAGAAUGAAAAAGGCUUCAUUCUUGCCUCCAUAUAUAUCCUUAACUAGGAGCUAUAUGGCAAUGUCUUAUAGAACCUCCAAAAUAUGUUGACUUUUUUAAUUACAUGUUUUAACUUGCAAGGUAGGUUAUCUAUGUAUGUGCCACAUAUUUAGCUUGUUCUACAAGCUAUUACAAAGAAUUAACUUGUUUCACAAGCUACCAACACAUGGUUAACUUGUUGGCUAAGCUUCUAAUCUAAAAAUAUAUUUAAAGUCAAAAUCUUAUCUAUGAAGCUUCUAAGAAGCUUUUCUAGAAGAAUUUAUGAAGUUAUUCUAUAUUUACCUACUUCUACCUAAUCAUAUAAGUACCUAUUGGGAUAAAUGUAUAUAUCCAUGAUAAGUAUACUUCAAAUAUUACUUUAGAACUUGAUUUAUUUGUUCCGUUUGCUUAUCAAUUUGAAGAUGAAAAGUCAAAGAAAUUUUUAUAUUCAUCUUUAAAAUCUUGAUACAAAUUAAGUCUCUUUAUCGAAUAUAUUAUCUUUUGGCAAUCCAUAAUAAUAAUAGAUAUUAUAAAAAAAACUUAGCCAAUUCUUUACUUAUGAUAUAUUUUGUACAUGGUACAAAAUGUAUCAUUUUGGUAAAAUGAUCUACUAUCACAAAUAUAGAAUCAUACAAAUUUGAGACUAGAAGAUUUGUAAUAAAAUCUGUAUAAACAAAAGACCAUGGUUGUUUUGAAAUAGGUAAUGGUUGGAGAAGUCCAUAAGAUGGAUAAAAAUAAUUUUUUGAUCUUAAACAAAUAUCACAUGAUUGUACAAAUUCAUUAACUUCCUUUUACAUUUGAGGCUACCAAAAAUCUCUUAGUACUAUCUCCAAAGUCUUAUUGUAUCCAAAAUAUUUAGAUGCUGAAAAGUCAUGAUGAGCUUAAAGAACAUAUUAUCAUAUAGUAAUAUGACUAUAUAGUGAAAAAUUAAAAUACAAAUGUUUUUAUAAGAGAGCCUAAUAAGAUGAUGUAGUAGAAAAAUAAGGAUAAAUGAUAGGAAGGUAAUAAAAGAUUUUAGUCUUAAUGUUGCCUUUUAGAGAAAGAACUUCUAUUUGUUUAAUAAAAGCAUAAAUAUCUCAAAUCAAAAUAAAUGAGAUAAAUAAUUUAUAUAGAUAUAUUUAGAAAUAAAUUAUUAUUAGGUUCAAAUAAAAAUUACCUCAAAUUAUUAAAUAUUGGUACUCAGAGAGGGCUUAUUGUCAAAUAGGAUUUAAAUGAGACCUCAAGGUAUAAAAUCAUGUACCUACAAUGAUUAGAAGGUUCUUUAAUAGAUCGAAGAAUAAGAUUUAAGAAUAAACUAAUAAAAAUAUUUUUAGGCAUUGGUUUUAUAUCAAUCAAGUUAAUAUUCAAUUUUUAAGAGAUUUUCAAAAAUAGUGAUGUUCUUGGUUGGAUUAGAUUUUAAAAAAAUAAAGUUAUAUUUACAAAAUUAAAGAUUUCUUGAGUUUUUCGGUGUGUGUAUAAGUGAAUUUUGGGCAAUAUGUUGGUAUUUUAGUUGGUAGUAUAUGUGAAGAUUUAGAGAUAAAUUGAACAUUUAGAUCAAAGUACUUGAAGGUUUUUGUAGGUUAAGAUCUCAAAAAUCAGAAUUUGAAGGUUAGUGAGUAUUUUUAAGAUCUUUAGAAAUUCGUUGAUUGGAUUGAAGUGAAUUUUUUUUGUAUAGAGACUAAACUUGAUUUUCCAUAGUUUAAAUAUAUUUUGGAGAUAAUUCAAUAGUUUAAGAAGGAGAUAUUUGCACUAGAAGUUCAACAUUUAGAGUGGAGUAGGAGGCCUCCCAAUACUUCAAUGGAAUUUAGGAUUGAUCUUCUCUUUGGUAAGUUUUAUCUUCUUCAAAUUUUGUAUACUUAUUGCCAACUUAGUUUUUAAAAGGUGUAUAAAAUCUUAAGCAAGAUCAAUAGUAUAAUUGAUAGAUAUUGAGAUUCUAAACUGCCCUAGAAUUAGUUUAAUUUGAUUAAAGCUUGAUUUAGGAUUUAAGAAUUGAUUAGGAUUUAGUAUUUUUUUAGGAUUUAAUUAGGAUUUUACUUACAAUUUAAAUAAGGAAUAUUAUAUUUUUAACUAGGAUUAAAAUAAGAUUUGAUUAAAAUUUAUUUAAAAUAUAUUUUAGAUUUUAUUUUAAUCAUUUUUUUGAAUUUCUUUAGGUUUUUUUCAUGCUUCUUUUAUAAUUUUUUUGAGGUAUCUUUAGAUUGACUAAAGCUUGAUUAGAAUUACUAAGAUUUAAUUAGAAAUAUUUAAAAUUCUAUGAAAAUUAAAAUCUUGUUGCUGUAAUAAUCCUUCUACCUUCUACAGCCAAGUGCUUGGUGCAUUUUCAAGGAAGGCUUUACGUAAUACAACAACAUAAUCAUGCUUUGCCUUUUAAAAUAUAUAAUUUUUUUUCAAAAUAUAAUAGAUUAUUUUUAAACUUAAACUUAGGAGUAUCAUGAGACUUAGAAAAAUUAUUCCUCAUAUUAUAAACAAGAAGACAUACUUGAUUGAAUUUGCUUGACAAAAAUUGAAUCAACAAUCAAUGUUGAUUUUAUUCCUUGAAGAUAAAAAUGCUCUAGCUUCAAGAGGAUCAUUCUUUGUUGAUCAAAAGCUUCUUUUCUUUCUUUAAGUGCAAGAUAAGAAGGUCUAAAAAAGAUAUUUAAUAAACCUUAUUAUUUUUUAGAUCAAUAAAUAAUCUUGAGAUUAAAUCUUAAUAAAGAAAUGCUUCAAUAGGCUUGGUGAUAAUUCAAAUUAUGCAUUGACAUGAAGUAUUCAAAAUUCUUAUAAUCCAUAUAUACAAUGAUUGGACUAGAAGCACUUUCUACAUAAUAAUGCCAUUCUUCAAAUGAAUCCACUAUUGUAAGAAUUUUUUUUUAUGGAUAUUGUAGUUAAUCUCGGCUACUAAAAAUAUUUUAGAAUAAAGAGCUAUUGAGUAGAGCUUACAAUCUACUCUCAUUUAUAACCAAAAAUCAUUUAUAGUAAAAUCUAAUACAUUUGUUUCUAUAAAGAAUUCUUUAGUGAAGUCUAUGAAAUAUAAAAUUGGUGCAAAAAUAAAUAUUGUCUUUAAGGCUUUAAAAGAUGCUUUAGCUUCUUUGCUCUACUCAAGUUUGUCUUUAUAUGUCAAAUGUAUAAGAAGAGCCAAAAAUUGAGAAAAAUUCUUGAUAAAGAUCUUAUAAUAAUUAAAAAAUUUCAAAAAACAUUGAACAUCUCUAACUAUUUUUAAGAUCUUUCAAUCUAUGAUAGUUUGGACCUUCUUAAGAUCCAUCACAAGAUCAUUUUUUAAAAUGAUGCAUCCUAAAAAGUCAAAUUGAGUAAUAUAAAAUACAUACUUUUCUAUCUUGGCAUAUAUUCUUAUAUCUCUAAGUUUUUUUAAUACAUAACAAAUAUAAAAUUCAUACUCUUUUGUGUUCUUAGAGUAAAUGAAGAUGUCAUCUAAAAAACAAACAACAAAAUUUUCAAGAAACUUGUAAAAAAUAUCAUUCAUUAGAUGCUAAAAAGUAGUUGGUGCAUUUAUGAGUUUAAAAGGUAUGAUAUUAUAUUCAAAAUAUCCAUACCUAUUUCAAAAUAUAGUUUUUCAUUCACCUUGUUUUUUAAUGCAUACUAAAUUAUAUGCUCUUUGUAGAUCUAUUUUGUAUAGAUCUUUGUUUGAUUUAGUUGAUCAAGAAGUCUUAAAAUUAAUAAUAGAAGAUACUUAUUUUUUAUAAUGAUCUUGUUGAAUCUUCAAUAGUGUACAUACAUCCGGAGGAAUUCAUCUUUUUUCUUUACAAAUAAGAUAGGAGCUCUAAUUGAAGAUUUAGAAUGGCAUAUAAAGUUCUUAGCCAAAUUUUUAUCAAUAUAUUCUUUGAAGGCAACCAACUCAUUUUGUAAUAGGCUAUGGAUUGGUUCAAAUAGUGGUUGAACUCUUUCUUAAAGAUCAAUGGAAUAAUCAUAAAGACAAUGCUUUAGAAGAACAUCUGUAUAAUUUAUUUCAAAGAUAUCUUGAUAAUCUUGAUAUUGGCUUAGAAUGACACUUGAAAACUUUUCUCUAUUAACAACAAGUAUGGGAUAUAUAUUAAAAAUUAAUCAUUUUUUUGUAGCAUGCAUGAAAUUUCUUACACCCUACCAAUAAUGGUCUUGAUGUAUUGAUCUUAUGGAAUUUUACUUAUUUAACAAAACUUUUGACUAAACUAUGGAAAAAAUCAAGAAUGCAAGAAAUUCAAUCUAUUUAAGGAUUAUAUCUUUUUAACUAUGAUAAUCCUAAAAUAAUUGGAUUAAAAAAAUAUAAUGAUAUUAAAUAUUAUUAAGCUAUUAUAAUCACUAGUUGCUACUUCUACAAGAAUAAUUUCAUAUUUAAUAUCUUUAAAAGAUAAUAAAUGAUCAUUUAUUAUUUCUACAUGUACAAAUUUGAUUUUUUUAAUUAAGAAUAUAUCUUAUUUUUUGAGAAAGUCUAUAUCUAUAAAAGAAGGUGAGACUCUUGAAUUCAACAAGAUUAAGACUUUGUGAUUUUUUGGUCCUAAAAAAAAUUCUAUUAUAAAACAAGGUGAGGGAUCUAAAGAGAAAAUAUGACCUUUAUUAGGAAUUGCAUAAGUUUUCAGCCACACGGUCCCUAUUGUAGCUAAAGAGAAUUAUUUUUUGACACAUUGUCCUCUUUGGCAACCAUACUCUUUAUUUUGUGAUUUCUUUGUUUCUUUGGAUAAUAUUAAGUAGUGUAUUUGGAUUUUCCACAAUAUAGGCAUAAAUAUGGCAAUAAAUAUUUCUAAAAAUGAAUUCAAAUUUUAAUAGAGUAGUGAAUCUUUUUCCAUCAUAUGUGCAAACCAAAAGAGAGCACUUCUAGAUAAAAGUGUGUCUAUGAAUCCAACUUCAGUAAAUCCAUCAAGGUAUUGGAAGAGAUGUAACCUUAGGUAGAGCUUCACUUAUUGCAAAAAUCUUUCAAAUUUUGAUCUUAUUCCAUCAAACUUCUUAGGCAUACUAAUCCAUAUCUUCAUUGUACUUAUAGAAGCAAAAAUUCCUAGAUUUGAUUAUGAGGUAGAUUUACUUACUUCCUUCAAUUGUACAACUUCUUGAUACAAACUUUGAAUUUCUUUAAUACUUGUAGGAUUAAUAUUUUGUUGAUUAAUAUUGGUGAUGUAUAAAAUUUCUAUCCUAAGAGUGUUAACAAGUUUGUAAGGAUUUGCAAUAGUUGCAAAACUAUUCUCACUUCUUCCAAGUCUAACAUCCAUAAUUUUUUCUACCAUUUCAAACAACUUGACAAAUCUAGAAGUCAAAUUAGAGGACGAUAAUCUGCAACUUCUAAUAUCAAAUAAAUUUUUUUACAAUGAAGGAUAAUUUUUUUCUCUUUAAGGAAAAAAUCAGUGUUAGAAAACUAAAAAAUUUGUGUAAAGGUGAAUAAUUUACAACUUGCAAAAUACAACAAUAGAAGUAGAGUAAUCUACUUACUUCUAAAAAAGACAAAAGGCUUCACUCUUGCCUCUAUAUAUACUUUUAAUUAGGAGCUAUGUGACAAUGUCUUAUAGGACCUUCAAAAUGUGUUGACUUUAUAAGACACAUUAUUGUGAUAUAAUACGGCGAAUAAAUUAAAAAAAGAAGAAAAUAUUAUAUUAUAGAAGAUUUCAUUUUAAAAUAAUGUAGCAAAUUAUUUUAAAAAUAUAGAUAAUAGUUGAAAAGAUAAUAAAAUUAAAAGGUGUUAAUAUUAUUUUUUUUGCAAAAUAGGCUUUCACUUAUUUUUUUGGACCAUAAAUAAGGCAAAGCAAAGUAGAUUGGAAAAUUAAAUAAUAUAGGCAUAUAUAAUAAAGAUUUAAGAGUGGAUUUUAGGAAAAUUUACCUCAAGAAGCUAAUAAUUGAUACUUGGAGAGGGCUACUUAUCAAUUUAGGUUGAAAUUAGAUCCUAAAGUACAAAACCGCUCAUCUUUGGUGAUGUAAGGGUUCUUUGAUAGAUCCAAAAGUGAGAUUUGAAAGUAGACUUGAAAAGAGAUUUUUAAUAUUAAAUUUUUGAAGGAUUUUUAAAAUUAAUAAUGUUCUUAAUUGAUUUAGAUUUUAAGAAAUAGAAUUAUGUUUAUAAAUUUGAGGAUUUUUUGAGUUAUGUGAUGUAUGUACUAGAGAAUUUUGGAUAUUGUAUUGAUGUACUAGUUAUAAAUAUGUAUAAAAUUUUUGAGAUCAAUCAAUUAAUUAGAUCAAAUUAUAUAAAGAUUUUUGUGGGUUGAAAUCUUAAAAAUUGGAAUUUAAGGAUUAGUGAGUGUUUUUAAGAUCUUCAAUAAUUUGACAAUUGAAUUGAAGUGAAAUUAUUUUAUAUAAAUACUAGACUUAAUUUCUAACAUUUAAGUAAAAUUUGAAAGUAAUUCAAUGAUUUAAGAAGGAAAUAUUGGUACUAAAAUUUCUAUAUUUAGAUUAGAAUAGGAGGCUAUCUAAUAUUCAAUUGGAUUAUCUUGCAUUUCUUUCAAUUGAUAAAUGCUAUUGAUUUCAUCUUUCUUAUGUUUAUUACUAACCAAGACAUUAAGAAGAAUUCAAAUUUUGAAUUGAUAUCAAUGGUUUGAUAAUAGUUAUUGAGGUUUUAUUUUGCUAUAGGAUUUAUUUAGGAUUUAUUUAGGAUUUAGAAUUAUAUUAAGAUUUUUAUUUUUAAUAUUUUUUUAGAAUAUGUUAUAUUUAUUUUGGUACUUAUUUUAAAUUUAUUUUAAUAUAUUAAAGUAUAAUUAGGUUUAUUUAGAAUUACUUGAAGUUUAUUUAAGACUCUAUUAGACUUGGUAGAAUUAUUAUUGUAUUAUUACUUACCUUCUACAGCUAGGUGCUUGAUACAUUCUCAAGCAAGAAUAUAUGUAAUACAACAUAUUUAAUGAACUCAACAUGAAAAGCUUGAAGUAGAAGGUGUUUGGAAUUAUUUUUUGGUUUAUUUUAAUUUUGGAAAAAAAAUGCAAGAGAAUGGAAAAAAAGGCUUUUGAUUGUGCUUCAAGUAGAAUUGAAAGUGAAGCUGUAUGUAGAAGAGAAGGUAUGUAUUUUGAUCCCAACUUUGCAAGUAUGUUUGAGGCUUUUUCUAUAUUUAUAAAACAACAAGUUAAAGCUUUCAAAGAAGAUAUGACAAAUAAAGCAUUACAAGUGGUUGUGGACAAGAUUGAUUAAUUUGAAGAGAAGGAUAUUAUAAAAUAUAUAAGAUGUUAUAUAAAAGAAAUAGAAUUGAAGCAUGUUUUUAAAAAAGAGAUGGUUCAAUUAUUUGAAUUAUUCUCUGCAACAAAGAUAAAAAAUCAAAUAAAUUCCCUUCCUUACAAGAUAUUUUAGAGGUUCAUGGAGGAAAUAUUUUCAAGCAUUGAAAGAUGAGUUUAAUUUUUAAUAAUAGUAAUUAACUUACAAAGAAGAUUUUUUUUGAAUAGAUUGAAAGAUCAAAGAAGGAUCUUCAAGUAAUGGAAUUAUUAAGAAAGUUUAAAAGACAAUAUUCUUGUAUAAAAAAGAAAGAAAGAUAAUUUCUAGAUCCAAGCAAAGUAGAGAUAUUUCUUAAAGUGGCUGAUGAAGAAUUGUAAGAGAAGUUGGAAAUUUUUCUUGAAGAUAAAAAAAAAAAAAAAAAAAAAAAAAAAAAUGAUUGACAAUAAAUUGGAAGGAAGUAGAAGAGGAAGUAGGAUUGCUUACAAAAUGAGAAAGAAGAAAGGAUAGCAUGGAUAUUCAAAAAAAUUAAAAAUAUCUAAGAUAAAAAUACCUACUAUCUAUUCUACAUUUGUGAUUCAACCUUCAAUAGCAAUAUCAAAGAAAGAAGAAAUAAAAAUUGAUAAAAUCAUAUAAGAAAUGAGAAAUUUGUAAAUAAAAUUUGUAAAAUUUGAAAAAAAUGAUCAAUCAUCAAAAGUAUUAAGAAAAUAAAGAUUAAGACCAAUAGAAGGUGUAGUAUAUAGGUGCAUGUGGUGUGAUAGCAUGGAUCAUUCAAAAAAAAAAUGUGAAGAUUUUAUAGAGGUAUUAUACAAUGGAGUUGUUUUUUUUUAAUAGAUGAUAUGAUAUACUUAAAAGUGAGUAGAAAAAAACUAGAAACAAACUUUGGUAAGAGGAGAAUAAAGGUGCUUAUGAAAGAAGCAUUUAAAAUCUUAAGAAAUAAAGUAUUAACAUAUUAGAUAGAAGAAAAUUUGGACAAAUAUUUAAGAAUAAAUUUAGGAUUUUUAGAAAAAUCUAUAUCUUUGUAGUUAAAUUCAAUGAAUUAUGCUCAAAAAGAAAAACUUACUAGGGAUGAUUUAAAAUGUGUUGGCAGUAACAUUUGAGAAAUUAUUAGGUCAAAUGAUUUAGUAGAUGGAUUAUUGGUGCAUAUUCAUAUUACAAGGAGUCAAUAUGAAGCAUUAAUAGAAGAAAAAUAGACAAUAAAUAAAAAUAAUGAAGGAUUAUCAAAAAAAACUAUAAGAAGAAAAAAAUAUGACAAAAAAAGAAUCCUAUGCAUGAAGAGACAACAAAAAAUAUUUCUACAAAAGAAAGAAAAAAUAUAUAAAAAAAAAAGAAAAAAGAAAAAAUAUCUUGUUAUAAAUUAAAAUUAGAUAUUGAAGUUGCUAUAGAUCUGAAGAAAGUAUUAGAAGAACAAAUUUUAAGUGGAAAGGUUGAAUUUACAAUUGGUGAAAUCUUAAGAAUUGCAAAACAUGAAUUCUAUGAAAUUAUUAUUGACACAAUAAAGAAAAAAUGACAAUCUAUAGGAGAUACUAUGACAUCAAAUGCAUAAAGAACAUGAGCAAUGGAUAACAAUAAAGAUGAAGAAGAUGAAAUAUAAAAUUUUGGAGAUGUCUUAUAAGUAAAAUUUACAAAAAAAGAGGAUGUCAUUCAAGCCUCUAGUAAUUAUUCUUGAAGUUAUUGGACCAGAGCUACUAUGGAAAUUUUGAUAAAAUUGAGAGAUUUAAAAGAACUAAUUAUAACAUUAAUUAAUCAUGGUUUUGAAAUUAAUUUGGUAUGAAAAGAAUUAUAUAAAAAGAAAAAGUGGCCUAUUGAUAUUAAACAUAGGUCGAUUAUAAGAGCAACAAAUAAUUCAAAGAGAGAUUUGUAUGGAGCUUGUUUAAAUAUCAAAGUGACAAUAGGAGAUGUUUUUUAUGAAUAAAAUUUCUUUGUAAAAGACAUGUCUACAUAUCCUAUUAUAUUAAGACAACUAUAUAUUAUUACUAUACAAAUAAAAAAAAAAAAACUAAUGAAUGAUUGUUUAAUUUAUGUAAGGAUAAGAAGUGAAGAUGGAAAGAAGAUAGUGCAAUUUUUGAUAGUUUGUACUAAUCAUAAAAAAAACCGAUUUAGUUUGAGGAAGCAACCUUUGUCGGGAGUAUGAAAAGAAUUUGAAGAUUUAAACAAUUCAAAGGAUUUUUACUAGAUACCAUUGUAAAGUAGGAUUGUAAUAGUAAAAAAGGUGAUGGCUUUUCAUCUAGUAGAAGAAAUGAGACCAUUAUAGAGUUAUCAUGAGAUGGAUAUAUUUUAUUUAAAAAUAUAAAUAAAUUAGAAAGAAUAGAAAAAAAAAUAUCAAAAAUAUAGAACAUAAGUAGAAAAAAUAUGGAGUGAUUGAUGAAGAUCAAUACAUAUUAGAGGUGUUUGAAAAAACUUGCUUCAGUGAUAUUAUAAAAAAUUUACAAAUGUUAUUGGAUUUAGAUUUUGAAAGAGAUGAUAAUGUAACAAAUAUACAUUUUAAGCAAUUUUAUGAUUGAACGAAAGAUUAUGUAGAUAAGUAUAAAGUGAAGGUGAAUAAAAAAUAUAAAACCAUUAUAAAAAAGGUUAAACAAGUGGCAUUGCCACUAAUAUUGGAUUUUGAAAAAAAGAUUGAAAAGACUCUCAUACAACCUUAAUUAAGAUAUCUAAAACAAAUAGGUCAUGAAUUCAGGGAUGAAUUGACAUUAAAUGGUUUAAAAGUUGGAUGUAAGGAAUUCUUAACAAAAAAUGAAGAGAGAUGUUUUAAAGAAAUGCUUUCAUGAUAUAAUAAGAUGUUUGCAUUUGAAUUACAUAAAAUAGAAUGUGUUGAUUCAAAUAUUGUAGCUUCUAUGGAUAUUUUCAUAAUUCUACAUGAAUCAUUGAAUUUGAAAUCAAUUCCAAUUUUAAAUGCAUAUUUUCCAAAAUUAAUCAAAUGCUUUAAUCUAAAGAUUAUAAUAGAAAUUUUAAAACCAUGUAUUGCACCAUAUUUCAAUUAGUGGUUUACAAUACCUAAGAAAAAUGGAACAUUGAGAUUUAUUUAAGUUAUGUAAUUAGUAAAUAAAGUAACUAUUAUAAAUAUGGAUUCAAGUCCAAUUGUGAAUGCUUUUGCAAAGGCAUUUGUAAAGAGAGAAAUUUAUUCUUUAAAAGAUUUUUAUUUGAAAUAUGAUCAAAUUUGAUUAGCAAUGCAAAGUAGAGAUUUAAUAACCAUGAAGAUACAAUUAAGAUUAGUCAAAAUAUAUACUUUAUUAUAAAGAAAUACAAAUUUUGUGGCACAUAUAAUGAAUGGAAUGCAUUAGAUAUUAAGAGAUUUUAUUUCAACAAUAAAAAUAUCUUUUAUAGAUGAUGUGCUAAUUAAAAAAAUGUGAAGAAGAAAGAAAAGAUGAGACUUUGCAUUCAAAAGGAUGCAAGAAUUUUGUGGCGGAUCAUAUUGAUGAUUUUGAAAAGAUUUUGAUAAGGUUAGAAGAAGUUCAUUUAAUCUUAUUGGAGAUAAAAUCAAUGUUUGGAGUAAAAGAAGUUUUAAUGGUAGAGUACAUGUGUGGAUCAUAUAGAUGCAAGCUAAGUAUGAAAAAGGUUGAUAAUAUCAAAAAAAUGAAAGAAUGUGUAAAUACAAUAGAAAUCAAAUGGUUUUUAGGAGCAUGUAUUUUUUAUCAUAUAUAGAUACCUCAUUUUGCAUAUAUAAUAGAUCUAUUGUAUGAAUUAUUAAGAAAGAAUAAAAAAAUUCAAAAGAAAUAAGAACAAAAAAAAAACCAUGAAAAAAUUGAAAGAACUUCUUUCUUUAUCUUCAACUAUGAAGAAAAUUAAUUAUGAAUGUAAAAGACCAAUAAUAUUAUCAAUUGAUGCAAGUCCAAUUAAAAUAGGUUAGAAAAUUAGACAAGAUGAUGAAUAAGGAAAUAGAUAUGUAAUAAGAUUUUGAAACAAAGAUUUUGAAUGCUACGCAAAGGGCAUAUGUACAAAUCAGAAGAGAAUUAUGGGAUGUAGUAAUAGCUAUGAGAAAUGAAAAAAUUACUUAAUUGGUGCAUUGAUAAUUAUAGAAAUAGAUUAUUUACUUUUAUUGGAUAUAAUUAUAAAUUAAUCAAAUUCUAAUAUUACUAUAUUAAGAUAGAUAAUAUAUAUUAAAUCUAUGAUUUCAAAAUUUAAAUACAUUGCAAGAAAAAAAAAAUUAGUAAUAGAUAUAUUAUCAAAAGUAAGAUAUUAUGAUGAAAAAGAUAUAAUUAACUUAGAAGAUGAUAUAAGUACAAAUUUUUAUACGAAUGCAUUAUCAAUAUACCAUUGAAAAUAUUUUUAAUGGUAUAUUGAAAACAUUUUUAUAUGUUUAAAUAUACCAUUAAAAAUAUUUUUAAGAGAUUUCUAUGAAAGAAAAUGGAAAGAUGUUAGGAAGAUUUUAAGUACAUUAAAGUGACAAAAAGAUUAAAAAAAUAAAAAAUUUAAGAAAAUUGAUAAAAAAAAACCUAUAGAUACUUUUUAUGAUAGAUAUUUAUGAAAGCAUCUAAAAAAACAAAGAAAAGUAUCACAAUAGGUUAUAUGUAGUCUAAAAGCUCAAUAAAAAAUUAUUUAGGAAUUUUAUGAAAUUUUUUGGAUAGGACAUUGAGGUAUUUGGGCAACAUUUAUUAAGUUAAAAGAAAAAUAUUGGUAGAAGAGCAUGCACAAAGAUGUAGCAAAUUUUGUAGGAUCUUGAGAAAUUUACUAAAUAUAUUUAAAAUUUUGACAUUAAGAUGGAUUACAUGUAAUAUAUCUUUUAGCUUUAUAUUAUAAAUCGAUACUCGAUUUAGUAGCAAUGCCUAUGGGACUUGAAUAAAUGAAGUAUUUGAUACUUUCACAAAAUUAUUUAUCAAAUAUGAUUGAAGAUAAGCAUUGAUAACAAAGGAUAGUGAAGAAAUAUGCCAAUUUUUAUUAGAAGAUGUUAUUUGUUGCUAUGGUUGUAUUAGAAAGAUUAAAGCAAAUAGAGGUGAAUUGGAUGUAAGAAAAGCAUUAGAAUUUUUUAAUAGAAUAAAAAUUAAACUUUCUUUAAUAAUAGCAUAUAAUUCAGAAGGUAAUGAAUAGAGUGAGCAUGGAAAUUCACCUAUUGUUAAAGCAUCAAUAAAGGCAUGUAGUGGCAAAGCACAUAAAUGGCCUAGACUACUACCAUUUGUACUAUAGGCAGAUUGCACAAUUUAUAAUUUAGUAACAGAUUAUAAGCCUUCUAAAUUAAUAUAUGGACAAAAAUCAAUAAUGUCAAUAUAAGAGGUAGUACCUACAUAAGAUGUAUUUUCUUAGAAGGAUGAUCUCAAUAGAGAAGAAUUUUUAGCAUUAUGGAUUCAAAAAUUAAAAAAAAAUCUAAUGAUAUUGUAGUAGGAAUGAAGAGAUUAAAAGAAAGAAAGAAUAAGAAUAAAGAAAGAUUUGAUAGAAAACAUCAAUUACGACCUAAGGCAAUUAAAGAUGGUCAUUGCAUGUUAAUUUAUGAUAGUAGUUUGGACAACCAAUAUAGCACAAUAAAAAAAAUUGUAAAAGGAUGGUUUGGGCCUUAUAUUAUCAAACAAGUGUAUGAUAAUAGAAUAUACUUGUUACAAGAACUUGAUGGUAUAGAAUUGAAGAUACCUAUAGCAAGCAAGUAAAUUAAGUUAUUUAAACAAAGAGGUGAAGAUAUUUAUUUUAAUGAAGAAUAAAAUCCAUUACAAGAUAUUGAAAUGGGAGUAGAAGAAUAAAUUGAAUAUCAAAAAUUUGACCAAGAUGAAAAACUCUCUAUAUCAAUGUAAUGAAAUUUUUUUUUGUAUGUCAAAAGAUGCACAUGUUCAGUGGAAGUGGAUGUUGUGAUAUAACACAAUUCAUCAAUAAAAGAAAGAAAAAAUCAUUAUAUUAUAGAAGAUCUUAUUUUAAAAUAUCGUAAUAAAUUAUCUUAAAAAUAUAAAUCAUAGUAAAAAAGAUAAUAAAACUAAAGUAUGUUAAUAUUGCCUUUUUACAAAAUAAGCUUGUAUUUAUUUUUUAGGACCAUAAAUAUAGAAAAAUAAAGUAGAUUAAAAAAUUAAAUAAUAUAGGUAUAUAUAGAAAGAAUUUAAAAAUAAAUUAUAACAAAAUUUAGCUCAAAAAGCCAAUAAUUGAUAUUUAGAGAAGGCCGGUUGUCAACCUAUGUUGAAAUCAAAUCCUAAGGCAUAAAAUCACUCAUUUAUAGUGAUAUGUAGGUUUUUUGGUAGAUCCAAGAGAAGGAUUUUUGAGAAAACUUGAAAAAAUAUUUUUAAGCAUUUAUUUUAUAUCAAUUAAAUUAAUAUUGAAAAUUUUAAGAAAUUAUGAAAUUUAAUAUUAUUCUUGGUUAAUUUAGAUUUUGAAAAAUAGAAUUAUGUUUAAAAAUUUAAAGGUUUCUUGAAUUUUGUGGUAUAAAUAUUAGUGAAUUUUGGGCAGUAUAUUAAUGUGCUAGUUGUAAAUGUGUGUACAAAUUUUGAGGUCAAUCAAACAAUAAGAUUAAAGUAUAUAAAGGCUUUUGUGGAUUGAAGUGCAAAUAAUUUGAGUUUGAGAGUUAAUUAAUAUUUUUAAGAUCUUCAUCAAUUUCACAAUUGAAUCAAAGUGAAGUUUUUUUGUAUGGAUAUUAGACUUGAUUUUAAAUAUUUAAAUAGAACUUAAAAGUAAUUCAAUAGUAUAAAAAAGAGUUAUUGGUACUCGAAGUUCAACAUUGAGGUAUCACAAACAUACAUAUUUAUCUUAAUUUUUAUCUAUAUGAUUAAAUAGAAGUAAAUAAAAAUAGAUUUAUUUCAUAAUAACUUUUUAGAAAAGCUUCAUAGAUAUUUAUUUGACUUUAUAUGUAUUUUUAGUUGAUUGAUAAGUUAAAAACUUGGUCAAUAAGUUAACCGUUUAUUGAUAGCUUACAAGAUAAGCUAACUAGAGUGAUUCAAAAAACUAUUUUAAUGUUGAUAUAUUUUGGAAAGAAUGGUAUAUUAUAGAUGUAUUGUAGUGAAUAAUGAUAUAUGGUUUGUUUAGCAAAUAAAGUAUUUCUUUACAACUGCCAAUAUACCUUUUAGAAUCUUCUAUAAAUUUUUAAAACCUUUUAAAUACUUUUAGAAUCUUCCACAAUCUUUUAGAAUGUUCAUAAAAUUCUAUAAGCUUCUUUAUACUUCUAAAAACUUUCAUAGAAAGUACCAUAAACUUUUGUAACCUUCAUUAUAAUAUAAAUAGGAAUCUUUAGAACCUUUUUUGCUAUCAAUCUCAUUCUUUGUUUUUAAUCUUGACAUAUUUCUUUGUCAAAUUCUUGUGUCCUUAAUAAUUCCUUAAAUAACUAUGAAAUUCAUUCUCUACUCUCUCUCUAAGACAACAUGACUUCUACUCUUCUUUAUUCUCAAAAAUCUUAUAGCCAAAUUGCUUCUGAAUUUGGUUGCAAUAAAGUUAUUAUAUCUUUGCUAGCAAAAAAGAUCACUUUUAAUAAGAAGAAUCUUAAAUUAAGCAGACCAAAGAACCUCACUAUAGUAGAUGAAAGGGCAAUCAUUUGCUAAAUCAACAUUGAGAAGACUGAAAAUGCUCUUGAAGUCACUAAAAACUUUAACAAUAUUAUCAAUAAUCUUAUAUCAAUCCAAAUUAUUUGAAGUAUUUUCAAAAAUUAGAAUAUGAAAGCCGUGGAGAAGAAAAAAAAGCCACUACUAUUUACUUGCUAUUUAAAAUAAUAUUUGGAUUUUGCUUUGAAAUAUAAAGAAUACUUUAUGGAGGAUUGAAAGAAGGUUAUUUGGUCAAAUGAGAUAAAAAUCAACAAAUUUGGAUCAGAUGUUAGAAAGUAGGUGUAGAAACAAAAUGGUCAAUCUUUGCUUGAUAAGAAGAUCAAAGAAACAAUUAAACAUGGAAGUGGAAAUAUAAUGAUAUGAGGUUGUAUGGAAUGGAAUAUUAUUGAGAAGAUGGCAAAGGUUGAAAAAAGGAUGGUAAAGGUUGAGAAAAGGAUGGCAAAGGUUGACGAGAAGAUGGGUGCCAAGUAAUUUGUUGAAAUUCUUAUAAAAAAUCUACUCCCUAGCAUUGAAAAAUUUGGUAUUUUUAAACAAGAGGUGAUUUUUUAGCAAGAUAACGACUCCAAGUAUAACUCAAAACUAACAUAGAAGUAGUUUGAUCAUUAUGGGAUUAAAGUAAUAGAUUGGCUUUCUCAGUUUUCUAAUCUUAAUUCUAUUGAAUAUCUUUGAGAGCACCUCAAAUACUAGCUCAAUACUUGGAAGAUAAAACCAAAGGGAGUUUGAAAAUUAUGAGAAAAAAUAAUUAUAAAAUAAAAUAAUAUUGAAAUAAUUUUAUGCCAAAAGUUAUUUGAAAGUAGGCUUAGGAGGUUGGAAGUAGUUAUCAAGGCCAAAAUAAGCCGUACAAAGUAUUAAUAUGUAAUUAGAUACUAUACUCAAAAAAAUACUUCAAUAUUGUUAUAAAUUAGAUUGAUCAUAGCUCCAUAAUUAUCUAAUGGAUUCUUUUCAAUUUAAACUCAUUUGGUAGCUAUAAAAUAAAACUUUAAUUUCUAUAUAAACCACAUGUCAUUAGUCACUAUAAUUCAUUUGUAAUACACCAUUCUUUCUAAAAUAUGUCAACAUUGAAACAAUUUUUUGAGUCAUUGUAUAUGACGUACAUAUACAAAAUUUGUCUUACAAGUUAAGAUACAUAUCUUGAAAAGUCAACACGUUUUAAAGGUCCUAUAGGAUAUUGCCAUGUAGCUCCUAGUUAAGAGUACAUAUGGAGGUUAGAGUGAAGUCUUCUUCACUUUUGCCAAUGCCUUUCUAGUCCUUAGUCUUGUUUCAAGACUUUCUAAAUUUUUUAUUUUUAGCAAUAUUCUUUCUAAUUUAAUAUUAUAUCAUCUUCGAGUGAUUUUUCAGUACUUUUUAGUAAUAGAAGAAUUUAUUGAGGAUUUCUUUUUUUGAAAUUCAUGCCCUUGGUAUCAAGUUGGAAUAGGAGGCCAUCCAACAUCCGAUUGGAUUAUCUUACAUUUUUCUCAAUUAGUAAGUACUAUUGAUUUCAUCUUUCUUAUAUUUGUUUUUAACUAAAAUAUUAAAAAGUUUAAAAAAUUUGAAUUAAUAUCAAUGGUUUGAUUAUUAGAUGUUGAGGUUUUAUGUUGCUAUAGGAUUUAUUAAGAUUUUGUUUCAGAUCUAUGGUUUGAUUAGGAUCUGGUUAGAAUUAAGAUUUGCUUAGGAUUUGAUUUAAGAUUUAUCUAAAAUUUAUUUAGGAUUUAAAGAUUAAUUAGGGUUUCAUUAGAAUUUAUCCUAGGAUUUGGUUAAGAUUCAAUUAAAAUUUAUAUUAAGAUUUGAUCUAAGAUUUGAUUAAGAAUUAAUUAAAUAGUAGAAUUAGGAUUAUAUUUAUAUUUCUAUUUUAAAUAUUUCUAUAAUAUUCUUUUUAUUUUUUUUGUGAUUUUUUAAAAAUUUAUUUCAAUAAAAUAAAGUUUAAUUGGAUUUUUAAGAAUUAUUUGAAGUUUAUUUAAGGUUCUAUAAGAUAUGUUUAAGGUUAUUUAAGAUAAUUAAUACUCAAACAAGGUUGUGAUAAAUUUUAAAUUAAUAAUAUUUUUUAAUAUUUUAUAUUUAAUAUUAAUUGAAGAAAAUAUCAAAAUUUAUUCUCUUUUGUUUAUGUAAAAGUUAAUUUUUUUAUAAAUAAAUCAAACAAUACCUUGACUUUUGGUCGUGUCAAAAAACUAUAUGAAUUAUUAAAUUUAGGAUUUAUAGUAAAAAAUAUAUUAAUUUUAGGUGAUAAUUUAAAAAUAUUUUUUCCAUUUGAUUUAAGAAUUGAAUACAUAUGUUCAUAUUUUUUAAGUUUAAAUCAUCAAACUAUACUGUAUUUGUUUCAAAACUUAGUUUUUCAUAUGUAGCUCAUAAGAAUUUGUCCAUGUAAUUACUUAUCAAUUUAAAUUCUUCUUACUUAUAAGAUGUUAUUUUAAAACUAAAUAAAUAUAUAUAUAUAUAUAUAUUAAUUAUAAAUAUAAAUAUAAAUAUAUAUAUAUAUAUAUAUAUAUAUAUAUAUGUAUAUAUAUGAUAAUUCUUCAUUACAACUUGAUUAAAUCUAAAUGACUAAAAAAAUAAAAUUAUAUUAGAAGAUUUGUUUAAAAACUUAUUAUUUUAUUUUAUUAACUAUAAAUUUUUUAAAAAUUUUAUCAUGCAUUUUAUAUACUUAAAAACUAAAAUUUGAUUUGAUAUAUUUUUUCAAUUAUAAUAAUCAAAUAAAUCUAAAAAUUAUAUAUUUUUAAAUAUAUUAAGUAUAUUUUUUAAAUUUUUGAUAUAAUAUAAUUAAUAUUUUAUUUUAAAUUUAAAAUAUCAUAUAAUAGAAUAUAAAAUAAAUAUUUUGAAUAUUUAUAAAUUUUUAAUAUAAAAUUUUUAUUUAAUUUGAAUUAAUAGUAGUUGUUGAAAUAUUUCAAAAGAGUUAUUUUUUUAUAAUUUAUAUUUUUAGAAAAAAUAUAGAAAAUAUAUUUUUUAAAUAAUAAUUUUUUUUAUUAAAAUAAAUCAUUUUUGAAGUUCAACUUAAAAAUAAAUAAACCGAUUUUAGUAUACUACUAAAAAAAUUACAUUUUAAAACCAAUUUUGAAUGAAAAAUUUAAUAAAUAAUUAAAAUAUUAAAUUCCUUCAUUAAAAAUUUUAUUAUUUUUAUAAAAUUUUCUAAAAGUUUUUAAAUUAACUAUAUUUAUAAAUUUUAAUAUAAUGAAAUCUUUAUUUUCUAAUUAACAUGUAUUUUUUAUAAUAUAUAAAUAAAAUUUCUAGAUUAUAAGUAAAAUGACUUUGAAAUUUUGUAUUGUUAUAAAGUAUUCCAAAAGUUAUAAUGUGAUUAGUGUUUUUAAGGCUAAAGCAUUAAAAUAUUAUCAAGAUAUAUGUCAAGUUUUUAUUUUUAUUUUUUUUAUAUAUAUAUGUAUAUUUUUUAUGAUAAAAUGAAUAAAUAGUAGAUAGCUAUAUAUAAUCCAUAAAUUUUUUUAUAUAUAAAUAUUAAAAAAAUAGGUACAAAAUCAUAUAUACAAAUAAUUUAAUUUAAAAUAUAGUUUUUCUCACAAAAAUUUAAAACAAUAUACAUAUACAAUUGUAGUUCUAUAAAGCCAAGCAUUGUAGAUCCUAACAAGACUGGUUCUGAAGAUUGGCAUAAAUCUCUUGCCAAUAAAGACCAAUUCAGAGUAUAUCAAAACCUGUCGUUUUCACCUCAUAUUCAACCAGUAAAAUUAUUUGGAGAUAAUAAUAGUCAAUCGGGAAAGCCUGGAAGUCUGAAAAAGUCUUUUGCGGGAGAUAAUUUUUAUUUUAAUAAAAAAUUGAGCGGAACACCAUAAUCUUUAAUGACAUCCGGAGGACCAGCAGUUCCGAUUGUAGUUCAAAUGGGUGCAGUGGGUGAUCGAAUGACUAGCGUCGUGCCAUUACCUACUUUUUGGGAUUUGCUAGGUGCGGAUCCAGAUCAACAUUUGUCUCAAUUCUUGACGGCAUGUGUAGCCAAUAAUAGAAGAAUAAAAGACAUUUGGCUGAGAUGGCUGCCAGCGACAUUGAAAGAUACAGCGUUUGAGUAGUAUAACCGCCAACCUGUGGGACAAUUUAUCAAUUGGGAGGCAUUGAAAAAUACAUUUUUAGCCCAUUUUCGACUAAUUGGUUUUGAAGAACGUCUUAGAAAAAAAUUAAUGAAUAGCAGAAUGGUACCAGGGGAAGCGAUAUAGUCAUAUUGUAGUCAUAUGCAGAUUUAAAAGGGAUUCCAGCUGACGUGUGUGAACACCAGAUUAUUCUGGAGGAGGGUGUUACGCUAGUUCGUCAAAGACAACACCGACUUAACCCAAAAUAUUCCUUUUUAGUGAAAGAGGAAUUGGAUAAACUUCUGGAUGUGGAUUUUAUUUAUCCUAUUCCGCAUAGUACAUGGGUGUGUCAAUCGUGAUGGUGCUGAAAAAGAAUGGAAAAAUCCGAAUUUAUCAAGAUUUCUGGAAACUUAAUGCAGCCACCAAGAAAGAUUACUUCUCAUUACCUUUCAUAGAUAGUAUGGAUAACAUGUUGUUAUUAUCACCACUAGGUAAAAGAAUAGGAGUGGGGCACCAGUUAAAGUCAUUCUGUGGUGUUGUUUUGGAUUGGCUGGAGUGCCAUUUUCUUAUAUUUCUUGUGUUUUCGAGAGUAGUAGUUUCAGUUAAGAGUUGAUAGUGAUGAGCCAGUCACAAGAAAGAAAAUGCAUGGUGGAGACCCACAGGCAAGAACUAUUCUGGGCUCACAGUCAUUCAAUUUUGGAACUAAAAAAAGUGAAGGGUCAGUUGGUAAUAGAAUGAGAAAAGGCCGAGUUAUUGGCACAAGAAAAAUUGGUAUUGAGUGACCAAUACAAAUGUGAAACGGAGUAGUUAAGGGCUGAAAUUGAGGCCUUGAACGCCGAGGUGAUAAGAUUGGCAGAAGUUUUAGUCAAUAUUGGUCAAGCACAAGUAUCAACAUUGCCAGUUCCCGAAGUUCCAGAAGAGAGGAGUCACUUUCAGCGCCAGUUGGAAUUAAGAGAUGCCUAGAUUCUGAAAUUGGAAGCUCAAGUCCGUGAACUGGGCGAGUACAAUGACGACCUUUCAGCUCAGUUGAGGCAGGAGCCAAUGGAAGGAUUGGAGGAGGACGAAGAUUUGCAGUUGGAACCGGAAUCGAUGGAACCAAUAACAGAUAUUGCGGUAAUUAAAUAAUUAGAUAGGCUAGAAGGAUUGCAAUUUUUGUAGAGUUUUGUUAGAUAAUUUUUAGAUAGGUAUCAAUUGAGUGUUUGUGAGGACGCUACACAAUUAGGAGUAAGACUACGUAGAAUAAGUAGUUAUUUUCAGAAUGUAGAUACCUAGUGUAUAGUGUAGACAGGGAUAGAUAAUUGCUGAAAAGAUGGUUCAGUAGGUAGAAUGGAUGAAUAGUCAAAAAAAGUAGUUAUCAUCUGUAGUAUAGGAGUUGGUAUCUUGGGAUAGUAUAAGGAGGAUGGGAGAGGGGAAGAAAAUGCUAGACUGUGAGAGUCGUAAGCUGAGGGCCAGACUGCAAUAGUAUUGAGUUGGGGAUAAGCUUGGUACUAUCUCUUCUUCUUAGUUUUCUUGUUUCUUUUGUGUUAGUAUUGAUUCUAGUGAAGAGAAUCGAUUUAAUGAAUUAAUGUUUGAUUUACGAAGUUAUUUAUGGAUCACUAUUUAUCAAUUGUUGUGAAAGAUUGAGGACGUAUGGAAGUUUCUAGUCACUGUUUAUCGCAAGGUUGUAAGUUUAGUGGAGAGGAAUUGUAAUCAAAGGAAUUAUCUUGAUUAGAUUUUGUGGAUGGGAAGUUGUUUGUUCCAGGGUUUGGGAUAUGUUUGUAUAUUCGCGAAUUACAUAGGAUACUGAAAUCGUUGUCGUGGAUGUUAUUGUAUUCAUAUGAGAGAGUGGACAGUAGGAGGAAAAAUUAAGUGUUCUUCGAUAUGGUAAGCAUUUAGCAGUAGCAGUUAAUUGUGUGACCCUAACAAUUGGAGCUCAUAUAUAUGGUCAUUUCCCAUGUUCGAAUCCCCCUAUAUGAAUUUAUUCUGAGAGGUUUCUUCCGGUGUCAUGUUGUAACACGAGUAUACUGUGAAAAUAUAAAGAAAAAGGACUUUUAUUAAUGUUCAGUUACCUCGAAUAUUGGGAGCAACAACCAAUUCCAGUGCAAAUACUGAGAGGCUAGGUUCAGUCAGCCAUUACAAUCAGCCGAGGCAUACUGAAAUGCUCCAUUCGAUUCCAAUAACGAGAGUCAGCAGGAAGAAAAAGGACCAAUUCAACGACGGGUGAGUCUGGUUCAAAGAGCCAAUUGGAUCCAAUUUCAAGACAUCCAAUCCAGGUCUUACUACGGGUCUCUUAGCCAAUCUGACACGAAGGACCAAUUUGACCCAAUUAUGGAAACAUCCAAGUCUUACUACGGGCCUCUUACCCAAUCUGAGACUUGAAUUGGUCGGGUGACUCAAUGUGGUUCCGAUUACGGGGCUCCGAUUUUGUUUCAGGCUGUUUUGUCCUUUGUGCCAUUCCGGGAACGUCCUUUCAGUAAAAGGAUCUUUUAAAGGUAAAAACAAAGGAGAAAGCUCUGACGGCGGAGCCAAUUCCAGAUCCAAGACGGAAGAUUGAAGAAAUUCAGAGACUAGGGUUUGAAAGAGGGGAGAAUUAGAAUUAAAGGGGAGGAUAGGUUAAGAAAUGAAAGAGAGAGAAUAAGUUUUUUUUGGAGAAGGAUCAGGGGACUAGCUUCAUGCUUCAGAGCGAGGAAUAAAGACAGAGAAUUGGGAUUUUUUUUUUCUUCAUAGGGUUUUGGGAAGAUUGAGGCAAUCGUCUCUGAAGUCAAUGUUGUACUGAUGAAACGAGAUUUUUAAUGAAGUGGGUGUGAUUACUCUUGACUAUUUUGUGAAAUCAAAGUUACGUUUGUGAUUGAAGAAUUAAAAAGGUGUCUUUAGAAUUGAGUAUGCGGAGUGAAUGAAAAUUUUUGGGUUAAUCUAACAAGACAGUCGGUGGAUACAAGGUCGUGAGUAUAAAGCGGUAUUGGAGAUUAGGAGAUUGGGUUAUUUGAGAUUCUCUGUAACAUCUAGAGACCUACCGGCUGGGGUAAAAAGGGUUUCGGCGAGCAGUCGAAGGACAUCCGUAUAGAUUUACGGUAUAUUCUUGCAGUUGUUUAUAUUUCAACAGUCAAAAACCGAUAGACUGCUUGAAUAUUAGCGAAUCUCCAUACUACCUUCUACAGCCAGACGCCCGACGCAUUCUCGAGCAAGAAAGCACGUAAUACAACAUCGAAAUAAGUAAAAUGAGUAAUCAUUUAUAUAUAUAUAUAUAUAUAUAUAUAUAUAUAUAUAUAUAUAUUAUCUAAUUAAUAACCUUGAUAGAUGAUAGUUUUAUAAAAUUAUAUAAGAUUUUAUUAUUUAUAUAGGAUUUCAUAAUUUUACUAUUUUAGUUUCUUAUAAAUUGUCAUUUUUAAGCUUCAAGCUAAUUUCAACUUUAUGAAAGUAUUGUAUAAUUGUUGAUUUGGUAGUUUAAGCUCCCAUUAUACAAUUUCAAGAUAUGAGCUUGAAUAAUAGACAUACAUAUUUAUCCUAAUAAUAACCUAAAUAAUAUGAAUAGAUAGAAAUAAAUAAAAUAAAAUUAAUUUUAUAAUAUCUUCAAAAAAAAGCUUCUUCAAAGCUUCUAGAUGUAGUUUCAUCUUUAUACAUGUUUAUAGGUGAUUGAUAGUUUAGAAACUUGGCCAAUAAUUAGCCACAUGUGGCAUGUACUAAUAGCUUGUUGUACAAACUAAUGAUAUGGUGCACAUAUAGGAAACUUGUCUUGUAAGUGUAGAUAUGUGUCUUGUAAAUUAGAUGCAUGUUAGAGGUCCUAUAGAAUAUUGUCAUGUAGCUUUUAAAUAGGUUAUAUAUAUAUAGGCAAGAAUUAAGCUUAUUUUUUAUUAUUAUCAUUCUUAUCAAUUCUUUUCUUAUUUUUGUCUAAUUUCAAGAGUCUAUUUUUUUGUCUUUUAGCAAUAGCAAUUUUAAUUUUUUUAAUGUAUAUAGUAUCUUUCUUUAAAAAAAAACUUACUUAUUUAUUUGCCUUCAUUGAGUUUUUGUUUUUGUUAAAUUGACAAAAACAUACUUAUAAUAUCAAAGAUUUGUUUCUUCUUAAUUAAGAAUGGAUCAUUCUUUUUUCUUAAUAAAAUAUAAGUGUAUUAGAAGUUACAGAUUACUAAAUUCUAAAGUGAUAUUAUUCAUAGAAUUUCUUUUACUUUCUAGUCUUCUUUUCUAUUUUUCUUGAGAGAUAUUUUACAUCUUAUUUUUUAUUGAGAAAUUAAGACAAGAUUCAUUGAAAUAAAGAAUGUAAUAGUACAAAUAUAAGAGCAAUUGAGAGACUUAAUCCUUGCUAUGCAUCAAUUUAACUUACUACCUCAAGAAACAAUAAAAUUGGGAAGUAGUAAAGAUAUAAAGAUGAUUGAAGCUGCUUCAAUAUCUACACCAAAUUAUGUUAUUCUUCCUAUAGUAGAAUACUAUUCAAAUAUUAUAGAAACAAUAAUUGUAUUUCUUAAGAAUUUUGAUGGCAUAAAUUUAAAACUUUAAAGAUUCAUCAAUCAUUAAACUUCAAUCCUAAAGCUAUUCAACUCCAAGAUCAUAAGUCACAUUUAUUUGUACACUUCUUUCCAAUUCUAUAUUAUCAUAGUGUUUAUAUUUUUUUAAAUAAUAUGAUCUAAUAUUGAAUAAUUUAAUAGCUUUUUUGACUAAGUUUUAAUCUAUAUAUAGAAAAUAUUAUAUAAUUUAUAUUAUAAUAAAUAAGAUUUAUAUUUUAAUAUAAGGCAAUUGUUUCGUAAUGUUGUAUGCUUCACAAUUUUAUAAUUUGUAAUUAAUAUCAGAUAGGAUGAUGCUACACUAAUUAAUCAAUUUUUAUAUAGAUUAUAAUAUGAGAUAAAAAAAUUAAUGCUCAAUUUAUUGAACUUUCAAACAUUAAAUCAAGCAAUUGAUUUUGAUAUAUAAUAUGACAAUCAACUUUUUGAAUUUCAAUCUAAGAAUCUUACAAGUAAAUCUCAAUGUUAUUUCAAUUCAAUGGCAAUAUCAAUAUCUUUCAAGACAUACAUUCACAUGUAGAAGAUAUGUAAAUUGAUAUAGUACAUUUCAAAUUUCUCAUUGAGCAAGAAAAGACCUAUUAUUGUCAAAAAAGAUUAUACUUAUAUUGAAGAGAACCUAAUCAAAGUGCUUAACAUUAUUCAAAGAAAUGACAUAAUUACAAAAUGAAGAGUAUGGUUGUCAAAGAAGAUAGUAUGUCAAAAAAUGAAUUUGUUCAACUAUUAUAGGGACUAUGCAAUUGAAAUCUUAUACAAUACUUAAUGAAGAUUCUAUUCUUUUCUCAAAAUCAUCUCUUUGUUUUAUAAUAGAUAUUAGAUUAAGACUCAAAUAUCAUAGAACCUCUAUUUUUUAGAUUCAAAAACAUCACUUUAUUUUUUAGAAAAAUACUAUUAAAAGAUACAAUAUACCUUUAGUAAAGAAAACUAAACUUGUUCAUGUAGAAGUUAUAGAUGGUUGUCUGUUAUCUCUUGGAGAUAUUAUUCAUGAAACCUUUUCUAUAGAAGUAGCAAUUAAUAGUCAUAGUAGCUUUAUAAUAUUUAAUAUCAUUAGAUCUUCUUAUAAUCUAAUUAUUUUAGAUUUAUUAUAGCUAAAAAAAUAACCCUCAAAUAAAUUGAAUAUCUUAUAUUGACUUUUUUAAAAGUAUAAAUAAGAAUAUUGUUAAUGAAGUAAAAAUUUAUAAGUCUAUUACAACCAAAUUUAUAUGUAUAGAUGUAAAAAUUUAUUUGCAUAUUUUUAAAAAAUGAUCUUCUUAUGUUAUUUAUGCCAUAUUUAUUUUUAAUAAUAAAAAGACUUCAAGUAGAAUUUCAAGCCAAUAUUACGACUUUUAAAAGUUUUUUGAAAAAAAAAAUAUAGAUAUUCUUUUAGAACAUUGUUUCUAUUACUGCUCAAUUGACUUUUUAGAGAGAGCUCAAUUGCUAUUUGGAUCAAUCUAAAAUUUAUCAUAAAAUAAGUUGAUUAAAUUUAAGGUAUAUAUUAAAGAGAAUUUUAUCAAGAAUGUUAUAUGCCAUUCCAAAUCUCCAGUAGGAGCUCCAAUCUCAUUUAUAAAAAAAAAGAUACACCAUUGCAAAUAUGUAUUGAUUAUCAAGGAUUCAAUAAGAUCACCAUCAUCAAUAGAUACCUUCUACUUUUGAUAUCUAGACUUUUUGAUUAAUUGAAUUAAGCUAAGAUCUUUACAAAAAUAAAUUUUUAAAGAACAUACAAUUUGGUAUGCAUAAAAAAAAAAGAUCAAUAAAAGACUAUAUUGCAAACUAAGCAUCGACAUUUAAAAUACAAUGUCAUGCCUUUUAGACUUAUAAAUGCACCAAUAGCUUUUCAACAUCUAAUAAAUAAUGUCUUUUAAAAGUUAUUGGAUAAUUUUAUUAUCUAUUAUAAUCUAUUUUUUAAAAAAUAAAAUAAAAAUAUAUAAACUUAUUACAAAAAUCCAAUUCACCAAUACAAACACUAACUUUGAGCAAUGAUUGCAAAGUCCUUCCAAAUCCUAUAAAAUCCAAUUCUAUACCUUUCGAAGGAACUUGAAGCUUGCUCUCCGACCUCAAAAUCCAAAUCUCCAAAUGCCCUCUUUCUUUUCCUCUCUUUUCCUUUAACUCCGUGACGUCCCCUAUUCUUCUAUCCUGCACUCCGAAUUGGAACAGCAGAUCCGCUUCCAUGGAAUUCUUAUCUCUAAAAGGUUCUUUCUCCGGAAAGAACGUUUCUCCAAAAUGGCAUAGAAAAUAGAACAGCUUGAAAUAGAACUGAAGCCUCUGUAUUCGGGACGUCAUUGGGUUGCCCAACCAAGUCAAGUCUCAUACUAGAUAAGAGGCCUGUAAUAGGACCUGGAUUGGAUGCCCCCGUAAUUGGAUCAAAUUGGCCCUUCACAUUAGACUCAUUCAAAUAUUGAAUUAGUCCUUUUUCUUUUUUGUCGACUCUUAAUAAGAACGGCUCGGACUCAUUCCACCCAAUUCAUUGGAGAAUCUUGAGGACCUCGAUUUAUGUCUUCAAUUUUUCCUUGGCUUUAGAUUUGCUGAUUUUGAUUAUUAAAAUUAAUCGGAGCAUUACAUUGUUGAUAAGUAUGCCUCGACUACUUGCUAUUUCCACACACUAGCGCGUAAUUAUCACUGGCUCUGGGUUUGGGACAUUCACUAGCAUAAUGACCAAUCUAUCUACAAUGAAAACAAUGAAGUGGUCUUCUUGCACUUCCAUCAGGCAUAUUGGGUGUCUCCACUAAUAUAUACCUACUAGGCUUGUUCUAUAUAGGAUUAGAAAAUGAUCUUGGUCAUCUCAUUGGAAUAGAGAGUACUUGAUUUGAUGACAUCGAUGGAGCAUACGUUGUUGUCAUGUUUGGUGGUACAGCUUGCAAUGGAGUGUGAUUAACUGGCCCUUGAAUAUUGGCAUUGAAAUUGGCCAUUGUUUCUAACAUCCAAGAUGACUAAAUAUUAAUAAAUCUUUUCUAUUUAUAUUUUCACUAUAUAGUCGUGUUACUACAUGACAAUAGUUAUUUAAUAUAUAAAAAUCAGGAUGGGUUUUUAUUUUUUGGGGGGAGAGGUGAAAAAUAGAUAGUGUGGAUAACAUAUUGUCAUUAUCACGAGGUAGUAAAAGAAUAGGAGAGGGGCACCAGUUAGAGGUCAUUUUGUGGUGUUGUUAUGGUCACAAGUGUCAAUUGAAGAUGUUCUAGAAUAGAUGAGUUAGUAGCAACAUCAAUUGGAACUUUGGGAUGUCCAGAUCUUAAAACUGGAAGCUCAAGUCCAUGAAUUGGGAGAGUAUAAUGAAGAUCUAUCAAACCAGUUGAGAAAGAAGUCGAUGGAAGGACUGGAGGAGGAAGAAGAUUUGCAAUUGGAACCAAAUUUGAUAGAAAUUACAUUCGAUAAUAUAACAAAUGAUUAAUUGGGUGGGUUAGAUGAAGUAGUAACUUUGUAGAGUUUUGUUAAGUAGUUUUUAGAUAAAAAUCAAUUGUGUGUUUGCAAGGACACUGCACGGAUAAGAAUGGGGCUAUGUAGAAUAGAUAUUAAUUCAUUUUUGUAAGAUAUUGAUAAAAUAGACUAAUAGUCCAUAGAAUAGUCAGUUUAGGAGGAUUAAUGAUUGAUUUAGUUAUUAAAAGUGGUUAAUUACAGAAUUACGAUUAGAAUCUCGAAAUCAGGAGGAAUUAUAUAGGAGUUGUAGAAGUUUGUUGAGAUGCCAGACUGUAAUAGUUAUGAGCUAGGAUAAGCUUGGUGCUACUUCUUUGUCUCUUUUUGUUUCUUUAUUGUUGAAGAGUAAUAGAUAGUUUUUGAAUACUGAGAAGUGAGUUUGUAGAAUAAAUCAAGGAUUGAUUUAUGAGUUAUUGAUUAUGUAAUUAGAGUAUUCUGUGAUUGAAUUAUAUGAAAAGUUAUUAGAAGUUUGAUUAUGGAUGAAAGAUUAUGAUUGUUGAUUAUUGAGAGUUGUGUGUAUGUUUCAAUAGAAGAAGUCUGUGAUUACAGAAAUUUUGUGAAUCUAGAUUGGUUGAAGUGAAGUCUAUUAUUUCUCAUGUAGGAUGGAAUUUAUGAGUUUUGAGGAGUCUUUUAAGAGUGUAGGGUUGCACAUUGUGGUUAUCAGUUGAUGAAGGAGUAUUGUUAUUGGAAGAAAGCAUUAUAGUAUUUCUAGGUGUUUUAGUGGUUCAGAAUACAGUUAAUUGUGUGAUCCUAACAAGUAAAACUCAUCUACUUAAUCUUUCCCUGUGUUUGAAUUCUCCUAUACAGGUUCAUUCUGAAAAAAAUUGUAGAAUAAAUAAAACGACAAUCACAUUUUGGUGCCAGUGCUUCGAAUAGACAAUAGCAUUGAGUGUUAGGAAUUAACUGCCGGUUUAAUUAGAUAGGAGAUAGGAAGCAAAUUCACUAGAAUAUACUAAAAGAAUAUGGUUAUUAAGAAUGAAAACUUAACAGUAAAGAGAAUACGGUAGUCGAAAGAAAGAAUAGAGAGAUUGUAAGUAAGAAAUUUGUUGUGUAACAAGCAAGAAUGGAAGUUAAAAAGGAAUCAUUGAUAAAGUUGGAUUAAACCAUGGUUGCAUACCUGUCGGCAUAUUUGAAUAUACCCAGAAGCUGAUUGACAUCAAAUAUUAUAAAAGUAUAUAUCGUUAGAGAAAUUCCUAAGAGCACUCGUAAAAAAUUUGGUCAAUAGACAAGUGUUUCCCUUGAGGCCGUUAACUGCAAGUAGGGAAAUCAUAAAAGAAUUAAGUACUCCAUUGGAUACGUUUCGAAUAACAAAAAUUUCUAAUUCUAUCAAAACUAGUUCAGUAGAGUGGCAUAAAUUAUUGGUCAAUAAGGGCCAAUUUAGUGUAUUUCAAAAUCUAUUAUUUUUACCCCCAAUUCAAUCGACUAACUUAAUAAGGGACAAUAAUAGUAAAUUAAGAAAAAUUAAAAAUUCAGAACAAUCAAUUGAGGAAGGCGUCAGUUGUUUUGAUAAAAGAUUAAGUGAAAUAUUAUUUUCUUCAAUGACGAAGGAUAGUCUAGCAGUCCCAAUAGUAGUACAAAUGGGUGACAUGAGCGAUUGCACAAUGAGUGUGGCUCUAUUACCUAUUUUUAGGGAUUUUUUGGAUAUGGAUCUCGAUCAAUAUUUAUCUCAAUUUCUGAUAGCAUGUAUAGCUAAUAAUGGAAGAAGUGAAGAUAUGUGGUUACGAUGGUUGCCACCAACCUUAAAGGACAUGACAUUUGAAUGGUACAACUGUCAAUCAGUAGAUCAAUUUUUCAAUUCGAAAGCAUUGAAGAAUGCACUUUUAAUCCAUUUUCGUCCAAUUGGUUUUGAGGAUCGACUUCGAGAAAGAUUAAUGACUACCAAAAUGGAUCUAAGAGAGGCAGUGGAAUCAUACUAUGGUCAUGUGGCAGAUAUACUCCGCAAGUAGCUAAAUCACCAAAUAUCAAAGGCUUUUGUAUUGUCCAUAUUAAUCAAUGGAUUGCACCAUUCCAAACUAAAAAUAUUUUUAAAAGAAGCUCAAUUAAAUAUGAUAACUCUAUCUCUUAAUAGAGCCAAGGUUUGGAAAGAAUGCCAUUAUAAUCAAUUUUUAACUAUGGGUGCCACGAUGAUUCCAGUUCAAGGCGACUAUCAAAAUUUGACUUAGAAUGGAUCAGUGGAUAGUUACCUAUGGAUGUUAGAAACAAUGGCCAAUUCCAAUGCCAUUAUUCAGGGACCAGUUAAUGUCAAUUCAUUACAAGCUAUACCACCGAACGUAAUAAUAGCGUAUGCUCCAUAUUUUUUGUAUCAACAACAAGUGUUAACUAUGACAGAGUUAUCAUUAAUACCAGUUCCAAAAGAUUCCAAUGGAACCUUGUUAUUGAACUUAACGAAGAAAAUGGAAGAAAUGGCCGUUAAUAUGGUCAAAGAUAAGGAGAAGAAGCACAAGCCUACCAAUACUAGGACCAAUGUAUGGUGCAGUAAUUGUAAGGGCUAUGGUCAUUUGGUAACAAAAUGCCCUUUAUCCUCACAAAUGAUGACUCAAUAUACAUUUUGUGGAGGAAAGCACUUAAUAGCUAAUUGUUAGAAUUGACAAAGUCAACAACAAUUGAGUAAUCAGACCAUGAUCCCAUUGACUCAGUAGAAAGUCAAUCAAGUUUAAAUGAGAAAUACGUAUAGAUGGAAUAGAAAUCGAUCUAAUCGACAAAAUUGAACAUUCAAUAACUUUCAAAGUUCCAAUUUUAAUUAGGGGUUUGUAUCAAAUCCCCAGAACUAUGGGAAAGAGCAGUAGAGGUAUGAGCAAUAUGCUCCACCGGUGUCAUCAAACCAAGUACCCUUCAUAUCAAUGGGACAACCAAGAUCAUUUUCUAACCCUGUAUGGAACAAGCCUAAUAGGUAUAUAUCAGUGGAGAUACCAAAUAUGCCUGAUGGAGGUGUAAGAAGACCACUUUGUUGUUUUUGUUGCAGAUAGAUUGGUCAUUAUGCCAAUGAAUGUCCCAAUCCCAGAGCCAAUGAUGAUUUUACGCUAGUGUGUCAAAAUUACAAGCAGUCGGGGCAUACUUAUCAGUAAUAUAAUGCUCCAUUCAAUUUCAAUAAUUGGGAUCAAUAGAUCCAAAAUCAAGGACAAAUGGAGGAGAUAAAUCAAGGUCCUCAAGAUUCUCCUGUAAAUUGGUUAGAAUGUGUCUAAGCUGUUCUUAUCAAGAGUCAGCAAAAGGAAAAAGGAUUAAUUCAACAUUUAGGUGAACCUGAUGCAAAGGGCCAAUUUGACCCAAUUAUAGGAAUAUUCAAUCCAGGUCUUGUUACGGGCCUCUUAUCGAGUAUGAGACUUGAGUCGGUUGGGCAAUCCAAUGAGGUCCUGAUUACGAAGGCUUUGGUUCCAUUUCAAGCUGUUCCAUUCUCUACGUAGUUUCGAGAAACAUCCUAUCCGUUGAAAGAUCCUCUCGGGGACACAAAUUUUAAAGAAGCUCUGGCUAUUGUUCCAAUUCCAAGUCUAGGAUGGAAGAAUAUCUUACCUCUCGGAGUUAAAUUCAAUCCAAUGAAAAGAAAGAAGGCAUUGGAAAUUACCUUAAAUAUGGAACCCAAUGAUAUUUUGAAGGAUCUGGAUACUAUUUGGCCUUCUAUUUCUAUGAAGCAAUUUCUAACGAUCGCACUAGAGUACCAUUCUACAUUGAAUUCAUCGUUAACAUGACAUAGGCAAUACAAUAAGGAAGUUUGUGAAGUAAAUUCAAAUCCUGAUCUAGGUGCACCAACCAUCGAUGUUUUAAUUGACGGUGUUAUCAUCUCGGGUGUUCAAGUCGAUGGUAGUUCCAGCAUCAAUUUAAUGAACGUUGAUACAGUGGAUGCUUUAGAUUUGAAACACUUAGUACCGACAAUAUUGGUAUUAAAGACGGCAGAUCAUAGCCGAAUUAAACCAAUGGAUAUUUUACGGAGUGUUCAGACUAUAAUUAUCGGUAUUGGAUAUAAAAUCGACUACAUUAUCUUUCGAUUACAACAUUCGACUUUAUCAUAUCUAAUUUUAUUGGAACGACCUUGGCUCUAUCAAAUAAAAGCCAAGAACGAUUGGGGUUGGGGUACUUUGACAAUUGACAAAGACAAAGAUAAAAUGGUGUUACAAAUGUACCCAGUAUACUAUCACGGGGAGUCUCAAUUGCCAACAUCUGAAUUGAUAUCGGACGAUGAACUUAGCUCUAAUGAUGAUGUAGUAACACCGAUCACGGAGGCAUUUAUGGAAGCAGCCCAACACCUUAGAGUGGUGUACUAAUGUGGUGGUCUGGGAGAGUACUUGAUAUACCCGUCGGAUUCGAAAAUAUCUGCUAAAGUUACUAUUGAUUAAAUGAUCAAGUAUGAUGUGUACCAUAUGAAUGCCUUGGAUAUAAGAUUCAGUACUUCGUACAUGUCAGACUUACUGAUUGAUUUGAAAUCUGCACUGGAGUUGAAACAAAAUAUCACCGCUAUAUCUUUAUGUCAAAUUAUCAACUUGGCGACCACAACAGAGUCUCGGACCAUUAAGGUCUAUGAAGGUAUUAAAGGCUAGAAGUUGACCUGCUAGACAGAAUUUUUCUUGCAUCAUAAAUCCGCUUUUGCUUGAACUUAUGAUGAUCUAAAAGGUAUCCCUGCUGAAGUUUGUCAGCAUCAUAUCAUUUCAGACGAGAAUGCUAAACCGAUACGAUAGAGGCAACAUCGCCUUAAUCUUAAAUAUUCUCUCAUAGUGAAGGAAGAAUUAGAAAAGCUUCUUGCAUUGGUUUUAUUUAUCCGAUACCGAAUAGUAAGUGGAUUUCUCCAAUCGUAAUGGUACCAAAAAAGAACGGAAAAAAUUGAAUUUAUUAGGAUUUUCAGAAAUUUAAUGUGGCUACCAAGAAAGAUUACUUCUUAUUACUUUUCACAGAUAAUAUAUUGGACGCUGUCGUACUGUAAUUACAUACAAUAUGUAAAAAUUAGUGAAAACAUGUAAUAUGUUUAUAAGUCUUAAUGUGAGUUAGAAUAGUUAGUAUGUUAAUUUAAAAUGAAUUGAAAUAAGAAAAAUUAUUUGGAAGUUAAUCUAGUUUGAUUAUAGAGUUUAUAUUAUAUAGGAUUUAGAUAGUUAGUAUAAAGAUUAAGGGAAGGGAGGAGUUAAAAGAUGAAAAUAUAACUAGAAGGAGGCUUAUUGGGAAGGAUGAAAGUAAGGCAUGGUUGGAUGAAGGCAAGGGGUGAAGAACUUCAUCCCUAUUGGUCGAAUACCAUGCCCAAUGGGCUUUGAGGAGGCUGCCCGAGGCCAUAUUAGGAAUUAGGGUUCCUCUUUCGAGGCCAUUCGAGCUUUUGAGGCUAGGGUCAGAAGGUUUAGGAUUUUGGGUAUAAUUUGGGUGAAGAUUUUGUGUAAUUUCGAGUUUUUAUGGAAAAGAUAUGAAUGUUAAAAAAUAAGGUGUCAAUUUCGUACCUACUGUCACUUCUUUUGGGCAUCACAUACGAAUACGGAGAGCAACGGAAGAUCGGCGACUGGAUUUAGAGGGAGCAUUUUCUCGGCUACACAUUCUACUUACUGUAUAGUGAAUUCUAAGAUUGGGUGAAGGAGUUAUGAGGCGUUGAAGACAGCACUUGUAAUUUGAAGGCAGUAAGUAUAUCGUUUUGUUACUAGUUAUGGGUGAAGUCAUAUCUUGAUUUCUGGACGAAUUUUUGCCUCAAAAUUUCUAUAAAUGUGUGUAAUUGGGUUAAGAAGCUUUAGAUCAAAGUUUCAUAGUAUUUGAAUAAUUACUUUGUGAGAUAUGAAGGAAGUUGUACACGGGUGUAAAAAAGCUAGGGUUUGAAGCUACAGUUAGGGUUUUCAAGAUAUCACAAGAUCCAAGACGAAUUUACGGUUGAAUUUUGGUGUGGUAGUUGCUAAAGAUAUAUCAGUAUUCCAUGUAAAAUUUGGAGUUGUUUAGACGGUUAGAUCGUAAGUUAUGAGCUGUUGAACUUCGGGAAAAAUUCCUCAUAAGGAUAUAUAAGUUUUUUAUGACACCUUAUCAAGUAUUUUGGUGUUCUUUGGAUUUUAAGGCUUGUAUAUUGAUUUAAUUGCUCCAAAGGAGAGGAGUUUAUAUAUAUAAAAUUGUUACCCUUAUAUUUCAAACUUGAUUGAGUAUUUAGUGACAGCCAGAAGCCCAGCACUUUCUUGAGGCAAACUCUCUCUAUCCCGACAACGCUAUAGUAAGUCACAAAUGUUAUUUGUUCCUUGAUGGAUUUUCUAGGUAUAAUCAAGUUCAAAUUACAACGGAAGACUAGCUCAAGAUAACCUUUACUACGGAUUGGGGCAUAUUUGCUUAUCGCGUGAUACCUUUUGGAUUAUGCAAUGCCUCAGCCACAUUUCAGAGAGUGAUGACUCAAGCUUUCCAAGACUAUCUCCAGAUGUUUAUAGAGAUCUUUUUAGAUGACUUUUGUGCAUUCAAUACAAAACAAGUUCAUCUUAAUUGUUUGGACAAAUGUUUGGCUUGGUGUGUUAAAUUUGGAAUCUUGGAGAAGUGUUAAUUUCGUGUUCCGUCCACAAAAUUAUUGGGACAUAUCGUCUCCAACCAUGGUAUUGCUACGGAUCCUAACGAAGUACAGCAUAUAAUGAACUUGUCCAAACCAGAGACGGUCUUCGGUGUUCGAGGGUUUGUCGGCCAUGUCACUUAUUAUCGCCAUUUUAUUCAUUUAUUUGCAGUUAUUUGUCAACCUUUAAUGAACUUAUUGAAGAAACCUCCAUCAGAUGGAUCUAGUCCCCUCUAGACCCUGGAGUGUACCAUGACCUUUGAGGCAUUAAAGUCAAAAUUGGUCUCUGCACCAAUAUUGGUGGUACCUCGUUGGACAGAGCAUUUCCAUGUUUACAUUGAUGCAUCCAAUGUGGCUAUUAGAUCGGUGCUAAGUCAGAAGGAUGUUUUCUGAUAUAUACCAAUUUGUUUGUUGUUAUGAUCCCUGUCAACAAAUUGGUCAACCCCCGGGAACUUCAGCUAUGCCGUUAAUACCAAUCUUGGCUCAAGUACCAUUUGAAAAAUGGGGUAUUGAUUUUGUUGGUCCCAUCAAUACCCCAUUUUUCAAAUGGUACUUGAGCCAACGUCAAAACUUGGCCAAAAGCAAUAUAUUUUAGUUGCCAUAGGCUAUGUAACAAAAUGGGCAGAGGCUAUUGCUACCCGCCAUGAUAAUAUCAAUACGAUGGCCACUUUUCUUUACGAGAAUAUUAUAACUCGAUUUGGGUGUCCGAAAGAAUUGGUUAGUGAUCGUGACAUCUAUUUCAUAAAUGCUACCAUAAAUGCCUUAACGAACAUAUAUGAGAUUAAGCAUUGAAAAACUAUUUCAUAUCAUCCUCGCACAAAUGGACUAAUCGAAAAGACCAACGGAAUUUUGUGCAAGGUCUUGACUAAGAUAAUUUCGGAGAUGGAUACCGAUUAGCAGAUCAAAUUCUUUGCAGGCGUAUCAUAUCACAUAUAAAGUAACUAACUACUAAUACUACUCCGUUCCAACUAGUUUAUAGACAAGACAUAAUUUUACAUAUUGAGUUGGAGGUUCAAAGUUUACGGAUGGCCUUAGAUGAAUGUCUCAAUGACAACGAGUCAUUAUACUCUCGAUUGGCAAAAUUAGACAAAUUGGAUGAAAUAUGGGCUAUAGCUCUUUUUUACAUGGAAACAACUCAAAAACGGAGGAAGAGUUACUAUGAUAGUAAACUGCAUCCAAAGAUUUUUAAGCCCAAUGAUUUGGUAUUACUGUAUGAUAGCCGAUUUAAUCAUUUUCUGACCAAAUUUCAAGUUUGUUGGCAUGGGUCGUAUCGAGUGAUUGAAAGUUUAUUCAAUGAGUUUGUUCAACACGAUGAUUUUAUGGGCCAUCAAUUCAGUACUUCUAUUAAUGGAAAUCGAUUAUGGUAUCAUAUUAUGUGCUAUCUAGCUUGAAAAUGCACCGAGCAUCUGGUUAUGGAAGAUAAAAUAAUGUUUUGUAAGUAUCCAAUUAGUCUAGUGGGUUUCAACCAUCUACACACAAACUAUUUUGGAUUUCAAUGUAAAAGCUUAAUCCCAAUUCAAAGUGCUUAGAACACUAUUUUUAAUAGUUUUUGGAUAUUGUAAGCACAAAUUCUUUUGUUAUUUGUUAUUUUUAUUUUUAUUUCAUUUAUUUUAUUGAUUAUUUUUAUUUUUUUAUUUUUUUAUUUUUUUUAUUUUUUUAUUUUAUUUUUUUAUUUUUUUAUUUUUUUUAUUUUUUUAUUUUAUUUUUUUAUUUUUUUAUUUUUUUAAACCCUAAUCCUAAACAACAAGCUUCGACAAACUGUAAUUUUCAAUCUGACUAUCCGAUUGUUGUGAGACUUCUACCACUAGUAUCUUUACAAGUCUUCUAAAUGCUCUAGAAGUUCAAUCCAAUCCAACUUACAGAUUGCAAGAAAACAUUAUAAAUCCAUGCUAAAGUCCCUUGACUGCCGCCUAGAAGGUUGAUGACAAACUUCAAGUUACAAUUUUUCCUUCUUUGACUAUUAAUUCUCAUUCAAACUUUGUCUGUAGCUCCGCUUUCAAGUCCUAGGGUAACCGCGUCAAAAUUCACUAUAUUCCAGCUGAUAGAUCUCAGAUAUUACAAAAAAUCCAAACAACUCCAAUAUGCCAACUUCUAAUACCUCUUUACACUAAUGAUCAAAUAUCCUCUAUCCAUACCAUAAGAUUAAUACAAAUUUUUGCAUGCACUUGAUAUACUCAACCAUGUAAACACCUCUAAAAUUUCAAGCACAGAUGUUUCUCCAAUUUCACAAAACAGUCAAGAGUACUAGCCUUUAAUUUAUUGCAAAAAUCCAAUUCACCAAUACAAACACUAACUUUGAGCAACGAUUGCAAAGUCCUCUCAAACCCUAUGAAAUCUAAUUCUAUACCUUUCCAAAGAGCUUGAAGCUAGCUCUCUGACCCCAAAAUCUCGAUCUCCGAAUGCCCUCUUCUUUUUCCUCUCUUUUCCUUUAACUCCGUGAGGUCCCCUAUUCUUCUGCCCUAGACUCCGAAUUGGAACAACAGACCCGCUUCCAUGGAAUUCUUGCCUCUAAGAGGAUCUUUCUACAGAAAGGACGUUUCCCUGAAAUAGCAUAGAGAAUGGAACAACUUGAAAUGGAAUCGAAGCCUUCGUAUUCAUGACCUCAUUGGAUUACCUAACCAAGUCAAAUCUCAUACUGGAUAAGAAGCCCAUAACAAGACCUGGAUUGGAUGCCCUCAUAAUUGGGUCAAAUUAGCCCUUCACAUCAGACUCACCUAAAUAUUGAAUUGGUCAUUUCUUCUUUUUUCAACUCCUGGUAAGAACAGCUCGGACUCAUUCCAUCCGAUUCACCAGAGAAUCUUGAAGACCUCGAUUUAUCUCCUCAAUUUUUCCUUGGCUUUGGAUUUGCUGAUCCGGAUUAUUGAAAUUCAACGGAGCAUUAUAUUACUGAUAGUUAUGCCCCGAGUGCUUGCUAUUCCUUUACACUGGCAGGUAAUUGUGUGUGGCUCUGGGAUUGAGACAUUCACUAACAUAAUGAUCAAUCUGUCUGCAAUGGAAACAACAAAGUGGUCUGCUUGUACCUCCAUCAGGCAUAUUGGGUGUCUCUACUGAUAUAUAUCUACUAGGCUUGUUCUAUGUAGGAUUAAAAAAUGAUCUUGGUCGUCCUAUUGAUACAGAGAGUACUUGAUUCGAUGACGUCGAUGGAGCAUACACUGUUGUCACGUUUGGUGGUACAGCUUGCAAUGGAGUGUCAUUAAUUGGCCCCUAAAUAUUGGCAUUGGAAUUGGCCAUUGUUUCUAACAUCCAAGAUGAUUAAAUAUUAAUAAAUCUUUUUCAUUUAUAUUUUCACCAUAUAGUCAUGUUAUAACAUGACAUCCAUCUCCUCUGAACCUAUGCAUCCUCUAGUAUGCAACAAAUAACUUAGUUGUUGUUUGAUUUAUAAUAUGUUCUUCAAGUCUUCGUUCAAAUCCUCUUCAUCACUUUUACUAUCCAAGUCAAAUUCAACUUCCUAUUGAGGAAUAUCUAGGUCUUGACCUAGAUCUUCUAUAUUUAUUUUUGUGUAUCUUUGUUUAAAUAUUUUUACUCGCUUCCCUGCAAUUGAUAUUUUUAACCUUGUUCCAUUUAAUUCCUGCUAUGAGUAAGUUGCAUUAUCAUGAACAGUUGUUACCACAUACGGUCUAAUCCAUCGCUUAGAAAACUUCCUUAAAGUACUAUGUUGAUUGUCCAAGCUACUAUCAUAGACCAAAAUCCAAUCACCUUCUUCAAUUGUUUUAGGCCUCAAUUGAUGCUUCUUAUCAAAUCGUGCCUUAUUUUGUAACCUUGUUCUUUUUAACCUUUCUAAUGCUAUUUGCACAUCUUUUGAUCUUUUUUCUAAUUCUUAAAUUCUAAUAACUAGAAGUUCUUCUCUUGUCAAUCCAUCUUCCCAUGGUAGCACACUCCAAGUAGGUACUUUUUCUUCAAUUGGCAUAAUUGGUUUUUGACCUGUCAUAAGCUCAAUAGGCAUAUAUUUCAUUACUGAGCUAUGAGUUGUUCAAUCAAUCUAUAAUGUAAAUGAUAAAAGUCGUGGCCAUUUUUUUAUCCUUUCCAUUACAAGCUUUAACUAAUACUUUCACAAUCGGUGGGUGACCACACUCACUUUUUACAUUUCCUUUAAGAUUAUAAAUAUUAGUCAGUGAUAGUUUAAUUCCACAUCUUUGAAAGAAUUCACAAGCUUCUUGUGCAUUUAAUUCUCCAUGAUUUGCAGUGAUUUUUUCUACACAUCCGUAGCGGCAAAUAACAUCUUGAAGCAAAAAUCUACAAAUUCCUUUUGUAGAUUUUGUUUUCAAUGCUCUUCCUUCUACUUGAUUUGAUAAAUCUUCAUGAGCUAAGAUCAAAUAUCUCAUUUUCUAUAACCCGAUUGGCAUAACAACCAAAUCAACAAUCCAUUUAAAAUGAAUAGCUAGAGGAUAUGUAAGAUGAAGACCAUCUUGAUGUUGUAUAUUAGAAUAUGCUUGACAAAUUUUACAUGACUCUACAAAUAAGAGCACAUCUAGAUACAUAUUUUUCCACCAAUAUCGUUCCUUAAGUUUAGCAAAAGUAGUCCAAAUUCCUCUAUGUCCUACCUAUAAACUAUCAUAAAAUCCCUUUAAUAAUUUUUGUUUCUCUUCUUUAUUGCCUAUCACUCUUUGUGGCAUUCUAAUUCCUUUCUUUGGUCUCUUCCAUAAGAAUCCUUCUUGAAGCAAAAAUCCAUAUGCUUUUUUUCUAAUUUGUUUAAAUUUUUUUGUAGACCAAUUUUCUUACUUAGUCAAGGUAUUCAAAUAAUGACCAAUAUCUAAUAAUUUUUCUUCAUAAAAUUCUUCAAGAAAUAGCUUAUCUUCUUUGUUAAGAUUUGAUACUGAAUAGAAUUUUGAUCCAACAUCGUCAAUGUCUUCAAUCAUUUCGUCUUUUCUUCAUAUCUUGCUCGAGAUAACAUGUCUGCUACUAAAUUGUCCUUUCAAGAAACAUGCUUAAAUUCUGGAUUUAAUGACUUAAUAUAAACAAUCCAUCUUAACAUUGUAAUAUUCGACGUUGAACGAUUAAUGAUCAUUCCAAGUAAUAGCAAGCAAUCUGUUUCUAUUACUACUGCUGUACCAAUCAAAUAAUCUCAUUCAGCUUUUAUAGUCAAAACAACUCCCCAAAGUUCUCUUUUAAUUUGCAAAUAUGUACAUUGACGAGUACUUAAAACUUGAGCUCCAAAUCGAACUACAAAUCUAUUUCCACUUGAAUCAUCUCGAUCCACACCCCAUCCAAUAGCAAUAGGACUAGUAUCUAUACUAAGAAUUACUUGUCUAUUAUAGUCAUAAUCAAUUCUUCUUAAAAUUGGAGGUGUCACCAAUAACACCUUUAGCUUCUACAUUACUUUAGUAUAUUUUUUUUCCAUUUAAAUUGAUAACCCUUACAUAAUAAUUCAUACAAUAGAUCCGCUAUAUGAGCAUAAUGAGGAAUCCAUAUACAAGAAAAUACACAAGCUCCUAAAAACUUGAGUACUUCUGUUAAAGAGUCACAUGAAUCCUUCAUCCUUCCAAUUGCAUCAACUAUGCUUGGAUCUGGCUUUCUCCGAUAAAACCUACACAAAUGCCCAACAAUAAGAACUUCCUACACUGCAAAUGUAGAUUUUGCUCCUGAAAGUGUAAAAUGAACCUCUUCAAGUCGAGUUAAAAUCUUCUCACAAUCUUGUACAUGAUCAACAACAUAUUUGCGACACUCCUUCUCAUCUAAAGUUUCAUCUCUUUUUCUUUCUUUACAUCCUUUGAUAGGAACAUCAUCUAAAAAAGGCAUAGUUUUUUCAGAAAUAAAAUCUCUUAGUACCUUGUUCAUUCCAUUUAUCAUAUGUGCAACUGAGUUAGUAGGACCUUAUAGGAGAGUAUACAUUUUAAGCAAUCCAAGUAGCAUUUUUAUUAUUAUUAGAUCUCUACUCCUAUGCACAAGUUGAAAUUGAUCAUAACCCAAAUACAAAUCACCUAUUGAAUAAAUUGCCCUUUCCACAAAUGCUUCUGUAAACUCGUCUACUAAAGGUCCUAUACUUGCAUUUCUUAUAGUUACUGCAUUGAUUGGCUCCAUAUCUUGAAUAAAAUAUAACGAUCCAUUUUUCUUAGGCACCAUAAACCAACGACUAGAAUAUGGAGCAAAAAAAGGCUCCAAAAUUUUCAUUCGUAUCUUUUCUUUCAAUAAUUCUAUCAAUUUAGGUAAAUGUGUCCUUGAUAGGAAAAUUUGCCUUAAGUUCCAAGGCACAUGAGAUAUUGUAAAGAUAACCAUAGGAGCAACAACAUUAGGAUCUAUACAUCCUAUUUCACAAGACCCAAAGGCAAAUGAUUUACCUCGUUUUGCAAGCAUUCUUUUAAAAUAUUCAAUUUCUGUUGAAAAUAAAGAACCAUCACAUCCAAUCUUCAAUUCUUCAAAAGUCUCCUUUGUAAAUUGAUAUUCAAUCUUCUUUGGAUCUCUUAAAUUCUCUUCUUUUGAUGCUUCUUCCAUUUGUUCCUUAGAAUCUUCUGGUAAAUGUCUGGCAACAGGUUUUACUUUUUUAUCUAAUGUUUCAUAUUUUGUCUUUAGAAUAACUUCUGUUGCUUGAAAAGAUUCAAGUAUAGAAUAAACCUCCCUCGAAUGAAUUUCCACAAUCUUAUCAUUAUCUUCUAAUCCAAUAGAAGUAAUUAAUUAUAAAAAAUCCUCCAAUCUAUUUUCUUCAUAAACACCUAAAAUCUUCUCAUUAUCUUUUAAUGUCCCUAACUUGCGUAAUUUCCUUUUAAUACUAUAAAAUAUUUUUCUUUCUUUUCUUUUAAAAUCAUCAACUUUCUUAUACAUAAUAUUUCUAUUCUCAAAAAUAUUAAUAAAACUCGCAUCAAAGGUACCUUCAUCUCGCGAGAGUACCUCCUCUUUUGUACCUCUAUAAUCUCGCUUUAUAGUAGUACUUCUCCAAAAUCCUUAAAUCCUUCGACAAUCCUUGACAAUGGUUUCUCCCUAUCUCGAUUCCAUUCAUAAUUAGAAGUAUUGUUCAAAAUUAUACAGCUUUCCUUCCAUCUUCACUACGUACCUGUCACGGACAUAAUCAUGUAAGCUAGUAAUUACAUAUACAAAUAGGUAGAAGUAAGUAAAAGUACGUAAAAGUAAGUUAAUUCUAUAGUAUUUAAUAUGGAAGCUUCCUAGAAGCUUAAUAGAUGCUACUUUGACUUCAUAGGUAUCUUUAAUUGACUUUUUGGAUUAAAAACGUGGUCAACAAGUUGGCCAUGUGCCACAUAUGUUGUUAGCUUGAAGAUUAAGCUAACUAUGUGGCCCACACGUAGAAGAACUUGCCUUGUAAGUCAAGGCAUGUGUCCUACAAAGUCAACACAUAUUGGAGGUCCUAUAGAACGUCGCGACGUAGCCCCUAGUUAGAUAGUAUAUAUAGAGACAAGAGUGAAGGCUUCUUCACUCUUGUCAACUCUUUUUUUGCUUUUAGUCUAGUUUCAAGAGUCUCUAGUUUUCUUGUCUUUUGGCAAUAGCCAUUCCAGUUUCUCUUUCAAUAUAUAUCCUUGUUUAUAUAUAUUUUGUUACCUCUCUUUGAGUGAAGGCUCACUUGUCUGAAUUGUUUUUUCAUCGAGUUCUUGUCCUUGACAGAUUGACAAGAGUACACCUACAAUAUCAGAGCUUUGUCUAAUCUUGAUUAAGAGUGGAUUAUCCCUUUUUCUUGAUAAGAUAUAAGUAUAUUAGAAGUUGUGGAUUACCUUCUUCUAAACUGAUAUUGUCCUUAGUAUUUUCUUUCUUCCCAAGUCGUCUCUUCUAUUUGUCUUCAGCGAUAUUAGACAUCUUCUUUCUUCUAAGAGUUUUCAUAGCAAAACUUAUUAAAAUGAAGAGUACAAUGGCACAAAUGUAAGAGCAAUUGAGGAGUUAAUGCUUGCGAUGCAUCAAUUCAAUUUACCACCAUAAGAAGCAACAAGAUUGGCAGGAAGUGAAGAUAUAGAAAUGGUUGGAGCUGCUUCAACAUCUGCACCAAACCAUAUCCUUUCUCCUAUGGUGGAACGCCCUUCAAAUAUUAGAGAACCAAGAAUUAUCCUACCCGAGAAGUUUGAUGGCACUAGAUCCAAGUUUUGAGGAUUUAUCAAUCAAGUGCAACUUAUGAUUGAACUUCAAUUCCAAAGCUAUCCAACUCCAGGAUCGCAAGUUAGAUUCAUUGAUACGCUUCUUUCAGGUUCAGCACUAUUGUGAUUUUCAUCUUUUUUGAAUGACGAGAUCUAAUAUUGGAUAAUCUAGAGGCUUUUUUGGUGGAGUUUUGAUCCAUGUAUAGAGAACAUGAUGCAAUUUUUGUUGCAACCAAUAAGAUCUCUAUUUUACAAUAAAGCAAUCAAUCAAAAACGUUAUAUGCUUCACAAUUUCAACAACUUGCAACUGAUAUCAAGUGGGAUGAUGUUGCACUUAUUAGUCAAUUUCUCUACGGAUUACAAUAUGAGGUAAAAAAAUUAAUGCUCAACUUACUUGAUCCUCAAAUAUUGAGUCAAGAAAUUGACUUUGCUGUGAAGUGCGACAAUCACCUUUUUGAAUUUCGAUCUGAGAACCGUACAAGUGGACCUCAAUGUUACUAUAAUUCAAUGGCAACACCAACACCUCUUCAACACAUACAUUCGGAGGUAGAGGAUAUGCAAAUUGAUGCAGUACGUUUCAAACUUCUUACUGCACAAAAAAAGACUCGUCGUCGUCAAGAAGGAUUAUGUUUAUAUUGUGGAGAACCAAAGCACACUGCUCAACAUUGUCCAAAGAAACGACGCAAUCACAAAAUGAGGAGUAUGGCUGUGAAAGAAGACAAUAUGUCGGAAAACGAGUUUGUCCAGUUAUAAUAGGGACUGUGUGGCUGGAACCUUGCACAACAUCUAGUAAAGGUCUAAUUCUCUCCUCAGAGCCCUCUCCUUGUUUUACAUUAAAUGUUAUUUUAGGACCUAAACAUUACAAAUUCUCUGCCUUGUUAGAUUCAGGAGCCUCAGCGUAUUUUUAAGAUGAAGAAUUUAUUAAAAGACAUAGCAUAUCUUUAGUAAAGAAAACUAAACCUGUUCAUGUAGAAGUCAUAGAUGGUCGUCCAUUGUCUUCUGGAGAUAUUACUCACGAAACCCUUCCUAUAGAAGUAAUAAUUAAUGGUCAUAAUACUUUUGUAGUAUUUAAUAUCAUUAGAUCUCCCUCUAAUCCAGUCAUUUUAGAUUUAUUGUGGUUAGAAAAAUACAACCCUCAAAUAGAUUGGAUUUCUCAAACUCUUACUUUCUCUAAAAGUAUAACUAACAGUGUAGUUAAUCGAGAAGAGAGUCAUAAGUCCAGUUCAAUUAAACCCGUAUUUAUAGGUGCAAAAGCUUUCUUGCAUGCUGCUAUGAAAGAAUCACCAUAUAUUAUUUAUGCCACACCUAUUUCUACUGGUGAAAAGACUUCAAGUGGCAUUCCAAGCCAAUAUCAAGAAUUUCAAGAUAUAUUUGAAAAAAAGAAUGCGUAUACACUCUCGGAACAUCGUCCCUAUGAUUGCACAAUUGACCUUCAAGAAGGAGUAAAACUGCCAUUUGGACCAAUCUACAGUUUAUCACAAAAUGAGUUGGCUAAACUCUAGGAGUAUAUUGAAGAAAAUCUACCCAAGAAUUUCAUACGCCAUUCUAAAUCUCCGACAGGAGCUCCAAUUCUAUUUGUGAAGAAAAAAGAUGGAUCAUUGUAGAUGUGUGUUGAUUAUCGAAGACUCAAUAAGAUUACCAUCAAGAACAGGUAUCCACUACUUUUAAUAUUUGGACUUCUUCAUUAUCUGAAUCAAGCUAAGAUCUAUACAAAAAUAGAUCUUCGGAGAGCAUACAAUCUAGUACGUAUCAAAGAAGGAGAUGAAUGGAAGACUGCAUUUUGAACUAGGUAGGGACAUUUUGAAUACAUUGUCAUGCGUUUUGGACUUACAAAUGCACCAGCAGCUUUUCAACAUCUAAUGAAUGAUGUUUUUCAAGAGUUUUUGGACGAUUUUAUGGUCUGUUAUUUAGACGACAUCUUGAUCUAUUCUAAGAAUCCAGAAGAAUAUGAACUUCAAAUUUGUCAUGUAUUACAAAAAUUCAGAGAUGCAGGACUCUAUGCCAAGAUAGAAAAGUGUGUAUUCCACACUACUCAAGUCGAUUUCUUAGGUUACAUCAUUUCAAAUGAUGGACUUAUGAUGGAUCCUAAGAAAGUUCAAACUAUUAUAGAUUGGAAGAUUCCAAAAACGGUAAGAGAUGUCCAAUAUUUUUUUGGGAUUUGCCAACUACUAUCGGAUUUUCAUCACAGACUUCUCUCGAGUUGCAGCUCCACUUACACAUUGUCGUAUUGUAACACGAGUAUACCGUGAAAAUAUAAAGAAAGGGGACUUUUAUUAAUAUUCAGUUACCUCGAAUAUUGGGAGCAACGACCAAUUCCAGUGCAAAUACUGAGUGGUCAGGUUCAGUCACCCCGUUACAGUCAGCCGAGGCAUACUGAAAUGCUCCGUUCGAUUCCAAUAACAGGAGUAAGCAGGAAGAGAAAGGACCAUUCACACGACGGGUGAGCCUAGUUCGAAGAACCAAUUGGAUCCAAUUUCAAGAAUCCAAUCCAGGUCCUCUUACCUAAUAUGAGACCUGAAUUGGCCGAGCAACCCAAUGUAGUCUAAUUACGAGAAAAUCCAGGUCUUACUACGGGCCUCAGCCAAUCUGACGUGAAGGACCAAUUUGAUCCAAUUACGGAAACAUCUAGGUCUUACUACAGGCCUCUUAGCUAAUCUGACGCGAGGACCAAUUUGACCCAAUUACGCUAACAUCCAAGUUACUACAGGCAUCUUACUCAAUAUGAGACCUGAAUUGGUCGGGCGACUCAAUGUAGACCCGAGUACGGGAUUUUGAUUCUGUUCCAGGCUAUCUUAUUCUCUGUGCCGUUUCAGAGAACAUUGUUUUUGGUAAAUGGAUCUCUUAAAGAUAAAAACGGAGGAGAAAGCUUUGACGACGAGAGCCAAUUUCAGAUCUAAGCCUUAAUGGCGAGAGCCAAUUUCGGUUCCAAGCUCUGACGGUGGGAGCCAAUUCCGAAUCCAAGACGGAAGAUUGAAGAAAUUCAGAGGAUAAGAUUAGGGGGGAGAAUGAGUUUUGGGGGUUUUUUUUUGAAGGAUCGAGAGAGUUAGCUUCAUGCUUCGGGUGGGAAAAGAAGACAGAGAAUUAGGGUUUUUUUUCUUCAUAGGAUUUUGGGAAGACUGAGGCAAUCGUUGCUGAAGUCAGUGUUGUAAUGGUGAAUCGAGAUUUUUAAUAAAGUGGAUUUGAUUACUCUUGACUGUUUUGUGAAAUCGAGUUACGUUUGUGAUGAAGAAUUAAAAGGAUGUCUAUAGGAUUGAGUAUGUGGAGUGAAUGAAAUUUAUUGGGUUAAUCUAACAAGAUAGUCAGUGGAUACAAGAUCGUAAGUACAAAGCGGUAUUGAAGAUUAGUAGUUUGGGUUAUUCAGGAUUCUCUAUAACGUCUAGAGACCUACCGGCUGGGGCAAAAAGGACUUCGGCAAGCAGUCGAAGGGCAUCCGUAUAGAUUUACCGUGUAUUCUUGUAGUCGUUUAUAUUCUAACAGUGAAAAACUGAUAGACUGCUUGACUAUUGGCGAAUCUCCAUACUACCUUCUAUAGCCAGACAUCCGGCGCAUUCUCGAGCAGGAAAGCAUGUAAUACGACAAAAGUGGUGAACCCGACGUGAAGGCUUGAGGUAGAAGGUAUUGGAUUUUGGUUGAUUUUAUCUUUAUUUUAUGAAAAACGAAAAUAAAAAAUUUUGAAGGAUUUUUGGGAGAAGUUUUUGGUGGGGAUUCUUCUAAAGGACAAGGUAUGCACAUGGAUCUGUCUAUUGUUAGUAUGUUUCAAGCUUUCUCAUUAUCAAUGUAGCAACAGCAAAGCAAUGAUCAAAAGAAAGCUUUGGCAACCAAAGCAUUGCAAGCAGUGGUCAAUAAAAUUGAUCAAUUUGAUGGAAGGAAUAUUUCAAGGUAUUUAAGAUGUUAUGUUCGUGAAAUGGAAUUACAUUGGAUUUCUGGGAAGAAAAUGGUUGAAUUAUUUGGACUUUCUACGAUACAGGAGAUAAGAGACCGCACUACAUCGAUUACGGAUCGUUAUGGGAAUUCAUGGGAGGUUUUUUCACAUGCUUUGAAAGAUGAAUAUUUCUUAGAAGAUGCUGAUUGCUUUACUAAGAAGCUGUUUUUGGAAUGGAUUGAACGGCCCAAUAAGAAUUUACAAGCAACAGAGCUACUAAGGAAAUUUGAGAGGCAGUACUCUCAAUUAUCGAAGGUAGAAAAAUUGACAUUGGAGCCGAACAAAGUUGAUCUAUUUCUUCAAACUACUGAUGGAGAAUUGUAAGGGAAAUUAGAACUCCUUCUUGAAGACAAAGAAGAAGAUGAAGGAUUGAUAACAAAGUGGAAGAACAUUGAAGAUGCGGUGGGGUUGCUUACAAAAAGAGAAAGGAGGAAGGAUAGGAGCAAUAUUCCGAAAACAGUAUAAGCACCUAAAGCUCCAGUAUGUACAACACCACCAACAAUGCCUACAAAUCAACCUUCGACAUCCUUAUCAAAAAAAGCAGAUAUGGUGAUGGAAGAAAUUAUACGAGGAAUGCGAGAUUUUCAAAUCAAAUUGGCAAGACUUGAAGAGAAUACUUCUAUAAAUAAUUCAAAGAAUGUUUCAAAACAAGGAUAUGUACAAAGAUGCAUUUGGUGUGAUGACGCUUCACACACUAGAAAAUAUUACAAUGAAUUUAAUAAUAUGAUAUGGCAGGAAAUUAUUUGCUGGAAAGAUGGGAAGAUAGCAUUGAAAGAUAGGAAGGAUCUUCUUCAAACCAAUUUUGGUAAGGGAGAAAUGAGAGCAUUGGUUCAAGAUUACCUAAAAGAGCAUGAAAUAGCAACACGAGAAAGUGCAAGUUAUGGUGCUAGAGUAGAUGAUGAAAUUGGUGGAAGUACGGAAACUAGUAAGUUUUGGGCUUCUGCCAUUUCUACAAUGCAAGAAGGAAAAUUACCUCAAGAAGCAUUAUUGAGAACUGCAGCUACAAUACGAGGUAGAACAGGUUGGAAGGAUCCUUUUGAGUCUCUUUCAAUUCAUGCAUAUAUUGCUAAGAGUCAACAUGAAGCUUUGAUGGAAGAAAAGAGACGAGGAAAUUUUGAUGAUACUAGAGAAGAAAAUUCUACUAAGAGGCAAACUCGAGGAGACAAGGCUCGGGAGGCACCUUCACAAGAAUUGCCUGUAAAGGAUACCUUAGCAUUAUUGGAAGAAAAAACAAAGGAGACAAAAGAUAAGGGCAAACCAAUUGCUUAUAAGCUACUUUUUGACAUUAAAGCGGCAACAAAUUUGAAAGGGGUGUGAGAAGAACGUAUAUUAAAUGCUAAGGUGGAAUUUACAUUGAAAGAAGUCUUAGAAAUUGUAAAGAAGGAGUUUCAUGAUGUUAUCAUUGACAGCAUUAAGCGAAAGAGGUAAUUAAUGGGCGAAAUUGGAAUGAGUCAUGCUAUUGAUGCAAGAAUAUAUAGAGAUGAAGAAGAGGUUGAUAUUAGUUACAAGCAACCAACAAAUGAAAAGAAUGGGUAUAAUCAACGAAUACGUUUCGAAGAUUAUAGUGACAAGAAAAUGGAAACUUUGAGCCAUUAUACUCGAAAGCAUUGGGCAAGAGCAACUAUUGAGGUAUUGGUGAAAGUAAGAGAUAUAGAAGAACCAAUAGUUGCUUUAGUCGACCAUGGUUCUGAAAUAAAUCUCUUGUCUAAAGAUCUUUAUAAGAAGCAAAAAUGGCCAAUUGACAUGGAACAUGGAUAGGCAAUACGAGCAGCUAAUAACACACGGGGCGAAUUAUAUGGAACUUGUCCAAAUGUCAAAAUUCGGAUUGGGGAUGUUGCGACGGAGCAACAUUUCUUUGUUCAAGAUACAACGUCUUAUCCAUUGAUUUUAGGACAACCUUAUAUUAUGGCAACACAGAUGGAAACAAAAGUACUUGAGGAUGGUUCUGCAUAUGCAAGGAUACAGAGCGAAGAUGAAAGGAAAGCUAUACAUUUUCUAACAAUACCUCCUAACCAUAAACGGAAUCAAGAUAGGUUGAGGGAGAAACCAUUGCCAAAGAUUGUUGAAGGAUUUAAGGAUUUUGGGGAGGUACCAUUGUAAAGCAAGAUUAUGGAGGUACAAAAGAGGAGGUAUUCUCGCGAGAUGAAGGUACCUUUGAUGCGAGUUUUAUUAAUAUAUUGGAGAAUGAAAAUAUUAUAUAUAAGAAAGUUGAUGAUUUUAAAAGAAAAGAAAGAAAAAGAUUAUAUAAUAUUGAAGGAGAAUUACGCAAGUUAGGUACAUUGCAAGAUGAUAAGAGGAUUUUAGGUGUUUAUGAAGAAAAUGGACUGGAAGAUUUAUUGGAAUUGAUUACAUCUAUUGGAUUAGGGGAUAAUGAUAAGAUUGUUGAAAUUCAUUCAAGAGAGGUUUAUACCAUACUUGAAUCUUUUCAAGCACCAGAAGUCAUUGUAGAGACGAGAUAUAAAACGGCGGAUAAAAAGGUAAAGCCUGUUGCCAGACCAUUACCAGAAGAUUCUAAGGAACAAAUGGGAGAAGAAUCAAAAGAAGCAAAUUUAAGAGAUCCAAUGAGUAUUGGACAUCAGUUUACUAAAGAGACUUUUGAAGAAUUGAAGAUUGGUUCUAAUGUUUCUUUAUUGUUGGAGGAAAUUACUUGCUUCAAAAAAAUGUUGGCCAAACAAGAUAGAUUGUUUGCUUUCGCAUCUCAUGAAAUUGGGUGUGUAGAUUCAAAUAUUAUAACACCUAUGAUUAUUUUCACUGUACCACAUGUACCUUGGAAUCUAAGACCGAUUCCAAUACCGAGGAUACAUUUACCUAAAUUGGUUGAGCUAUUAAAAGAAAAGAUAAAGAUGAAAAUAUUGGAACCCUCGUUUGCGCCGUAUUCCAGUCGAUGGUUUAUGGUACCUAAGAAGAAUGGGUCACUACGAUUAAUUCAAGAUAUGCAACCGAUGAAUGCAGUAACUAUCAAGAAUGCAGGAAUUGCACCUAUUAUAGAUGAAUUUGCUAAAGCAUUUGCUAGAAGGGCGAUCUAUUCAAUGGAUGACUUGUAUUCAGGUUAUGAUCAAUUUCAACUUGCCGAAGAAAGUAGAGAUAUGACAACAAUGAGGACACCACUUGGAUUGGUUAGAAUGUGCACUCUUCCUCAAGGCGCGACCAACUCAGUUGCGCAUAUGAUGAAUGGGAUGAAUAAGGUAUUGAGAGAUUUUAUUCCAAAAAAGACUAUGCCUUUUCUGGAUGAUGUUCCUAUAAAAAGGUGCAGAGAAGGAGACAAGGAUGAAACUUUAGAUAAGAGGAGGUGUCGCAAAUAUGUUGUUGAUCAUAUACAAGAUUGUGAAAAGAUUUUAACUCAGCUUGGAGAAGUUCAUCUUACAUUAUUGGGUAUGAAGUCCGUAUUUGGAAUACGAGAGGUUGUGAUUGUUGGACAUUUAUGUGGAUCUUACGGAAGAAAACCAGAUCCGACUAAAGUUGAUGCAAUUGGAAGGAUGAAAGAGGAUUGUGAUUCUUUAACAGAGGUUUGCAGGUUUUUAGGUGCAUGUGUAUUUUAUCGAAUCUGGAUCCCUCAUUUUGCUCACAUAGCGGAUCCAUUAUAUGAACUGUUACGCAAGGGUUACCGAUUUAAAUUGGAAGAAAGGCAUAUUCAGGCAAUACAAAGAUUGAAGAAAUUAUUGAUGUCACCUCUAAUAUUGAGGAAGGUUGAUUAUAAGUGCAAUAGACUAGUAAUUCUUACUGUGGAUGCUAGUCCAAUUGCCAUUGGAUGGGCUGUGGGUCAAGAUGAUUGAAGUAAAAAUAGAUUUACAAUUCGAUUUGGAGCUAAAGUUUUAAGUAUUCGUCAGCGUGCAUAUUCGCAAGUCAAAAGAGAACUUUGGGGAGUUGUUUUGGCUAUGAAAGCUGAAAAGAACUAUUUGAUUGGGACAGUAGUAGUAAUUGAAACAAAUUGCUUGCCAUUGCUUGGAAUGAUUACUAACUGUUCAACGCUAGAUAUUCCAAUGUUGAGAUGGAUUGCUUAUAUUAAGUCACUAAAUCCAGAAUUUAAGCAUGUUACUAGGAAGGACAAUUUAGUAGCAGACAUGCUAUCUCGAGCAAGACACGAGAGGGAGGACGAAAUGGUUGAAGACAUUGAUGACGUCGGAUUGAAAUUCUGUUCAAUAUCAAAUCUCAAUAGAAAAGACAAGCUAUUUCUUGAAGAAUCUUAUGAAGGAGAAUUAUUGGAUAUUGAUCAUUACUUGAAUACCUUGACUAAGCAGGGGAAUUGGUCUACAGAAAAAUUCAAACAAAUAAGAAAAAAAGCAUAUGGAUUUUUGCUUUGAGAUGGAUUCUUAUGGAAGAGACCGAAGAAAGGAAUUGGGAUGCCACAACGAGUGAUAGGCAAAAAGGAAGAAAAACUAUAAUUAUUAAAGGAGUUUCAUGAUAGUUUAUGGGCAAGGCAUAGAGGAAUCUGGGCUACUUUUGCUAAACUCAAGGAACGAUAUUGGUGGAAAAAUAUAUAUCGAGAUGUGCUCUCAUUUGUAGAGUCAUGUGAAAUCUGUCAAUCGUAUUCUAAUAUCCGACAUCGAGAUGGUCUUCAUCCUACGUAUCCUUUGGCUAUUCAUUUUAAAUAGGUUGUUGAUUUGGUUAUUAUACCAGUUGGAUUAUGGCUGAUGAGAUAUUUGGUUUUAGCUUGUGAAUAUUUAUCAAAUCAAGUAGAAGGAAGAGCAUUGUGGACAAAAUCUACAGAGGAGAUUUGUAGGUUUUUGCUUGAAGAUGUCAUUUGCCGCUACGGAUGCAUAGGAAAAAUCACUGCAGAUCGUGGAGAAUUACAUGGACAAGAAGCUCGUAAGUUCUUUGAAAGAUGUGGAGUUAAACUAUCACUGACUACUGCUUUUAAUCCAGAAGGGAAUGUAAAAAGUGAACGUGGUCACCCACCGAUUGUGAAAGCAUUAGUUAAAGCUUGUAAUGGGAAAGUUAUAGAGUGGCCACGGCUUUUAUCAUUUGCAUUAUGGGCUGAUCGAACAACACAUAGUUCAGUGACAGGAUAUAUGCCAUUAGAACUUAUGAUAGGUCGAAAAACAAUUAUGCCAAUUAAAGAAAAGGUACUUACUUGGAGUAUGCUACUAUGGGAAGAUCGAAUGACAAGAGAAGAACUUCUGGCUAUUAGGAUUUGACAAUUAGAGCAAAGAUCGAAAGAUGUGCAGAUAGCAUUAGAAAGAUUAAAAAAAACAAGGUUAUAAAACAAGGUGCAAUUCGAUAAGCAACAUCGAUUGAAACCUAAAGCAAUCGAGAAAGGUGACUGGGUACUUGUUUAUGACAAUAGUCUGGAUAAUCAACAUAGUACUUUGCGGAAAUUUUCAAAACGUUGGUUUGGACCUUAUGUUGUAACAACUGUUCAUGAUAAUGCGACUUAUUCAUUACGGGAGUUAGAUGGUACAAAAUUGAAAAUACCAAUUGCAGGGAAGCGAGUAAAAAUAUUUAAACGAAGACACGCAUAGAUGAAUAUGGAAGAUCUUAAUGAAGGUAUAGAGAUUCCGCAGCAAGAAGAUGAAAGUGAUUUGGAUAAUGAAGGUGACGAAGAUGAACUGGACAAAGAUGUAGAGGAUAUAUUCUGAAUCAAGCAGCAAUUGGGUAAAUUGGUGCAUACUGGAAGAUGCACAGGUUCAGAGGGGGUGGAUGUCGUCUUGUAACACGAGUAUACUGUGAAAAUAUAAAGAAAGGGGACUUUUAUUAAUAUUCAGUUAUCUCAAAUAUUGGGAGCAACGACCAACUCCAAUGCAAAUACUGAGUUGCCAGGUUCAGUCACCCCAUUACAGUCAGCCGGGACAUACUGAAAUGCUCCAUUCGAUUCCAAUAACGGGAGUAAGUAGGAAGAGAAAGGACCAAUUCACACGACGGGUGAGCCUGGUUCGAAGAGCCAAUUGGAUCCAAUUUCAAGAAUCCAAUCCGGGUCCUCUUACCUUAUAUGAGACCUGAAUUGGCCGAGCAACCCAAUGCAGUCUAAUUACAAGAAAAUCCAGGUCUUAGUACGGGCCUCAGCUAAUCUGACGCGAAGGACCAAUUUGAUCAAAUUACGGGAACAUCUAGGUUUUACUACAGGCCUCUUAGCCAAUGUGACACGAGGACCAAUUCGACCCAAUUACGCGAACAUCCAAGUUAUUACGGGCAUCUUACUCAAUAUGAGACCUGAAUUGGUCGGGCGACUCAAUGUGGACCCGAGUACGGGGUUUCGAUUCUGUUUCAAGCUGUCCUAUUCUCUAUGCCGUUUUAGGGAACGUUAUUUUCGGUAAAUGGAUCUCUUAAAAGUAAAAAUGGAGGAGAAAGCUUUAACGGCGAGAGCCAAUUUUGGAUCCAAGCUCUGACGGUGAGAGCCAAUUUUGGAUCUAAGACGGAAGAUUGAAGAAAGUCAAAGGAUAAGGUUAAGGGGGAGAAUGAGUUUUGGGGGUUUUUUUUGAAGGAUCGAGAGAGCUAGCUUCAUGCUUCGGGCGGGAAAAGAAGACAGAGAAUUAGGGUUUUUUUUCUUCAUAGGGUUUUGAGAAGACUGAGGCAAUCGUUGCUGAAGUCAGUGUUGUAAUGGUGAAUCGGGAUUUUUAAUGAAGUGGAUUUGAUUACUCUUGACUGUUUUAUGAAAUCGAGUUAUAUUUGUGAUGAAGAAUUAAAAGGGUGUCUAUAGGAUUGAGUAUGCAGAGUGAAUGAAAUUUAUUGGAUAAAUCUAACGAGACAGUCAGUAGAUACAAGAUCGUGAGUAUAAAGCGGUGUCGAAGAU
rnacentral:lncRNA from 1 species